ACGAUUCAAGGCUGUGAGGUGAGAGAGUACCGACCAAUGAGUUUCAUUGGUUAUCGGUUAAUAUCCUACUUCUUCCGAGCCACGAAUGAGGUAUGUAUGAAAGAACUUUCAGUGCAAGUUAGGUUUUGCUUGCUUUGUUGAUGAGUUGAGUAAAAAUAUGAAAAACAGGUCUUCAAAAAUUGAUUGAAAAUAUGGCUGGUACUUCUUAUUCUUUUCAUCAAUUAAUGUUAGCUGUAGUGAAUAGAGUAACCCAAAUGCAUGUUGACCGGUUCACCGAUUCCACUGACUAUACUCUUAGAGUGAUUCGCUCGAUACAGAGGUGCGCUUGACGUUUGUAAUUAGUAUUCUAUAAAAGAAAAUGCUCGAAUCCUUCCGUGGAUAGCUUUCUUGUGUUUGACAUGCCUUGAUUGAAUUUAUAAGCACUAGGAAUAAAUGUAAUAUUUAUGGGCAUUAGAUUUUUUGUAUUAUUGAGAUUUUGUAAUUUUAGAAAAUCCAAGAUUAUGUUCAUGUUUGUUGUGAUUUUCCUUAAAAGUUUUAAGAUUGUACAUGUAUGCUAUGCUACGGCAUGUUAAUACAAAAUUCAUUUGAAAGGUUAUCUUCAUCAACUAUGUUCUGUAGUUUUACACGGUUGCCAACCAUUUUGUGUCGGGUCAAUGUGUUUAAUCUUUAAGAUUCACAUAAAUGCUUUAUUUUGGAUGCUUAUCAAUUUUAAUUUCAUCAAUAGAAAGUGUCAAUAAUGAAGCUGCAGGAUAGGACUUGAUAUUAGCUUACAUUGAAAUGAUAAAGUAAUGGAUCCAUAAUGUUAAAACAAGAAAAACAAGACAGAAAUUUUGUGAUAGAUCAACUACAAUGACUUGGCGGUUGGCAAUAACUUGUUAUUUUUGUUAUAAACAAAAUCUUAGAUUUGUUAUACAUGGUCUCUUUGCAUUAAAUGUCUACAAAAUGUUGUUAGAUUGAGCAGAAAUAUAAGUUGCCACUGCUGUUGAAAUCAAGUAUAUAGUAGUAUGUUUUGCAACAUGACAGUGUUUGACAAUUAGAACCAAAUUGUUUGAAUCUUCUUAUGUUUGUGUUUACAUUAUCUUCACGAAUUAUAUAUUCACUAUAAGUUGUAUACUAAUACGAUAUUUUUAUUAAUAAAGGGAAAUUAACCCAAGCCUAAAGAGAUAGUCGAUAGUGAAUUCGGUAGCAGCAGCUUUGGCAGCAAGAGUGUUCAUUAAGUAGUAGCACCAGAGUCCAAACUAAUCCCUUACGACAUAUUUUGAAAUGAUCAGAUGAUACCUCACAUUUCUUAUGUAAGCCCUAAAUUGUAGAGAUGUUGUAUCAUCUUUUACUUGGUUUUAUUGAGGUUUUUGUAUAUUAUACUUUGAAACUCACUCCAGUGACAAGGCUAGUAUUGCCUUUGUUAGUAUUAAUCUUAGUAAACUGUUAUUAGUUGCUCACAUGUAAAUAUGGACUACUGUUGAGUUGUAAGGCUAAUUGGAUGACAACCACUGAUGACUGACUACAUUAAUAUCGCUGUUGAAAUUUGUUUAUAUGUACCACAUGGCUGAGCUAUGUUUCUACAUUUAAGUGCUUGUAUUUACCUAUAUGGAUUAUAUCGCGGUUGAAAUUCUUUUAAAUACAUCACAUGGUUGAGGCAUGUUUUUAUAUUUCAAUGGAUGUAUUUGUAUUUAUGUCUAUAUGGAUGUUGAGAUUCUUUUAUAUAUAUCACAUUCAAAGGAUUAGGAAAUUGUUAUUGAUUGAUUUAUUUUAUAAUUAUUGCAUUAAUCUUCUUAACUGUUUGUGUCUUGAUUCUAACUUGCCAAAGUGAUUUUGCUACUGAAUAUGGUAUUAUGAAGGAAAUCAAUAUUUGGUUCACUCAUUCUAUGCCCUUUGCCUGCCUUUGUGUUAGAUUGCAAGUUAUGUUGGACCAUAGGAUUAGAAAUUGUAGUCUAAAAUUUUUUAUUUAGGCUUACAUAUGCAUAUUACUUAGAAAACACUAUUACAUUAAAUAUAUAAAACAAUAGAUUUAGGGACAUAUUACGUAAGGGUCAUAAAAUGUAUUUGAUUAGCUUGCUGUGCUUAAGCUUUAAGCUCGCAUUGACGUGCAUAAGUGUUCCAACUUUGUAUAAUGAUUGGAAAGUGGUGAGAUUUGAAUGAUUUUUGAAGAGUUUGUAGAUGCAUGGUUGAUAUGGAGGUAUGAGAGAAUAUUGGCAGUGAUGUUUUGAUUAUGUUGAAGGAAGAAGAAAGCUUCAGUUAUGAGAAGCAGAAGCUUUGUUGUUGUGUAGCUUGGCAAUGGCUAAUUAUAUAGACAACCAACAUAAAUAUUGGCAGCAACAAUUAUAAUUUCUAAAUUUAUUUUUUAAUUUUUUAUCGUAAUUCAGCUAAGUUAUUUUAGGAAUGGAUGAGGAUGAUCUGAUAAUUUUAUUGUAUUUAUAGCCGUUGGCACCAAGCAAAUAUAAUGCUAUUAACCAACAAUACACUGUUCUGAACAUGAAAAACGUGAUUUUCUUAAGUCAAGGGUAUUUUAGUCAUUAUGUCAGUCAACAAACAGUCUAAGGAUAGAAAUAAGAACGUAAGGGGAGGUUUGUGAGAAUAUGUGAGUACAUUCUAUUAAAGUGAGAAUACCCUAAACUUCAAGGGAGGUUUUUAAAAAUUAUCCUUCAAUUAUAAGAUCUUGCAAACAGUGAAGUUAAAAUUGCUUUGAUUCUACUCUUCUAUUUUGUUUAUCCAAUGAGUUGUCUAUUUUUGGGGUUUUCCCCAUGAUUUUUUUUUUGUUUAUUUUUUAAAUUACCAAAAAAAAAGAUGCUAUAGUCAGCAAUGUUUGGGCUCACAUGAACAUGAUGUUUUAUGUUAUGGCUAUCACUAUAAUGCUUUGUUAUCAUUGUUAUUAUUAUUUGAUUUGCAUAAAACAAAAAAAAAAUAAAAAAGGUGUAAUUAAGAGUAAUUAUAAACUUUUAAUUAAGAGUCAUUAUAAUAUUUGAUCUAUAUCAAUAUAUGACCAUAUACCAAAUAUCAAAAUAGAGGUAAGAUUUAUAAUAUCUGGAUACGAUUUUAUGAAUUUGAAAAAAAAUAAUUAGGUCUAUUUUUUGUUACAAAUUAUAUUAUUUUAUAAUAAAUUUUGAAGUCGGUUGAAUGUGGAAAUUUAUUUCAUCAAUUAAUUUAAAAAGGUACUAUAUAUAUGACAUGGUUGGUAAAUGUUAAUAUAAUGGGUGGGUAUGACCAAUAACUAUGCAUUUAUUUUAAUUAAAGUAAUAUGGAUAAAUUUAUUAAGAAUAGUUGUCAAUUUGUCAUCGUCACAGCCAUCACAUGAAGUCGUGGCACAAGAAAUUUUAUUUAUUUUUUUAAUGGAAAAUUAAUCACACUGAUUAACAAAUAAUUGGGAACCAGAAAAACUUUAAAAUAUUUUCAUGUCGGAUUAUACAACCCAAAACAGACUUUCCUUUAGUCUAAAACAGGGUACCAAACCAGAUAAGAAAAUCUUCAAAAGUUUUCUGAUGCACAGGAUCCUUAGAAAAGGCAAGUGCAGAGCAUAAUUCCUUAGGUUUUCAAAAUGAACAGAUUUAAUUCUUUAUUCUUUUUCUUUUCUAGAACUUCAUUUGCAGAGAGAGAAGAGAGGUUUAGGGAUUCAUGGAAUUAGAAACACACGAGUUUAUUUCUUUCAAACUUCUAUCUUACAAUGGAGAGGAGAAUCCUUUAUAUAGGAGAAUUCUCGGGGCGAUAGGAUAAGAUUCCUAUCUUUACAAAAGUAAAAGCAAAGAUACAUUAUGACACACCUUUAAUUAUUACAAAAGGACAAAAGAUGCUUUAAUAAUUAAAGCAUAACUUUUGACAAAAGCAAAAGCAAAAGCUUAAAGUAAAAGCAAGCUUUAAUGAUUACAUAGGACAAAAGCAUAAAGUAAAGCAUAAGAAGACAAACUACUUUUAUGGAGAGGAGAGAUUCAUGUAGUCAUCUUCAGAGGAACUUUCUGUUGCAUCGGGGUCCGUGUCACCAGAGUGCUUUUGGAAAAAAGAUUUGGAGAGUUUGAGCUUUGGAUGUUUGCAGGAGGGACCACGACAUGGUGGAUGAGGGCAAUUGUAUUCCCUCGGAGUACCCUUUGGAGUAUACGUUGGGGAAGUUUGGGUGGCUUUAUCGACUUGGGAGGGUCGGACUGGGGUAUUGGAAGGUCGAUGUGAUGGUCCUGGUGCAGAAGGGUCAGGUUCAUCCAUUGUGGGUUGGGGAAAUUGUUGAAGGUGUUGGCUGAGAGGAAGGAAGUCUUCCCAAGGGUCCUGGGAGUCUUGGUAGAGGAAGUCAGUGUAGUCUGGACGUUCUUCUUUAAUGACGAUUCCUGUGGACUUAGGUUUAGAUGUGGCUGAAGGAGUUGGGAUCAUAAGGAUUUCAUGUUGAGGACCUAAGGAGGUGUGUGAGAUAUCUUUUAAUGGCGGAGGUUUGUGGUUUAAUUGACAAAGGUAAUUGUGCAGGACUUCUUGGAGGUCGUUGUCAAUGAUAGCUAUAUGUGGUGCAGUGAACCAUUCAUAUGCUUGAUCUUGAGUCCAAAAGAGGUUGGUGGCUGGGUGUUGGAAGUAGGGCCUGUGAAUGAUGAAAACUGUUGUCCAUAAUUUUGCUUCAGAGGCAGGCAUACGAUCAAGGUUGUGAAUUUCUGAGAGUUGUUGGAGCUUCUUUCUCCACCAUGGUAUUGGGGAGAACCAUUCAAGGAGCGUCCAGGUAAGGGAGGUAGCAUUGUCGGGAUGAAGGAGAUAUUCCAAUGUGGGAGUAACUGGGAGGAUUAACUUGGUUGCAUAAAGGACUGUUAGGCACCAGAUGUACCAUAACACGUCUUCAGUGGUGUCUCUGGAUGGAUCAAGGGUUAAACCUGUAGAAAACAUAUUCUCUGGGUGGAAAGAGGAGAAUGGGAAGGGUUCUGUGACAAGGUAGGCUUUCAUGAAGAACCGAAAGAGAGCUUUUCUCGCAAAUUCUUGGAUGUCAAAGACAGAAGAGAAGGUUUUGUUGAAGGGAAAAGUUUUCUUGGUGAGAGCUUCUGGAGGUAGGGAGGUAGCCAUGGAAAUGAUCGGAAAGUGGUAUGUGGUGGAAAACAAGGUGAGAGGCUUUUCUGGUUUUGAGAGUCUGGAGAGCAUAUCAGGGAUGAGGUUCUGGGACCCCUUUAUAUGCUUAACCGAAAAAUCAUAUUUGGAAAACCAAUCUUUUAGUCUGAGUAACAUUUUCUCAGGAACAGUUUUACCUUUGAAAUGGAGAAUAUUGGGAAAGGCUGAACUGUCCAUUCGGAUGAGGAAGUGGUGUCCAAUCAAAUGAUACUCAAAUUUCUUGAUGCCAUUUUUGACCGCUAGGAUUUCUUUGAACACGCUGUGAUAGUGCUUCUGUGUGUCAGAAAAUUGGCCGCUAGCGUGAGCAAUAAAGUGAUCCUUGUCAUUGAGUUCUUCAAGGAGGAUGGCACCCCAUGAUUCAUCACUGGCGUCUGUCUGCAAGAUGCGUUUGCCAUCUGUAAUCAACUUUAAGGGAGGCGGAUUUUGCGCGAUCUGCUUGAGAGUAGUGACAGCAGUGGUGUGGUCAGCAUUCCACUCGGGGGGCUUCUUUUUUAAUAAAGCCGAAAGAUGAUGAGUGUAGUGGUCCACAUGUGGGAUGAAAUCACGGAUGUAAUUGAUGAUGCCGAGAAACUGUUGGACUUGUCUUUUGGAAAGUUGCUGAUCUGGAAAGUGAAGCAAUUCUUGGGCAAUGUGUUUUCCAGGCUGGUAAUGACCAUCUGUUAUGACCAUACCAAGGAAUUCGAUGUUGUCAGUGGCAAUGGUGCUUUUCUUGGCUGAUAGCAUAAUUCCAUGACGUUGAACAAUAUCAUAGAACUGUGUUAACAGCUGGCGAUGUUCAUCAUGUGAUCCUGAAAAAAGCAAGAUAUCAUCAAUGUAAAUUAAUGCAUGAUGCAGGAUAGGCUCAAAGAUUUUAACCAUGGAUUUUUGGAAAAUGGAUGGGGCAGUUUUGAGACCGAAAGGUAGGACUGUCCAUUGGAAAUGGGCAUUCGGGAUACAAAAGGCAGUUUUGGGACGGUCAGAGGGUUCAAUGCCUAAUUGCCAAAAACCUGAUUUUAAAUCAAAUUUGGAAAAGAUCUGGGCAUUUUUGAGAAAAGUAAACAUGCUUUGUCGGCGAGGCAAGGGAAAUUUGUCGUCUUGCAAAAACAUGUUUAGGGCUGAUAGUCAAUGACUAAGCGUUUCUUUCCGCGGACAAUUUCAGAAUGUUUUUCAACAUAAAAGGCUUGGCAAGCCCAUUGAGAAGUUGUGGGCUCAAUUAGACCUUGGGCUAAGAGUUGGGAACACUCUUGUUGGGCUAGGAGUAAGUCAGAUGGACUCAUUCCUGGGUGAGUGGCUUUGGUUGGGUUAAUAUCUUCAUUGAGUUUGAAAGGUAACUUAAUGAAGAAAGACUUAUUUUUCCAUAAUGGGUUUGGGUGGGUAAAGUCAGAAUGGGUAUCGGGACAGAAACUCAAAAGUUUGGUUGAAACAUCCUGGUAGGGCUGGGGUGUUUCAGACAGAUUGUAGAGUUUCAAAAUGUUUGUGUAUGGUUUGAACAUGGACUUGACUCGGAUUCCAGUGGGAAUGAUCUGGAGGUGUUUGAUCUGGUGGAGGACAUCAAAACCUAACAAGACAUCUUUAUUGGGAAGGGUUGAACUAAUAACUUUGGUCCAAAUGACACAAUUGGGAAAAAGUUGAAGACCAAUGGGUUUUUUGGUAAUCAAAGAAGUAGAGAAGACUUUGCCAUUGACGGCUUUGAAAUGUUCUUCGGACUGGGUCCAAUAUUCUGAUGGAAGAAUAUGUGGGUUCAACAUGCUGCGUUGGGCACCGGUGUCGAUGAGACCAAUUGCUGGAACGGGCCUUUGGAAUUUUGAGGGUAGGAUCUGGAUUUUGAUGGAUGGAAUUGGGACAGUAGUGUCUAGGGAUAGUAACUGUUGAUGGAAAAUCACUUGGGACUGAUCACUGUCGGAAUCAGAGGAAUUUUGCAGUGCGAACACUGUUUCAUCAUUAGGUUCAUCUUGUUCAGAGAAAUAGAAUUCCAGUUCAUCCUUUGCUGGAGAAUAAUCUGUAGUGGCUUGAAGAUGCUCAACAAGCCGAAUAGAUUUUUCUCUUUUGUUGGGACAAUCUUUUGCAAAAUGACCUUUUCUUUUGCAGAUAAAACAUCUGCUUGAUUUUCUUCUUUGGAAGUCUUUGGAGGAAGAGGACUUUUGCCGGAAGAAUCUGUAUGGUUUUCUGGAUCUGCGAGGUCUGGAUGAAAAUUCUGGAUUUUUGAAUUUCUUGAAAUGCCUUUUCUUCUUAGGACUACAAUCGCAAUCCUUUUUCUUUUGGCAUUUUAUCUGCAGAUAGGGUUUUUUGCAAGCGCUUCGGAAUGGUUCUUUGUCUUUUAACAGUUCUUUGAAAAACUGUUUUUGCUCGCAAAGUUUGUCAAGACAGGUUUUGGCAAGCUGGAAGAUUUUGCCAAGAGAGAUAUUUUCAACAGCAAGGUUGGAUGCUGCAAGUUGUCGCUGUAUGUCUGGUUGGAGUUCAUCUGGAAGGGAUGACAGGAAAACAUGCUUCAAUGUGGGCUCAUUGAAUCCAUUAAGUUUAUAGAACAGCAGGGACAUUCGUUUAUAAUGGAAGUCAAGAUCCUUAGCAUUGAGUGAACAGCAUUUCAUGUUGAGAUAAUCUCUUCAUGCUGCUUCGAAGACUGCAGAGGGGUCUCCAAGGAAUUGAUCAUGGAUAACCGCAAGAGCACCUGAGACUUCUGGUAAUUGAACAAAUUGCAGUUGUCGGUAUUGGCCUAGAGAAUCAAACCAAUCUGUUAGAGCACCCGUAAAACGAGUAGCAUAUUCUCUAAGGAAUGAUUCAGUUGUAGCUCCGGGUCUGAGCAUUUGGAGGUCAAUCCAGGCAGACAUUUCAUUGAGUCGGUCACGCCAUUUAUGGGAUGGAAGAUCAUCAAAUGUGAACCAAGGACCAUUGGACGAUUUUUGACUGGGGGAACUAGGCUGGGCUUGGGCUGGAGGAGGUUGGUUUGUUGCCGAAGAUUCAGGUAUUUCUUCAUCAACUUCGGAGGGAAUAUCAACAUAUGGCUCGGUAUGGGAGGUUUGACCGGUAGAAGGUUGAUCAGGUUGGGUCAUCAAAAUUCGGGUGAUGUCAGCAUAGGACUUCUCAGAGUCACUUGUGGAUGGUGAGGAGGCUGUGGCAGACUCAGUAUGGCUAUCAGUAACGGCUAGGUUGGAAUCAGAAGUUUGGGUAUCUGAAGUAGAGGAAUGGUCUACUGUAUGGGCACUAAACUGGUGCAUUGGCUGUUUAUCUUCAUGUUGAGGAGGUAGUUGUGGAGGUACUGGCGGAGAUACUGGUGUAGGAUCAGGAAAAGGUUGACCAGGGAUGGACAGAGAAGAAGGAUGUAGUGAGACAGGGCGAGAUUGUGGUCGGGAUUGUGGCUUAGGUUUGGGUAGUGGAUUAUCACGAAAAAGAGUAUGAGUCAUACCAAAGAGUUUGGACGGGUCAUACGGUUUGAUGGGGGAAAGCAUAGAGGCAAAAGGAUGAUAUGUUGGACCAAUGGAAGGGAUAGGAGGUGAAGUGGUAAAAAGGGAAGGCCUUUCAAUCUGAGCAAGCUCAGUUUUUAAGCGUCGGAUUUCCCUUUCCUUUUGAUCAAAUUCUGGGCCAGAAUAGCGGUGAGCAAGCAUAGUUCGUAGCUCGGAAUCAAGUUGGGUAAUUCUGGACUGGAGAUUUUGGUGGAUCUGUUGCAUCUGUGUAGUGAUGGAAUCAACCUUUGUCUCAAUCUGUUCAGUUCGUAAACUGAUUUUGUCAACUUUGGAAUUGAUAUUUAACAAAGUAUCAUUCUGGGCCCUGGCAUUUUGGGUUUGCCAGUUGAGAACAGACUCAAAGGGUUUAGGAGGUUCGAGGUGGCCAGUGGAGGUAAUUGGGGAAGGAACAAAAGGUUUAGACACAACAUUUCGUUGAGGGUCAGUAUGAGGUUCUAAUGAGGGAAAAGAUGAGGAGUAAUCAGACGAGGUGGAAGAAAACAUCAUACAAGCCAAUGGAGGUGUUUGAGGCGGAAUUGGUGAUGGAAUCUCAGUUUUGCAAUGCUUUGCAAUCCAUUUGAGUUCCUUUUUGUAAAAGGGUAAAGGAGCCGGUGGGGGUGGAGGAUCUGAUGGUGGUUUUGGAUUAUAGUGGUGACAUGAGGCCGGAGGUUUUUUCUUUUUGGGUUUCUUCUUGGUGGAAUAAUCAUCAUCGUCUUCCCAAUCAUCCCAACAGGGACAAUUUGGGUCACACAUGCCUGAGCCGGGGACAUCCCAUAGGAAAUGUCCAUUUUGCUUGGCUGGAUAAACAGGGUAGCCUUCGGAAUUGAAUCCGGAAAUGGGCAGGUCUUCCUGGGCUGUCUGAACAGCCGUGAUCAUUGAGGAGUAAGUAAAGGAGUGCCGAGGAGGCUCUUGUGGAGCACUGGGAGGUGGCUUAAAGGUGAGUCUGACAGUUCCAUCUUGUCGUCUUUCAAACAUGCUUUCAGAUGUCUGAAUUGGAGCUGUAUUAUUAUGGAACUGCUCAUAGUUGGAGAUCCAUUCAAGAGGCAUAAGCUUGAGAAGCUCAUGACGAGGAAUUUGUCUGGGGAUCUGGAUGAUAGUAGGGAUCUGGUCAGAUUCAGCUAACACCAUGAGGGUAUCAGAGUGGUGUUCUGGAGCGGGAAGAUCUAAGGCAUGAUUCUGAAGCCUAUAGACCAGUUGGUGGUGUAGGGUGGCUAUUUUUGCAGAGGAAAUUUGUUCGGCACCUUGAAUUUGGAUUUGGACUUUCAAGGUUGUGGGUAGGUUGGGAUCCUGGAGAGAAAGGUUAAAGUUUGGAUAAAAGGUGAGCAAGACACUUCCUGCAUGGAGGGUUGUGAGGACAGUGCCUAUAACAGCAUCUUGGUACUGUUUAAACCGGGUAUCAAGCAUAGCAAGGCGAGCUGUAACCGGUAAUCCUUUUCUGCCAUGAAGGGUAAGGAUUAAUCUGAUGCCGCCAAGAUGAAGAUGAGUAUAACCUUCACGUUUCCAGUGGGAAAGCAGCUCUGAAGGUAUUUCCAGAGUGACAUAUUGCUCAGCAGAGGUUGCUUGGAGAGCACACUGAUCCAGGCGAGAAGACUGGAUAUAUUCUUUAGGGUGUGGUCGUCUGGUAGAGAUUAAAGUGCGGAUACUACGGGCAAUAGAACUAGGACAUUUGUAAAGCUGGUAAGGACUGAGGAGAGGGUAAGAGGAUUCACUAAUUUGGGCUGAUUCAGGAAUGUAGGAAUAUUCGACAAGGUUUUCAAUCUUAUUGGUAGUGUGAGAAGUGCAAGAUUUGGGCAAAGAAAGAGUAGAAGAAAGAGUAACCGGAGUGGGAGAUGAAGAGGAAGCCAUGAAGGAGAAAUUCUCCCUGCGUCGUGAAGACUAGAAUACAAAGCAGAAUAAAGAAUAAAUCAUACCAUUUUGAGCAUAACAAAUAAUCAUGAUGGACUUCAUAAAUAAAAUAAAAGAAUUCGUCAUACUUUUUUAAAGAUUUACAAUUUAUGAAUACAAAUGAGCCUCUAGCAACUGGUUGGGUUAGAGUUCGAUUUGGGCCUUUGAUCAAAACAAAUAAACAAUACAAAAACUCAUUUUUCAGUAUUAUACUUAUCUCCAUAAGCAUGCAUUUAAUUUUUUCACAAAUUAUUUUCAAAUUUUUUGUUAUUAUUUAGUUAUUUUUAAGUAGAGUUUUUAAAAAUUAAAUAAGUUAUUUUAUCUCUACCACUAAAAACUCAUAUUUUAUACUUUUAGAAGUAGUGGUUGAAAGUUUUUUAAAAAUAUUAAAACAUCUAAAAUAUCAUUUACUUAUUUAAUUAUUUUAUUUUAUUUCUUUUAAAACAUAACUAAAAAAAACUUACCUAUUAAAGUAAUUUUGUUUAAAAUUUUCAAUUAAAACUCUCAUGGACCACCAAAUAACUAAUUUUCUUUAAUAAAUCUCUAUUUAUAAAAGUUCUUUUAACAAAAACUAUACUUAAAUAAGUUUUCCUUAAAAAAUUAUACCAAACAGUGCCUUCGCACUAUAUAAAAAAAAUAAAAAAAUAUCCUAAUUGUUGUAAGAUUUUUAUCUCAAUGACUCCAUCACAAUAAAAUUCGUGAGUGCUCUAAUUGUCCUCUCAUGUUCUAUAGUCAUGAGUUUUGUGUUGGGCCACUUAUUCAUUUCAUUAAUAAUAAAAGAAAAUGGUUUGAGACUUUGAGUAUUUAAAAAAAAAAAAGAUAAAAGGGGUUGAAUCUCCCACAAAUUUAAAAUAAAAAUGCAACUAAUUUUAUUUGAGUAACGCAGUACUUAUAUUUUCUAGAAGUUUUGUGGUUGAAUUAUGAAAUUACAAGAAUUUUAUUUUUUUGUUAAUUUAAUUUAUAAUUAGUGGACUGAUUCAUUUUUAAUAUAUUAGAUUAGUAAAAUGCAAUAAAUUUUUAGUUGAUUAAAAUAUAUAUUUAUUAAAUUAUAUGUAAACUUAUAAUUUAAUAAAUUAUUAAUUUAUCGAUUAAUUAAUAUAUGUUUAAAUUAAUAAAUUUUAUAUGAUGCCCACGUUAUUAAUUUAUAAAAAUUUGAUUGCACUUUGAAUUCUUUGUUACCAAACUAAACUGUUAAUCUUUAGACAGACAAAACUAUUUUUACUGCAACGGUAUGCAAGGAAGCGAAGUAUCUGCGUCAGCACAGCCUUUCGGUCGCCGUUGAUUUUACAUACUACAACAAAGUCAGCUUUCAUCAUCCACCAUCAAACCCACAUCAACUUCAGUCACUUCCAAGUAAUUGAUCAUUCUUCUUCAUGUUAUUUCUUAAUUUCUAUAAUUAUAAAAAACCUUAAACCCUUGAAGUGGUUGAAUAGAGAAACAGAGGAUGUUAGUGUCGUUCUCACAUUUUCCAACACGAUUCUCGGUUAGCUUUCUAUGCAUGGGAUUGUCUAUUUAUUUCUUUAUUUUUUGUUUUUAAUUGAAAAAAGUUUUGUUUGUGUUAAGUAAUAAAAAGUAUCAGCUCGGCCAUGCCCUCAUUUCUCACCCCGAGGCGAAUCUCCUCAACUGAAAGGCACAAGAAGAGUACUGGUAAAACAUCUUAUGACAGCAUGUGCCAACUAGAGACGAGCACCAACCAGAGAAAUAUACCGACCAGAGACGUAUACCGACCAGAUACCCAUCACCCGAAGAAAGGGCACACGAUCUCACGAAAUCGUGACAGUUUCGCUACGCCCCGAACCGUUGGGGGAGACAUGGCAUCCCACGUUUACCCACAAUCCAAUGAUUGGAAACCCAUGAGGGUCUGCCAUCACCCGAAAAAGGGGGACGUGAAUAGUACGUAGAAACGUGGGACAACGGCUAUAAGAAGCCAGGAAACCAAUGAAAAACUUUGAGAACGUUACAAGAAAUCACACAACCCAAAUUACAUAGCUUUCCCGUAAACACCUUGUGCUAACUUAAGCAUCAGAGGGUUUACGCCGGUAAAACCACCGGCAUCUCUGAUCCAUUUUGUGAACGCAGGUUUAGGAGGAGAAAAAAGGGUGAUUCCUACCCCAAGGGCUCAGGCAAUUGUGGAAACAGGAAGAAAGUGAUGUCUUCACUACUGACCACAUAAACGUUGGUGAAAAGAUCUGAUCGGGUGAAGGGCGAGUAGAUUUCAGCAUCAAAAUUUUGGCGCCGUCUGUGGGGAGCUGGAUAAAAAGCUACCACCAAACUAGUAGUCAUCAGAGGAGCACACGAACGGUCGGUUAUGGAUGUGUCAAGGAAGGAUGCCCUAGGGGGUGACAAUUAAACUGUUGAAAUAAUCACUCUCCGCGAGAUCGUGAAUGAAGCUAGAGAGAGGAUGAUGCAAGAUCGACUGGAACGGAUCGAGAAACAAAUGGAGACUCUCACGGCUAUAUUAUAUGAGCUGAAGGAUGAGCGAAGAAGGGAUUGUGAAACCACCGUGGUGAGAGAUGAAGCCGUGGCAGAACCCAGCCUACGGAGGCGUAGAAUCGAGGAGAUCUCUCCGCCGGUAGACCAAUUCUAUGGGGUUCAUCCCCAUAAAAGUGCGGGUCGGAUCCCAGAAGAGUGCGUAGAUGAAGGGAGGGACCAAUCUCGCUCCGGACGAGUUCUGGAAAUUGAUGGCCAAGGAGCAAAUAUUGAUGAAGGAGAGCUCAGACAGCGACUGCAUAAUGCCGAGCAGGAGCGAGAUCAAAUUGUUGCGCGCGAUCCUGACCGUGCUUUAGAAUUGGAGGGUGAGGUACGCAGGUUGGCGCAGGUGAUGGAUGAGAUCCAGGGCAAGAAAAAGCCCCCGAGCUGGAGGCUAAUGCUGGAUGAAGAAUCUCCGCUAUCAGCCGAGAUCAUGGGUACUAUAAUCCCAAGAGAUUUCCGCUUUCCCGACCUCAAAUACUCCGGGAGAAAUGAUCUACUGGUGCAUAUUGAGCAUUUCAAUGACAUGACGGGUGUGCAGGGGCUAACACCAGCUCAGAGGUGCAGGGUGUUCCCAUUGACACUAGAGGGACGAGCCCGAGAAUGGUACCGUAAGCUGCCACGAGGAAGUAUAAGGGGAUAUGAGCAGAUGUGCCAAGAGCUGGCUGAGCAGUUCCGAGGAGCGGUAGCCCCUGAGGACGAUAUAAUGGAGUUGAUGGGGAUGAAGCAGGAGGAACACGAAUCUCUUCGGGAUUUUGUGAAAAGAUAUCAUCGGGCCGUGCUCGAUCUGGGAGCUUUCAAUCACCUGCAUGCAUUGAGGGGAUUAAAAGAGGGUGUGAGGAUAGGCCGAUUGUGGUACAACUUGAGAAGUCCCAUUGUUCAGAAUUAUUCGACGGGGUUGAGCAGGCGAAGAGAGACAUAGAAAUUGAAGAAGAAAAAACGGCAAAGAUAAAGAGUGAGCAGCUAGAGGAGCUGAGGCGAAAGGAAAAGAGAACCCUGGGUGGGAGCGGGUCGGGAAAGCGAGCUGGGGAAUCGUCAGUGAUGGGUGGAAUAUCAGCUCGGUCUCGCCCUUAUCCCAUGACUCAGAGACCGCAACAGUUCCAACACAGCCGAGCUCAGCCUCAACGCCCCCCAUUCCCUGAGCGGCAAAGAGAAUUCCGACAGGUGGCUGCCCAUCCUUAUCACAACGCUCCCAGGGCACUGCAUGCAGUUAACUCCAGGGCUGGUCGACCAAACUAGCUACCUACAAUACCAGCCCGGGACGAUAUCCACGAUAGCCGAGCGGUCCAACUAAUUGAUCAGAGCUUAGCGUAUAAACAAUACACCCCAUUGAAAGUCUCUAUGGAGGAGUUGUAUGAGAGAAUCGAGGGACGAGGCCUGCUGUACCCUCCUGUCCCUAUAACAAAACCUGCUCACAGACGUGAUAAGAGUAGAUUCUGUAAAUUCCACGACACUCAUGGUCACACUAUCAGCCAAUGUCGUGACCUGAAGACUCAGGUGGAAGAUUUGGUGAGGAACCGGUAUUUGGAUGAAUAUGUAGAUGGAGUGUCCCCCGUCAUUGAACCACAAUAUACGCUGGGUGAUGGAGUUGAGAGGAGUCUAGAGCGUGAACAGCCAACUAUUCAGGUGAUAGCAGGAGGGCCAACAUUGGCUGGAGAUUCAAACAGAGCACGGAAGAAUUAUGGGAGAUAUGCUUUGACCAGCAAAGAGGUACUUUUCAAUUUGCCAACAACCAAGAGGGCGAAAGUAAGGCAAGUUCCCAUUAUGUGGACAGAUGAUGAUGAAGAGGGUGUUUUAUACCCUCAUGAGGAUGCACUGAUGAUUAAAGCGAUGGUGGCGGGUAAAGAAUUCCGGUGAAUAUUGGUGGAUACAGGCAGCUCGGUCGACAUACUAUUUAAGUCGGCCCUAGACGAUAUGGGGAUUGUGGAUUUGAAAUUGGAGCGGACGAACACAUCCUUGAAGGGAUUUGGAGGAGGACGGUUGACCCCCAUGGGGAUCGUCGAGCUGCCGAUUAUCGUAGGAGCGAAACCAUCUGAAAAGACAAUGAUGCUGGACUUUGUAGUAGUGGAAGAGAAAAGCCCCUACCAGAUGAUACUGAGGUGACCUUUUAUGAGGGCAAACCAAUGCAUUAUAUCCACGCAUUAUCUGGCAUUGAAAUACAGAGUAAACGGAGUCGUGGGCGUAGUAAAAGGUGACCAGAGAAUGGCGAGAAGUUGUUACGCUACAGCGGCCAAGGAGACACUACAGGUUACCACUCUGGAUAACCGAGGAGAUUCUAAAAAGGGUCGCCAAGAGCCAGUUGAGAAACUGGAAGAGGUUUUGGUGAGCAAGAGUAACCCUGAGCAGAGUGGUAAGGAUCGGGUCAGGAUUGGGCGAGGCAAUAAAAGGCGAGCUGGUGAAGUGCCUACAGUCCCAUGCAGAUAUAUUUGCCUGGUCACAUGAGGACAUGCCAGGAAUUGAUCCCAGGGUAGCUUGCCACAAAUUGGCAAUCAAGAAAGGGGCAAGACUAGUGAGGCAAAAAAGGAGGUGCUUUAACCAGGAAAGGUACGAGGCCAUAAAUGCUGAGGUGGAAAAGCUGUUGAGAGCAGGAUUUAUAAAAGAAGCUAAAUAUCCGGAGUGGAUUUCCAAUGUAGUAUUGGUAAAGAAGGCCAACGGGAAAUGGAGAUUGUGUGUGGAUUUCACAGACCUUAACAAGGCAUGCCCAAAGGAUAGCUUUCCCCUACCUAAAAUAGAUCAAUUGGUCGACUUAACGGUGGGUCACAGUCUGCUCAGCUUCAUGGAUGCUUUUCCGGGAUACAACCAGAUACCCAUGGACGAGCAGGAUGAGGAAAGUACCACCUUUAUAACUAACAUGGGUUUGUUUUGCUACAGGGUGAUGCCCUUUGGCCUGAAAAAUGCAGGGGCUACCUAUCAAAGGUUGGUGAAUAAGAUUUUCAAGCCAUUGAUCGGUCAAACUAUGGAGGUAUACGUGGACGAUAUGAUCACGAAGUCUAAAGAACCGAAGGAUCAUGUGAAGCACUUGGAAGAGACCUUUGAACUGCUAAGGAAGUACCAGAUGUAGUUGAAUCCGGAGAAAUGUGCAUUUGGAGUUAGCUCGGGCAAAUUUUUGGGGUUCCUGGUGAGCCACUGAGGGAUCGAGGCCAACUUGAAAAAAAUACGGCCAGUAACAGAAAUGAAGUCCCCCCGGACAGUUAAGGAGGUGUAGAGCCUUACAGGGAAGUUGGCAGCAUUGAACCGUUUCAUCUCGCGGGCCACGGAUAAAUGUCACCCUUUCUUUCAAACCAUAAAGAAAGGGAGGAAAAUGGAGUGGACAUCAGAAUGUGAGGAGGCAUUCGGGCAGCUGAAGGAAUAUCUUGCCCGUGCCCCGCUACUAUUGACUCUGAGAGAAGGUGAUCACCUGUAUUUGUAUUUGGCUGUCUCUAAAUGGGCUACCAGCUCGGUAUUGGUCAGAGAGGAGGAAGGAAAGCAACGCCCCGUGUAUUACACUAGCAAGACCUUGGUGGACGCAGAAACUAGAUAUCCACUGAUGGAGAAAUGGGUGCUAGCUUUAAUAAUGACAGCAUGUAAGCUUAGACCAUAUUUCCAGGCCCACCCGAUAGUAGUAAUGACUUACCAACCUCUUCGGCAAAUGCUCAAAAAACCAGAUGCAUCUGGUCGGCUAGUAAAAUGGUUUGUAGAGCUGAGCGAAUUCGACCUAUCUUACAGACCACGAGGAGCAAUCAAAGCCCAAGCCCUGACUGAUUUUAUGGUUGACCGUAUUGAAUCAGGGGAAGAAGUUCAGGAGGAGCAACCAGGUGAACAGGAGAAACAAAAGGGGGUGUGGCUGGUAAUGGUUGAUGGGUCACAUAGUGAACAGGGGUCUGGAGCAGAAGUUGUAAUACGAAGCCCAGAAGGGGCCGAGGUAUCCUAUGCAGUGAAAUUCGAAUUCCAGCUCACGAAUAACCAAGCCGAAUAUGAAGCCUUCAUCACUGAGCUCGGGCUUGCACACGCACUACGAGCAGAAAGGGCAGAAAUCCGAGCAGAGUCCCAGUUAGUCUGUAAUCAGCUCAGUGAUCAAUUCCAAGCGAGGGAAGAGAAGACGAGGCUUUAUUUGAAGAAGGCAAAGCAGAUGGUUGGGCUUUUCCAAGAAGUAGAAAUAAAGCAGAUAUCCCGGAAUGAGAACUAUCGAGCAGAUAUGUUGGCCAGAAUGGCCGCAAUUGCGGAUCCAAAGUUACCCAAGUCGGUUCCAUUGGAAGUGAGGACCUCGCCAAGCAUAGUGGAGGAGAUAGAAGUAAUGCGGGUGAGCACCGAAAAAUCCUGGAUGGACCCGAUUCUCUCAUACAUCCGCGAUGGCAUCUUACCAAAGGACAAGAAGCAAGCAAGGAAGUUGAAAUGUCGGGCAGCAAGGUAUACGCUACUCGAUGGGGUACUCUACCGCCGAGGAUUCACCUUGCCCCUUUUGAGAUGUUUGGAUGACGAGGAAGCAGAUUAUAUGUUGAGGGAGAUUCAUGAAGGAAUAUGCGGCAACCACUCGGGAGCGAGGACUUUAGCCUUCAAGGCACUUCGGCAAGGGUACUUCUGGCCGACCGUGCACCAGGAUGCGAAGGGGAUGGCAAAAAACUGUAAAGUCUGCCAAAGCUUAUCGGAGGUUCCUGCUUAGCCCCCAGAAAAGCUAACCGCUAUGUCAUCCCCAUGGCCUUUUGCCCAGUGAGGAAUUGACCUGAUUGGCCCAUUACCCAAAGGCCGAGGAGCCGCAACACAUGCGAUUGUGGCUAUAGAUUACUUUACUAAAUAGGUAGAAGUGGGAGUCCUCAGUCAAAUCACAGAGAGAAAGACAACGGAUUUCAGCUGAAAGAAUAUCAUCUGCAGAUACGGGAUCUCCUAUGCCAUCAUAACAGACAAUGGGAGGCAGUUUGACAACCACAACUUCAGAGAAUUUUGCCAAAACUUGGGUGUGGAUCUAAAGUUUUGUACCCCGGCACACCCCCAGGCAAACAUGCAAGUGGAAGCAGCCAACAAGGUAAUAAAGAAACUCCUGAAAAUCAGGCUGGGAGAGAAGAAGGGAGCUUGGGUCGACGAGCUUUCAGGAAUGUUAUGGGCCUACCGAACAACCCACAAAACCGCCACAGGAGAAACCCCGUUUGCCUUAGCUUUCGGCCAUGAGGCAAUAAUCCUAGCAGAAAUCGGGGUGGGAACACAUCGGACAGAGUAUUUCAACGAGGAACAAAAUGGCGAGCAGAUCUGCAUGAGCCUAGACCUACUGGAGGAAAAAAGAGAAGGGGCCUCGCAGAGAGUGGCCAAAUGCCAGCAAAGGAUCAUGCGCUACUACAACAAAAAUGUACGCAUGAGACAGUUCCGAGCAGGAGAUUGGGUACUUAGAAAAGUGAACCAAAACACAAGAGAUCCUAAUCAUGGCGUUCUUGGCCCAAAAUGGGAGGGCCCGUACAGAGUGGUACGAACAACUGGCCCAGGAGCUUACAAGCUGACUUACCCAGAUGGACGAGAUGUGAAGAGGUCGUGGAACGCUGAGCACUUGAAGAAAUACUUCCAGUAAGCAAAGUGUUUUACCAAGUUUUUAUUUCGAUAAGUUAUUUCUGUUAAAUGCAUGAUGAAUUGUGGCACAUGCAUAUAUUUCGCCUUUUGUAAUCCAUGCAAAGUUCAAUAAAGAUGAAUUCACCAUAAAUUCCCUCGCUAGACAAAUUUUACUAAGGCAAACAAGUGCCUAUUCCUGCUCGGUCGCCUAAAGGACCAGUAGGCAAGUUUUACAAAUUUCGUUAAGGCAAGCAAGUGCCAAUUCCUGCUCGGUCGCCUAAAGGGCCAGCAGACAGGUUUUACAAAUUUCGUUAAGGCAAGCAAGUGUCAAUUCCUGCUCGGUGGCCUAAAGGGCCAGCAGGCAGGUUUUAUAAAUUUCGUUAAGGCAAGCAAGUGCCAAUUCCUGCUCAGUCACCUAAAGGACCAGCAGGCAAUUUUAUAAAUUUCGUUAAGGCAAGCAAGUGUCAAUUCGUGCUCAGUCACCUAAAGGGCCAGCAGGUAGGUUUUACAAAUUUCGUUAAGGCAAGUAAGUGCCAAUUCCUGCUCGGUCGCCCAAAGGACUAGCAUGCAAGUUUUACAAAUUUUGUUAAGGCAAGCAAGUGCCUAUUCCUGCUCGGUCGCCUAAAAGACCAGCAGGCCGGUUUACCAAUUUGGUUAAGGCAAGCAAGUGCCUAUUCCUGCUCGGUCAUCUAAAGGACCAGCAGGCAAGUUUACAAAUCUUGUUAAGGCAAGCAAGUGCUUAUUCCUGCUCGGUCUUCUAAAGGACCAGCAUGCAAGUUCUACAAAUUUCACCAAGGUAAACAAGUGCCUAUUCCUGCUCGGCCGACUAAAGGACCAGCAGGCAAAGUCAAUUAAAUUUGUUAAGGCAAGUAAGUGCUUUAUCCUGCUCGGUCGGUGAAGGACUAACAAGCAAAUUUCCACGAAACCAUUAAGGCAAGGGAUCGCCUAUUUUUCCUCGAUCACUCAAAGACAAUCAGACAUAUUUUUAAGGUAAUUUGCAGAAAUAAUCCAUAAGCAAAACCAUGGCAAGAAAGCAACCAGAAAGCGUAAAAAUUUUAUAAGCAUUCAAGCAUUUGUAAACAAAUGAAAGUCUAGAAUUUACAUAAAAAAUAAGCCUAAGGAUUAUGAGGUUCAGCAGCCUCGGUGGGAGAAGGAUCAUCAAUCUCAGAAAGAGGAGGACCAACAACUUCUGGGGGAGCAGGCGCUGACCCAUGACCUGCUUCCAGAGCAUGAUCCCCUGCUUCCUCCUCCUGUACCCCACCUGAAAAAGCCUCCACCUGAUCCUGGUCCCCCUGCUCCUUAUCCCCCUGAUCUGACUCGACCAUAUAUUUCUGCACUCCAGCCUCCAGCUUGCUCAUGUUAAGCUCUGGAUAUUCUUCCUUAAGUACAAACAUGAUGCACUUGUAGCAAAAGGCAAGCCCAGAGUUAUACUCUGCAUCCAGCCGAUCGUCCACCUCAGCAGAUUUACCUUUCAGCUCGGCCACCUGCUCAUUCAAAGACUUGAUCUGGUCCUCAAAGGCCGUCUUCAAAGUAUCUCGCUCACUUUAAGUAGCCUGGAGAUCAGACUUCAAGUCACCCAACUCGCCCUCAAGCUUGGUGGAGUUGGACUCAGCAAUGGCCACUUUCUCCUCCAGGUCCAGGAUCUGCUUGUGCAGAUCAAGCAGCUUCUCUUUCGAGCGGUCAGCAGACUCAGUUUUUUCUUCAAGUUCUGGUUGUCAGCUUGAAGCCUCUUCUCAUGGCGCGUGAACCUGUUCUUGUAGCAAGAAACCAGAGUAGCCAGCUUAAAGGAGACCCUUUGAGCGGAACUAGCCAACUCGCUGAGGUUCAUGCUCUCAAUAUCCUUGACCAUUUUUUGUCCCACCAACUUGCCAUAGUCCCUCUGGUACGGGGUCAGAUAGUCACCCUAGUCCCGAGGCAGAAGAGGAGAGGAUCGGUCUCUAGAUUGAAUGCUGACCUCAGGACUCUUGUCACUAACUUUCUCCCCGCCAUUCUUCCGAGGUGGAGGAGGGGGCAGAGCAGGAGCAGAAGCCUUGGAGGAACCAAAAUUGAUUUUCUUCAAAGGAGGGGGGGGGGGGGAUUGCUGGAGCCACCGGAACCCCGAGCACGUUUCCUUGUGAUAGCACUGAGGAUCUUGUUAUCUAUCCCGGCAGCUACGUCCACUAAGCGUGACCCAACAAGAUUGGUUGACGACAAGAGAUCUUGACAGGUAGACGCAUUCACCACGACUCUGAAAGAAUAAACAAGGUUAAGGAACCCAAUAAGUAACGAUUAGAGAAGUGAAAUAUGCAGAAAAAAUAAACGACCUGGGGUGACAAAACACGUUGGAAUGUGAAUAUUACCACCAAGCGAAUGGAUUACUGGACACCAAUUUCCCUAGCAAAAAAGAAUUUGUUCUUCCAGUUUUUACAUGAGGAAGGAAAGCCGGUGAUAGGCUUCCUCUUUGCAGAGCUUGACAUGAAGUAGUACCAACCUGCUUCCUUUGGGCUGCUUCUCAGUUGAUACAAAUGCUUUACUUCCACAAGGGAAGGCUCCCCAAGUCCACACCUUUCCCAUAGCACAUACAAAGCUGAAAGAACCCUCCACCCGUUCGGGUGAAGCUGAUCUGGAGCCAUGUGGAUACCACCCAAUAUCCUGGCAAAAUAAGGUUGAAGGGGCAGCCGAGCUCCUAACUUGAAACUCUCCAGAUGCAUCGUUACAUACCCCCUUGGAGGCCGACUGAGGACGUCACCUUUCCCAAGAAUUACAAGGAGAAUCUCCUCAGGGAUAUUGUAAAGAUUUCUAAGCUUAAGUAGGUCGGUGUGGGUAGUGGCACAGGUAAUAUAGUCAAUGGGGUAAGCAUCUGCCUCCAUCCUAUGACCAAGAUUUCUCUUCUUAGAGGGUCUGCUCAGCUCGGAACUGCUCUCCUCACCGUCACCCACUUCCUCAGGGACCCCAGCCCCCCAGAACUGUGAUUCUCACCAGAGCCCGACGCUGGCCCACCACGAUUUCCCACGGGUUCUAAAUCAGGGGAAGGCAAAGUGGUCAUAGGGCGAGGGUAUUCAAGGGUAUCCCUAUGAUGGGAGGGACCUACACUGCGAGAAGAACAUAGGGGAUCAUUGGGUCCAAACAGGUUGGGGUAUGAAUCCUCUACCUCUUCGUCACUCUCAUCUACAAUUAUUUUUCCCUUUCGGUUUGACAUAUCGAAAUCUUAAAAGGGAAAGCACAGCAAAUCCAAGUAUAUGGGUACAAAAAAGGGACAAUACAGAACCCAAGCAACAACAAUUAGAGAAGAAGUUAAAGGUGAUACCUGGAAUAGACUGGCACUGGUAGCGUUGCCGUGACGGAGAAAGGACCCAGCAAACAGAGGUUUCUGACGUGGAAAGUGUGAUUAAAGUCCAAAGAGGGAGUUGGCUUACGGCAGAAUGGCAGAUAGGGAAACGCAAUGACAGUUUCAAUUUAGGGAUUUAAAACGAAAGGGGGAAAUUGAGGCGUUUAAGUUGCACGGAUGCCAGCUCAAUCACCGUAUAUCGAGGAUAGAUAAGCCGUCGUUUCAAAUUUCAAAUACGAAAGGGCAAGAAGCGACACGUCACUGGCCGUUAGAAAAGCCACGACGAGAUGUUAGCCCAGCUAUAUAUUGGACACGCUCACGAAGGCCCAUACUCAGACCAAAAUCUCCUUAAAUAAAAGACGGAACCUCAGAUCCAUCACAAUAACACGAAGACCAGAGAGAUAUUUCCCGGGGUCGGUAGGAUCCGAUUCUCAGUUUCUAAUCUCAACUCGUUUCACUCGCAAGACCAGAAACUGGGGGACUGGUGUUAAGUAAUAAAAAGUACCAGCUUGGCCAUGCCUUUAUUUCUCACCCCGAGGCGAGUCUCCUUAGCUGAAUGGCACGAGAAGAGUCCUGGUAAAACAUCUUAUGCCAGCAUGUGCCAACUAGAGACGAGCACCAACCAGAGAAAUAUACCGACCAGAGACGUAUACUGACCAGAUACCCAUCACCCGAAGAAAGGGCACACGAUCUCACGAAAUCGCGACAGUUUCGCUAUGCCCCGAACCGUUGGGGGAGACAUGGCAUCCCACGUUUACCCACAAUCCAAUGAUUGGAAACCCAUGAGGGUCUGCCAUCGCCCGAAAAAGGGGGACGUGAAUAGUACGCAGAAACGUGGGACAACGGCUAUAAGAAGCCAGGAAACCGAUAAAAAAGGGGACAGAAAAAUUGAGAGUAAAGGGAAAACUCUGCCAAAUUAAAACCAAAUUAUAUUCUAUACAAGUCUUUGAGCACGUUACAAGAAAUCACACAACCUAAAUUACAUAGUUUUCCUGUAAACACCUUGUGCUAACUUAAGCAUCGGAGGGUUUACGCUAGUAAAACCACCGGCGUCUCUUAUCCAUUUUUGUGAACGCAGGUUUAGGAGGAGAAAAAAAGGUGAUUCCUACCCCAGGGGCUCAGGCAAUCGGGGAAACAGGAAGAAAGUGACGUCUUCACUACUGACCACAUAAACGUUGGUGAAAAGAUCUAGUCGGGUGAAGGACGAGCAGAUUUCAGCAUCAACAGUUUGUUUGAUGACUUUUGUUGAAACUGUAUAUGGGUUGUUUGGUUUCUUGAAAAUGAUAAUAGGAAACUAUAAUUUGUAGAUGAUCUUAAAGAACUGUAUUGCAUGAAAUUUAUAAUGUAUAUUUGAUUUUCAAUAUAAUUCUUUGGGUUGAAAAUGAAAGGAUAUACGAAUCUUGAUUAAGUGCAUUUCAUUGGGAUUGUUCAGCAAUUAAAAUUGGAUUUUGCUUCUUCCAAUGAGUUUUGCGUCCAAUUACAUAUUGAAACACUUCAAUUUGUGUCAUAGUAUAUGAAAGCACCUCACGAGUGCUAUUGUUAUACGUAUUGGCAUUUUCACUUUUGUUACUGUUAUUACAUGGGAAAACUUGGUACCUUGCUUCACUAAUUUGUCGGGUAGCAGUAGUUGCAUCUUUGGCAUGAUAGAGCCUUAUAAAUGGGGAGUACAACCAUAUUUGCUAAAUUUAGAGUAUAAUGGAGUCGUACACUAGUUAUGCUAAGGCACAAUUGUCUUGCUUUUGUUGUAUCUAGGCAACAGGAAAAAAUAUUCACACAGUAACCAGUGAUCGUUUUGUGCUCUAUGGAGGUUCUGCCACUAUAUGCCAAAGGUUUUGUGGCUUAAAGCUAUGGUUACUUGACAGACUGAACCUUAAGCAUUGCAAUAAAAAGCAUGGACUAAGUGAGUCCAAGAUUAUAAAGAAUCAAGAUAAGUUAGAUAGUCAUCUAGAAACUAGUUCAUCAAAUGAUGGACGAGAUUCUGAAGGAGUUUCAACAUUAUCUGUACCUAAUGGUCGGUAAAGACUAUUCUAACACCUUUUUAUUUUUGUCAUUUGUUAUGUCUAUCAAUGUGAAUUGAUUUUGGUAUAUUCAUUUUCUCAUACUUUGCAAUUGGAAACUUACAAUCUCUAGAUUGUGGAACUUAAUUUUCCAUUGUAGUUACGAAAAGAACAACUUCAAAAUUACAAGCACAUUCCCUAAAUUUUCCUGUUCAGAGCGAUCAAGCACCUUCACUUUGCAUUGCUGUAAUACCACAAUUUCCCAGCAUUAUUUGCUCUCUAUUACAGUGGUUUUCUUCCGGAGGUAGUACCACAAUUUCUUUAUCUUGAAAGGCCUCUUUGCCUUUUAUCUAGAGAUGCUACAGCUAGAGUCUUCUUUUUUCACCAAGCCUGUUGUUUUCAUUGUUACAGUUACUAUGUUUUUACUUUUCUGAAUCAUUCAUCCAAUUAUGUUGUUAUGCGCAUCAAAACAUAUUCGACUUGCUUCUACUAUGGCAAGGAAAAUGGGAUGUUCCAAUAAAUUGAAUGAAAGAUAUUGUUCUCAUCAAUAUUUUACAAUUUUCCAAACUUGUUCUAAAAAUUUUUGGUGAAUUUCUGCUUUUUAUUAUUUUUAUCAUUUCUGCCUGCAGAAUGUGGGAAUCGUUGGUUAUUCAAGAAAGAAUUUGACAGAUGAAAACUUGAGGUCCAUCAUAGCUUCAACUUUGACUUGCCGCAUUGAUCAUCGGUAUGGUUCUUAUACAGUCAUACAAAUUCUCUUUCCUACCAUUCAGUUUCUUAUUCUAAAUCCUUGAGUGAGUCAAAUUACUGCCCCUUAUAAUUUUCGAAUGCAACGUGCACAAAUGCUAGAAGUUGCCUGAAUGAUCGAAAUUCAUGGUUGGCAGCUAUUUAUAUGCUGAUGGGGUUUCAUCAAUUUACAACCUUAGGAUCCUUUUGGCUACAUUCGCCAAAGUUUUCAAAGAGAGCAAAAAAAAAAAAAAAAGAGGAGGGGGUGGGUUAGCUUCAUGUCACAUUCUGUUAGCUAGUUGCUAGGGUGGGAUUUCUAUUGAUUUAAAGGAAUUAUUAGUGUGUUUUGGAAGGACCCUCUCAAGUGCAUCUAUGCAAGCAUUAGACUUUUGAAAAUGUGUUAAGUUGAAAUAAAUGCAACCAAGGCUCACGAUGUAGUCUAUCAAGUUAGUUUGAUUGCUAUAAAAUUAGAAUAGAAUGAAUUGAAGAAGUUUAAUAUGGCAUUUGUUCCUCAUGAUUUUAACAUCUUUUCAGGGAAAACUGUGGGGACAAAAUUGAUGCCUUUCUCAGUAGAACAUAUUAUCUUAAUGGUGGUUAUGACAACCGAGAAGGGAUGUUAAAGCUCAGCGCUUUGAUGGAGCAUAUCGAGGUGAGGUUGAUAAAAUCACAAAUCAGUGCGUCUGAUUUGGCGUGAUCUUAAUGAAACUAUUUGGCGUGAUCUUAAAAUUAUUGGCAUCAAAUUGUUGGGCUAUUAGCCGCUUACCUAAUGACUUAAGUUUUGUGCGUCUGAUUUAUCUUACAGUACCUGAUGAAAAAUUAAUGUUUCUUCUAUCUUUUCAAUCAUAAUUAUAAAAGAUCAACUUAUGUGCUUUCUUUUACCUCUAAAGAUUUGAUAAAAACAGAGGAGAAAAAUAGAUAUUAAUAGUAGUAAUGUGUGAUAGUUUAUACUAUUCAGUUCAUAUUCAUAUCUUAGACAGCAAAUCACCCUAUUCCAUUCUUGCAUGAUAGUUUUAUUUGUUGUAUCAUUAGUUGUUACAAAAUAAUACAUAAAUUUGGAAAUAUAAUAUGGCAAAACUUAUUAAUUAUACACUUAUUUGUAAUUAAUAUUGAACAACUUUAUAGUACGGAUUGUGUAAAGGUUGGUUUUCUGGAUUAAAUUCCUAAAAGAUAAUAGAUAAUAUAUUUUUCAUCAUUAAAAACACAUCUCAAUUAUUACAUUGUUAAAACAAAGAACAAGAAAGAAACUACAAUGAAGGUAGUAUAUGAGAUAAUGUCGUAAGACUCAAUUCACUUGUGUACAUUCUAGUUUAACUACACCAACUUUCUUUUUGUAUAAUUAAUAUUUCAUACUUUAAAAGUCAACUCUUUUUUGUCCCUUCUUUUCUCAAAUUCCUUAAACUAAAAGUUAAAACAUUUCUUCACUCUUAUAGACAAAGAGUAAUUAGCCAGAAGUAAAAUCAAUAGGGAUUGAUUUGAUUUAUCAAUGUUCAAGCUGGAUGCUUUAGAUAAUUGAUUUUUUAGCAGCUUACCUACCUCAGGGGGGAUCUGAAGCAAACAGGAUAUUUUACCUAUCUGUGCCGCAAGAAGCACUUCUGGAUGUUGCAUCCACUCUUGCCAUCUGUGCCCAGACCCAGAAGGGCUGGAACCGUAUAAUAAUUCAGAAACCUUUUGGGUUUGAUGCAUUGUCUUCUCAUCGGCUGACAAAAGCUCUUCUUUCCAAGUUCCAGGAGAAGCAACUAUACAGGUGAAUAAUCACAUUAGCUAUACUAAUGUAUUUGUGCACACGCAUUCAGUUUUAACUUUCUUACUUCUUCAAUUUUUCAGGAUAGAUCAUCUUCUGGGGAGGAAUCUCAUUGAGAAUCUUACAGUAUUAAGGUUCUCUAAUAUAAUUUUUGAGCCAUUAUGGAGCCGAACAUACAUCCACAGUAUACAAGUAAUUUUUUUUUUUCUCUAAAUGCAAUGACAUUCACUUGUGCAGCUAAUUAUAGCCACUACCUGUUUGAAUUUUCAUGCAGGUCAUUUUGUCAGAAGAGAUGGGUGUGCAGUCUGGAAGGUACUAAAUACUAAUAAUUCAUUUUAUCUUUACUAACAAAGCCAAUUAUCUUAUCCUCAUGUCAUUCUACGGUAUCAAUAUCAUGUUGUGUAAUUUUUCGGUUAUAUGAGGUAUUUUGAUGGUUAUGGAUCAUCCGAGACAUAGUGCACAGUCAUAUACUCCAAACCAUAGCAUUGCUUGCCAUGGAGCCCCCCAUAAGUCUCAACGGUGAAGAUAUCCGGAAUGAAAAGGUACCUUCUGUUUUUGCGAGAUGAUCUAUUUUAUUCAAAAUCAAUUUGGUUAAUCUUUUGUGUGUAAUGCACAAGUAAGAAUAUAGUUGAUUCUAGCCUUGAGUAGGCGUGAUUUGGUAUACUUAUGUAUGGCACAAAUAGUCCUUCUUUUUAUUCUCUUAGUGGACUGGUGGUCCAUUAUCAGUUUUAAAUCUUCUUUAUUACUACAUUCUUGAGUUUGUUAUAAAAAAAAAAAAAGCACAAGCAGGAUUAGAAAGCACAGGUAAUCUAUUUCCACUGUCCUACGGCAGUGAAGUUGAGGAAUAUACUUGUUAAAUUGCUAACUUUUUGUAGAUGUCCCUAACUUCAUGUGUCUUAUUGAAUCUGGUGAAAGGUAUAAAGGCAUCAGUUUAUCAAGUUGCAGCUUAUGUGAAUGUCAUUGUAAAAACAAAAGAUGAGUUCUGAAAAUCCUUAGGAAGAAAGUUAAUAAUUCUUAUGAGAUGGAGCUCAAAUUCUUGUAUCCAUGUGAGCACAAUUUUAAUAGAACUUAGCGGUUUUUCAACCAAAAAGGUUGCGGGCCAGCAUGCAAUUAUUUUGCUUUUGCAGAGGCUAUUUUAUAUAGCCUAAUUCUUAUGACAUCUUCGUAGAAGGUAUUAUAUUUGUUUUUAGGGGAAGGACAUCUAGUCCAACUUUCUCUGUAAAGAUUUUUAUACAAAUAAACAUUCUGUUUCUAACCCCUACCUCCUCAAAAGUGAAAAAUGAAUACAACAAAAAUUUGGUUGCAUGUGAUCAUGUUGAUAAGAAGCUCAUUCAUUUCAGGUCAAAGUUUUGAGGUCAAUCCGCAGAUUGGAGCCAAGCAAUGUCAUUCUUGGCCAAUAUAAAGCUACUUCUAGUGACAAGGUUGAUGUUAAAUUGAACAGCCUGACCCCCACAUAUUUUGCUGCUGUAUUAUACAUUGACAAUGCACGUUGGGAUGGCGUGCCUUUUCUAAUAAAAGCUGGCAUGGGACUAAUUAUCUUUUUGUUGUAUUUUGACCCCCACAUAUUUUGCUGCUGUAUUAUACAUUGACACAGUAAUAACUAUUUCAGUUCUGCUGGUUAUGCCUUAAUAGACAUUGUCGUGGUUUGUACAUUGCCAGAUUAUGAUAGGAACCUAGAACACACCCUUAAAAAGCCGGCUUGUAAGGGAAGUGUAACCAUCAGCUUAUAUUUCCAUUUAGAUUUACGGCUUAUAAUAUUUCUAAAAACAUAGAAUUAAGAAACAAAUUCAAGAGAGGAAAUUAUGACAUUAACCCGUCAGUCUGUCUUGUUUCAAUUCCAAGACAGUACAAACAAGAAUUCUUCAAUGGAUUGGUGUGUAAUACCUGCAAUGGGUACCGCUGUCCGUUUUUUCCAGAUAGCCAUCACUUUGUAUCAUGCAUAAACAAUUAAAUUAUGCAUGUAACAUAACCAACUGUUGGUAUAAUUGAGUGAAAAUAAUUUUUUCUUUAUUUAUUUCUUUUUUUUUUUCAAUAUGUAUAGCAAACUGUGGUUACAGAUUUUUGUGAUAAAGUGCAGCCAACAACUUAGAUAAGCAUCACUUGUGUAGGUUUCAUCUUGUAAGUUGUUCUGACAAUUCAUGGGCAUCUCCUAGUCUUUGACGUUUUGAUUGUUCAUAUGGAUCUUGUUCCAUGACAACUCAAAAUACAUAAUAAAUAAAUGCAUGGCUUAAACCAACAUUUUUUUUUUGGGCAAUAUGGGAUGUGCUCAUCAACCUUGCCACAAAUGAACUAAUAUUACGUGACGUGCCUGAUGAGGCCAUUCUAGUCAGAGUCAACAACAAAGUUCCAGGAUUAGGCUUGCAAUUGGAUGCUUCAGAGCUUAAUUUGCUCUAUAAGGAUAAGUAAGCACUUCAGCUUUUGGAACUUGUUCUGUUUUUGCUAUUCACUUGUCGUCACCUUUGAUAUCCUUCAUGUGCUUGUCUUUUGUGUUAAUACUAUAGGUAUAAUGCAGAGGUGCCUGAUUCAUACGAACAUCUUCUUCUUGAUGUUAUUGACGGCGACAACCAUCUCUUCAUGAGAAGCGAUGAGCUUACUGCUGCAUGGAAUAUUUUAAACCCAGUUUUACAGGAAAUAGACAAGAACAGUAUUGCACCAGAACUUUAUGAACUGGGUGGUAGAGGUCCCGUUGGAGCAUAUUAUCUUUGGGCGAAACACGAGGUUCAGUGGACCGAAGAUUAGAGGCAACACUUCUUAUAGGGUAAUCUUGCUAAUCUUUCCACAACUAAGACAAAUAAAUGGUAACUUUGUACAUGUAAAUUGUAUGAAAUUAGGGUUGAGAAAUUCCUAUCUGUAUUCAGAGGAUAAUUCUCAAGAGCAUAAACCCCUAAUUGAAAUUGGAUUUUUCUUGUAGAUGAUUUGGGUUAUGCUGGCAAACGAUGUCCUGAAAGCGUGCAUCUGAAUCAAAAAGUACCUUAAACUUCAUUUUGUAAUGAACAAAUGAUGGAUGGUUAUUUGCUUGUUUUAAUAUGAAGAUUUGUGUAUGGUUUUUUGUUAUGUGUGAUCAAAGAGUAAGCUGUUGCUAGAUUGUACAUAAAUUGUUGAUGAUAAUGGAUAUCCGUUUGGUGGUUUUGGGUAAAUGUGUCUGAUACCUAAAUUCUCUUUGACUAUUAAGAAAGGGGAGGAUAUGAAAAAGAGAAGCUAUCGAAAUAGAUGUACACUAUCUUAUUGUAGUAGGUUAUUUUUUAAUAUUUGUCCUAGUACAGUAGGACGCUCAAACUGUAGGAGACUUAUAGAGGUUCUUCUCAAGCAUGCUUUGGUGAGUGAAUUCGAUACCACUGAAGUGUAAUUUUUGAGGGUAUGUAUAAGAUUGGAUAUGUCAAAUAACCUGAGGAGCUUUGCUCAAAAGCAGCUUCAAAAACAAAACUUGUGGCAUGGCGGCUGCAUAAUGAACUUCUUAGUUGCCUUCUUAGUCUUUGCCCUUGUCAUCUCUUUGCUUUUUCACUUCAAAGGCUUAGCAUGAAUCUCAAGAGAGCUUGCAUUUUGCUAACCUGGAGUGAAUAAUUUUAUUUUAUCUGGUCCCUUAUUUAUGCAUCUGCUUAGUUGACCUCACAUAUAGCCGUAAAAGCAUCCAUGCUCCUGUGUUAUAUACAGAAUAAUAUUCUACUUUCGAGUAGGAAUUGCAUAAUGUUGUUGUUUCAAGACUACUUUUCACUGCAUUUUAUAAUGCCCUUUGAAGAAUGCUCUACAAAAUUGCAUAUAUCAAAAUUGCUUUACAGUAGUCGGUGGUUUUUAAAACCACGGCCCCAUAAUAUCAAACGGAUUUUAAAAGAUUGGACUGACGCAUCGAAAUUUGAUCGAACUGACGCAUCAAAAUUUGAUUGAAAGGUUAGCUAGCAACAAAACAUUUUUUAAUCUCGUGUUGCAGAUAUUAUUUUUUUUUUUCCAACAAAAGUUUUAUGCUUCUUGACUUAUGAAAUGAGAAAUAUUAUCGAUUAAUCCGGUAGAUUGAACAGAAGUACCAAUUCAAGAAAGCUAACAUUGUUAGCAGCUAUCACAUAAUCAACAUUAUCAUAUAUUAAAAAAAAAAGAAAAAAAUCCAAUCAUGUGACCCUUUAAUGAAUAAAACUUUUUCACGUACUUAAAGCAAAUAAUCAAGAAAUAGUUUAAAACCCACCAAGUAAAUAGAAGCCUUUUAUUCUAUAUAGAAGAAGAAUUCAGUUUUUAAUCACUGGACAAUUAGCUCAACGGCUAAAAAGUCAGUUACAAUAAAGCCCAUCAUAGAAUUACAAACAUAAUUUGCUUCUUUUAUUGGUAAAGUCAGUUGAUACCAUAGUUAAAUUGCAGGUUAAAAAAAACUGAAAUUACAAUAACACAAUCUAGUUUAGUUUAGAAAUUGAAAUCUAGUAUCAACUGGAAUCACUGGAUCAGUCAGUCUACUUCAAAAAUUGAUCUGUGAUUAAUAUCUAACACAAGGUAUAUGGGCCAAUAUUUUCCUUUAUCCGUUCUGCUCCUUUUUUUCAUCAACGGGCAAUCAUCGAUAUCUAGUUGCAAAAGUGAUUUAGGCAGGCCCUGUUUUGAAAAGUAUUUGAGCUUCGGACAAUUAUCGAGAUCUAGAAAUUCCAAUGAAGUGAGGUUUUCACCAAUUGAGGACAGGCGUUCCAGACUUGGCAUAUCUGAAAUCCUCAGUUGGAUUAGAGAGGCAGGAAACUGCGGAGAUGACACCAGGUCUGGGCAUCCUCCUCUAAUUCGUAAUUCCCUGAGAGAGGUGAAUCUGUGCAAUCCCCACUCGAGCAAUCGCUUUGAUAUCUUCAGAUCAUCAACCUCAAGAGAUUGGAGGUUGGUGGGAAAACCAUCCUCUGGGAAUGAUACCACGCUAGGGCACCGUCGUAUUUGUAAAUUUAGAAGAGAGGUGAGAUUGUGCAUGCAGUUGGGUAAGGCCUUCAGAAUCUCACAAUCCCAUAUCGUAAGCUCCGUCAGUUUCGUAGAAGGCAAUCCUCCUUCCGGAAAUGACUCAAGAUUUGGACAUUCAUGUUAAGUAAAUAAGAGCACCAGCUCAGCCAUGCCAGCACCAGCUCAGCCAUGCCAGCACCAGCUCAGCCAUGCCAUCAUCCUCACCCCGGGGUGGAUCACCUCAGCCGAGUGGUACGAGCAGAACACUGAUAAUGAGCCUUUCACAAACAUGGGCCGACCAGAGACGAGUACCAGCCAGAGGAACAUACCGACCAGAGACAUAUGCCGAGCAGAUAUCCCUUCCCCAAAGAGCGGGAACACGAUCUCACAAAAUCACGACAGUUGCGCUUUUCCCAGAAACGUUGAGGGGGACACGGUGUCCCACGUUUGCCCACAAUGUAGCAGUUAGAGUCCCAUGAGGGGCUGCCACUACCCGAGAAAGGGGGAUGAAGGGUGAAUAGAAACGUGGGACAGCAGCUAUAAAAGAGGAAGAAAUCAAUGAAGAAAGGGAUGAAAAAACGGAGAGAGAAGGGAAAACUCUGCCAAAUUAAAACUAGACUGUUUUUCUGCCUAAAAGGAGAGUAAAUCGUAAGCCAUUCCGAAAUCUAAAUUGAACCGUUUUCCCGUAAACACCUUGUGCUAACUUAGGCAUCGGAGGGUUUACGCCGGUAAAACCACCGGCAUCUCUGAUCCAUUUCUUUGUGAACGCAGGCUUAGCAAGAUAAAAAUGGGUGAUUUCAACCCAGUGACGUAAGCGAUCGUUAAGGCAAGAAAAGAGUGACAUCAUUCCAUUAAACAUAUAAGCGUUGGUGGAAAAAUCUGGUCGGGUAAAGGGCGAGCAGAUUUCAGCAUCAACAUUUUGGCGCCGUCUGUGGGGAGCUGGAUAAAAAGCUACCACCAAACUAAUAGUCAUCAGAGGAAGCACACGAAUAAUUAGUUAUGGAUGUUUCAAGGAAGGGUGCCUUAGGGGAGGACAAUGAAACUAUUGAGACAAUCACUCUCCGGGAGAUUGCGAAUGAAGCUCGAGAAAUGAUGAUGCAAGAUCGGCUAGAGCGGAUGGAGAAGCAAAUGGAGACUCUCACGGCCAUAUUGCAUGAGCUGAGGGAUGAACGGAGAAGGGACUAUGAAACCCCCGUGGGGAGAGAUGAAGUUGAGGCAGAACCCAGCCUCCGGAGGCGUAGAGUCGAGGAAAUCCCCCCACCGGUAGACCAACCACAUGGGGUGCAUUCCCAUAGAAAUACUGGUCAGGUUCCAGGGGAGCGCAUGGAUGAAGGGAGAGACCAACCUCGCUCCGGACGAGUACUGGAAAUUGGUGGCCGAGGAGCCAAUGUUGAUGAAGGAGAGCUCAGACAGCGGCUGCAGAAUGUCGAGCAGGAGCGAGAUCAGAUAGCUGCGCGCGAUCCUGACCGUGCUGUAGAAUUGGAGGGUGAGGUGCGCAGAUUGGCGUAGGUGAUGGAGGAGAUUCAGGGCAAGAGAAAGCCCCCGAGUUGGAGGAUAAUGCUAGAUGAAGAGUCUCCGUUAUCAGCCAAGAUCAUGGGUACUAUAAUCCCAAUAGAUUUCCGCUUCCCCGACCUCAAAUACUCCGGGCAAAAUGACCCGCUGGUGCAUAUUGAACGCUUCAACGACAUGACGGGUGUGCAGGGGCUAACACCAGCUCAAAGGUGCAGGGUGUUCCCAUUGACAUUAGAGGGACGAGCCCGAGAGUGGUACCGCAAGCUUCCACGAGGAAGUAUAAAAGGAUACGAGCAGAUGUGCCAAGAGUUGGUCGAGCAGUUUCGAGGAGCAGUAGCCCCAGAGGACGAUAUGAUGGAGCUGAUAGGGAUAAAGCAGGAGGAACAUGAAUCCCUUCGGGAAUUUGUAAAAUGAUACCACCAGGCAGUGCUUGAUCUGGGAGCUUUCAAUCACCCGCAGGCGUUGAGGGGAUUAAAAGAGGGCGUGAGGAUAAGCUGACUGUGGUACAACUUGAGAAGCCCCCUAGUGCAGAAUUAUUCGGCGGGGUAUGAGCAGGUGAAGAGAGAUAUAGAAAUAGAAGAGGAGAAAUCGGCGAGGAUAAAAAGUGAACAGCUGGAGGAGCUGAGACAAAAAGAAAGGAGAACCCCGAACGGGAGCGGGUCGGGAAAAUGAGCUGGGGAAUCCUCAACAAUGGGCGGGAUAUCAGCUCAGUCCCGCCCUUACCCCAUAGCUCAGAGACCACAACAGUUCCAACACAGCCGGGCUCAGCCUCCACGCCCCCCACUCUCGGAGCGUCAACGAGAAUUCCGGCAGUUGGCAGCCCACCCUUAUCACAACGCUCCCAGGGCACUACAUGCAGUCAACUCCAGAGCUGGACGACCCAGUCAGCUACUAUCAAUGCUAGCUCGGGACGAUACCCAGGAUAGCCGAGCAGUCCAACUGAUUGACCAGAGCUCGACGUAUAGACAAUACACCCCAUUAAAAGUCUCUAUGGAGGAGUUAUAUGAGAGGAUCGAAGGGCGAGGCUUGCUAUACCCUCCUGCCCCCGUAAUAAAACCUACUCACAGACGUGAUAAGAGCAGAUUCUCCAAAUUCCAUGAUACUCAUGGUCACACAAUAAACCAGUGUCGUGACCUAAAAACUCAGGUGGAGGAUUUGGUGAGGAACCGAUACUUGGAUGAAUAUGUAAAUGGAAUUUCACCCAUCAUCGAAUCACAGUAUACGCGGGAUGAGGGAGUUGAGAAAAGCCUAGAUCGUGAACAGCCCACUAUCCGUGUGAUAGCAGGAGGGCCGACAUUGGCUGGGGAUUCGAAUAGGGCACGGAAGAAUUAUGGGAGGUAUGCCAUGACCAGCAAAGAGGUGCUUUUCAAUUUGCCAGCAGCCAAGAGGGCGAAAAUGAGGUAAGUUCCCAUUAUGUGGACAUAGGACGACGAAGAGGGUGUUUUAUACCCUCAUGAGGAUGCAUUGGUGAUUAAGGCAAUGGUGGCCGGUACAGAAUUACAGCGAAUACUGGUAGACACGGGUAGCUCGGUUAACAUACUGUUCAAGUCGGCCCUAGAUGAUAUGGGAAUUUCAUACUUAAAAAUGGAACGGACAAAUACAUCCUUGAAGGGAUUUGGAGGAGGACGGUUAACCCCUAUGGGGAUCAUCGAACUUCCAAUUACGGUGGGAUCAAAGCCGUUUAAAAGAACAAUGAUGCUGGACUUUGUUGUGGUAGAAGAAAGAAGCUCUUACCAGAUGAUACUGGGACGACCUUUCAUGAGGGUAAGCCAAUGCGUUGUAUCCACACAUUACCUGGCACUGAAGUACAGAGUAAACGGAGUUGUUGGCGUAGUAAAAGGCGACCAGAGAAUGGCGAGGAGCUGUUACGCUACAGCAGCCAAGGAGACACUACAGGUUACCUCUCUAGAUAACUGAGGAGAUUCUAAAAAGGGUCGCCAGGAACCUGUUGAGAAGCUGGAGGAGGUUGUUGUAAGCAAGAAUAACCCGAGCAGAGUGGUUAAGGUCGGGUCAGAAUUGGGCGAAGCAACAAAAGGCGAGCUAGUGAAAUGCCUACAGUCCCAUGCAUAUAUAUUUGCCUGGUCUCAUGAGGACAUGCCAGGUAUUGAUCGCGGGGUAGCUUGCCACAAGCUGGCAAUCAUGAAAGGGGCAAGGCCAGUGAGGCAGAAAAGGAGGUGCUUUAACCAAGAAAGGUACGAGGCCAUAAAUGCCGAGGUGGAUAAGCUGUUGAAAGCGGGAUUUAUAAGGGAGGCUAAGUACCCAGAGUGGAUUUCCAAUGUAGUGCUGGUAAAGAAGGCCAACGGGAAAUAGAGAAUGUGUGUGGAUUUCACAGACCUUAAUAAGGCGUGCCCGAAGGACAGUUUUCCCUUACAAAAAAUAGAUCAAUUGGUGGAUUCAACGGCGGGUCAUAGUAUGCUCAGCUUCAUGGAUGCCUUUUCAGGAUACAACCAAAUACCCAUGAACGAGCAGGACGAGGAGAGCACCACCUUUAUAACUAACAUGGGUUUGUUUUGUUACAGGGUGAUGCCUUUUGGCCUGAAAAAUGCAGGAGCUACCUAUCAAAGGUUAGUGAAUAAAAUCUUCAAGCCAUUGAUUGGUCAUACUAUGGAGGUAUACGUGGAUGAUAUGAUCACAAAGUCUAAAGACCCGAAGGAUCAUGUGAAGCACUUGAAAGAGACCUUUGAAUUGCUGAGGAAGUAUGAAAUGAAGCUUAACCCGGAGAAAUGUGCAUUUGGAGUUAGCUCGGGUAAAUUUUUGGGAUUCCUGGUGAGCCACCGAGGGAUCGAGGCCAACCCGGAAAAAAUACGGGCAGUAACGGAAAUGAAGUCCCCCCGAACAGUUAAGGAGGUGCAGAGCCUUAUAAGGAAAUUAGCAGCACUGAACCGGUUCAUCUCGCGGGCCACAGAUAAAUGCCACCCUUUCUUCCAAACCAUAAAGAAAGGGAGGAAGAUGGAAUGGACGUCAGAAUGUGAAGAAGCGUUCGGACAGCUGAAGGAAUAUCUGGCCCACGCCCCGUUGUUAUCGACUCCAAGGGAGGGAGACCAGCUGUAUUUAUACUUAGCAAUCUCUAAAUGGGCAACCAGCUCGGUGUUAGUCAGAGAAGAUGAAGGAAAGCAACACCCAGUAUACUACACUAGCAAGGCCCUAGUAGACGCAGAAACCAGAUAUCCACUAAUGGAGAAAUGGGUACUAGCUCUAAUAACGGCAGCACGCAAGCUCAGACCAUAUUUUCAGGCCCACCCGAUAGUUGUGAUGACUGACCAACCCCUUCGACAAACGCUCCAAAAACCAGAUGCAUCUGGUCGGUUAGUAAAGUGGUCUGUGGAGCUGAGCGAGUUCGACCUAUCCUAUAGACCCCGAGGAGCAAUCAAGGCCCAAGCCCUGGCUGAUUUUAUGGUUGACCGUGUUAAACCAGGGGAAUAAGUCCAGGAGGAGCAACCAGUGGAACAGGAGAAUCCAAAGGGGGUGUGUCUGGUAAUGGUUGAUGGGUCACGUAGUGAACAGGGAUCUGGAGCAGGAGUUGUAAUACGGAGCCCAGAAGGGGUCGAGGUAUCCUAUGCAGUAAAAUUCAAGUUCCAGCUUACGAAUAACCAAGCUGAAUAUGAGGCCUUCAUUACUGGGCUCGGGCUUGCACACGCACUACUUGCUGAGAAAGUAGAAAUCCGAGCAGAUUCCCAGUUAGUCUGUAAUCAGCUCUGCGACCAAUUCCAAGUAAGGGAAGAGAAGUUGGGGCUUUAUUUGAAGAAGGCGAAGCAAAUGGUUGAGCUCUUCUGAGAGGUAGAAAUAAGGCAGAUAUCCCGGAAUGAAAAUUACCGAGUAGAUAUGUUGGCCAGAAUGGCCGCAAUUGCAGAUCCAAAAUUACCCAAAUCAGUUCCACUGGAAGUGAGAACCUCGCCAAGCAUAGGGGAAGAAGCAGAAGUAAUGCGAGUGAGCACCGAAGAAUCCUGGAUGGACCCUAUUCUCUCAUAUAUCCGGGAAGGCAUCUUACCGGAGGAUAGGAAGCAAGCAAGGAAGUUGAAAUGUCGGGCAGCAAGGUAUACGCUACUCGAUGGGAUACUCUACCGCCGAGGAUUCACCUUGCCCCUUUUAAGAUGUUUGGAUGACGAGGAAGCAGAUUAUGUGCUGAGGGAAAUUCAUGAAGGAAUUUGUGGCUACCAUUCGGGGGCGAAAACUUUGGCUUUCAAAGCACUCCGGCAAGGAUACUUUUGGCCGACCAUGCACCAGGAUGCAAAGGGAAUGGCAAAAAACUGUAAGGUUUGCCAGAACUUUUCAGAGGUUCCUGCUCAGCCUCUAGAAAGGCUAACCACCAUGUCAUCCCUAUGGCCUUUUGCUCAGUGGGGAAUUGACCUGAUUGGCCCGUUACCUGAAGGCCGAGGAGCAGCAACACAUGCAAUUGUAGCUAUAGAUUACUUCACCAAAUGGGUAGAAGUGGGAGUCCUCAGUCAAAUCACAGAGAAAAAGACAACAGAUUUUAUUUGGAAGAAUAUCAUCUGCAGAUAUGGGAUCCCCUAUGCCAUCAUUACAGACAAUGGUAGGCAGUUUGACAACAACAACUUCAGAGAAUUUUGCCAAAACUUGGGGGUGGAUGUGAAAUUCUGCACCCCAGCACACCCCAAGCAAACGGACAGGUGGAAGCAGCUAACAAAGUAAUAAAGAAACUCCUGAAAACCAGGUUGGGAGAGAAGAAGGGAGCUUGGGUCGACAAGCUACCAAGAAUGUUAUGGGCUUACCGGACAACCCACAAAACUACCACGGGGGAAACCCGGUUUGCUUUAGCUAACCAUGGCGCUCUUGGCCCGAAAUGGGAAGGUCCUUAUAGGGUAAUACGAGCGACUGGACCAGGAGCUUACAAGCUGGCUUACCCAGAUGGACUAGAUGUGAAGAGGUCAUGCAACGCUGAACACUUGAAGAAGUACUUCCAGUAAGCAAAGUGUUUUACCAAGUAUUUAUUUCGAUAAGUUAUUUCUGUUAAAUGCAUGAUGACUUGUGGCACAUGCAUAUAUUUCACAUUUCUGUAACCCAUGCAAGUUUCAAUAAAGAUGAAUUCAACAUAAAAUUCCCCUGCUAGUAGAAUCCAUUGAAUUUUACUAAGGCAAGCAAGUGCUUAUUCCUGCUCGGUCGCCUAAGGACCAGUAGGCAUUUUCACGAAAUUUUACUAAGGCAAGCAAGUGCCUAUUCCUGCUCGGUCGCCUAAGGACCAGCGGGCAUUUUCACGAAAUUUUACUAAGGCAAGCAAGUGCCUAUUCCUGCUCGGUCCCCUAAGGACCAGCAGGCAUUUUCACAAAAUUUUACUAAGGCAAGCAAGUGCCUAUUCCUGUUCGGUCCCCUAAGGACCAGCAGGCAAUUUCACGAAAUUCUACAAAGGCAAGUAAAUGCAUAAUCCUGCUCUGUCGCCUAAAAGACCAGCAGACAAAUCUACAAAUUUGGCUAUGGCAAACAAAUGUCCAUCCCUACUCGGUCGAUUAAAGGACCAGCAUGCAAAGCCAACUAAAUAUAUUAAGGUAAUUUGCAGAAACGAUCCAUAAGCAAAACCACAAAAAAAAAAGGGGCCAACAGAAAGCAUCAAAAAUUUAUACUCAAAUGUUUACAAAACAGAUGAAAGUCUGAAAUUUAUAAAAAGAUAAGCCUAAGGGUUAUGAAGUUCAGCCGCCUCCGUAGUCGAAGAAUCGGCAAUUUCAGGAAGAAGAGGAUCAGCAACAUCGGGGGGAGUAGGCACUGAUCCUUGACCUACUUCAAGAGCACGAUCCCCUACUUCCCCCUCCUGCACCCCACCUAAAGGAGCCUCCACCUAAUCCUGGUCACCCUGCCCCUUAUCCCCCUGGUCGGCCUCGGCCAUAUAUUUCUGCACUCCAACUUCAAGCUUGCUCAUGUCGAGCUCGGGGUAUUCUUCCUUAAGCACAAACAUGAUGCACUUGUAGCAAAAAGCGAGACCAGAGUUAUACUCUGCAUCCAGCCGAUCACCCACAUCGGCAGAUUUACCUUUCAGCUCGGCCAACUGUUCAUUCAGAGACUUGAUUUCCCCCUCAAGGGCCGUCUUCAAGGUAUCUCGCUCGCUUUGAGUAGUCUGGAGGUCAGAUUUCAAAUCACCCAACUCACCCUCAAGCUUGGUAGAGUUGGAUUCAGCCAUGGCCACCUUUUCUUCCAGAUCCAUGAUCUGCUUUUGCAGAUCAAGCAGCUUUUCCUUCGAGCGGUCGGCAGACUCAGCUCUUUUCUUCAAGUCCUGGUUGUCAGCUUGAAGCUUCCUCUCAUGGCACGUGACCCCUGUUCUUAUAACAAGAAACUAUAGUAGCCAGCUUGAAGGAGACCCUCUAGACAGAACCAGCCAAUUCAUUGAGACUCAUGCUCUCAAUGUCCUUGACCAUUUUCGGUCCCACUGACUUCCCAAAGUCCCUCUAGUACGGGGCCAGACAGUCACCCUGAUCACGAGGCGGAAGAGGAGAGGAUCGGUCCCCAGAGUGAAUGCUAACCUCGGAGCUCUUGUCGGUAGUUUUCUCCCCACCGCUCUUUCGAGGUGGAGGAGGGGGCAGAGCAGGAACAGAAGCCUUAGAAGGACCAACACUGGCUUUCUUCGGCGGAGGAGGAAGAGGAUUGCUGGAGCUGCUUGGAGCCCGACCACGCUUUCUGGUCAUGGCGUUGAGGAUCUUGUUAUCCAUUCCGGCAGCUACGUCCACUAAACGCGAACCGACCAGGUUUGUUAAUGACAAGAGAUCUUGGCAGGUAGACGCGUUCACCAAAGCAGUCUCCACCUGGAGCAAGGGUCUGUCGUCAAGCUCCUUGAUCAAACCCCACGACUCUGAAAGAGCAAAACAAGGUUAAAGAACCCGAUAAGUGACGAUUGGAGAAAGAAAAUAAGCAAUAAAUAAACGACCUGGGGUGACAAAGCGCGUUGAAAGGUGAAUAUCACCACCAAGCGAACGGGCUGCUGGGCACCAAUUUCCUCCAGUAAAGAAGAAUUUGUUCUUCCAAUUUUUAUAUGAGGAAGGAAAUCUGGUGAUCGGCUUCCUCUUUGCAGAGCUUGACAUGAGGUAGUACCAGCCUGCUUCCUUUGGGCUACUCCGCAGCUGGUACAAAUGCUUUACCUCAACAAGGGAGGGCUCCUCUGAUCCACACCUCUCCCAUAGCACAUACGUAGCUGAGAGAACUCUCCACCCAUUUGGAUGCAGCUGACCAGGAGCCAGGUGCAUACCACCCAAUAUCUUGGCAAAAUAACAUUGAAGGGGCAACCGAGCUCCUAAUUUGAAACUCUCCAGAUGCAUUGUCACAUACCCCCUCGGAGGUCGGCUAGGAAAGUCAUCUUUCCUGGGGAUUACAAGGAGAACCUCUUCAGGUAUGUUAUAAAGGGUUCUAAGUUUGAGCAGGUCAGUUGGGGUGGUGGCACAAGCUAUAUAAUCGAUAGGGUAAGAAUCCGCCUCCACCCUAUGACCAAGGUUUCUCUUCUUAGGGGGUCUGCUCGGCUCAGAACUGCUCCCCUCACCGUCACCCACUUCUUCAGGGACCCCAGCCCCACUAGAACUAUAGUUCUCACCAGAGCCCGACGCGGGUCCACCUUGGUUUCCUACAAGCUCUAAUUCAGGGAAAGGAGAAGUGGCCAUAGGACGGGGGUAUUCAGGGGUAUCCCUGUAAUAGGAGGGACCUACACUACGAGAAGAGUGAAGAGGAUCACUGGGUCCAAACAGAUGGGGAUAUAAAUCCUCUAUCUCUUCAUCACUCUCAUCUACAAUUAUUUUUCCCUUCCGUUUUGACAUAUUGAAGUUUAAAAAGGGAAAGCACAGAAUAUUCAAAUGUAUGGGUACAAAAGGGACAAAUACAGAAUCCACAAUACAAAAACCCAAUCAAUAACAACCAGAGAGGGGGUUAAAGGCUAUACCUAGAAUAGGCUGGCACGGAUAGCACUGCCGUGACAGAGAAAGAACCCAGCAAGUGGAGGCUUCGGACGCGGGAAGUGUGAGCAAAGUUCAAAGAAAGAACCCAAUCCAACCUUUUUACUAACGACUCAAGCUUCGAACAGCCUUGGACAUCGAGGUACUUAAGAGCCUGAGGUAGAUUUCCAUUCCGUGUCAAGAAAACAAAAUUCGAGCAAUAACUGACCUGAAGGUGCUCCAGUGUGGCAGAAAAGGAUGUGAGGGAGGUGCACCCACUGCUGCGACCGCGAAUGUCCUGUUCCCUUGUCAAAGACCUUAAAUUAUCACAUCUAAAGAUAAUCAGCCGCUUCAAGAGAUGUACUGCUAUUAAUGGCCAGACUUUCAAGAGAUGUACUGCUAUUUUGCAUCCAUGCCUCAGGUAAGGAUUCCAAAGCAUCGCAUCCUUCUAUUGUAAUUGUUCUCAGCUGGGACAGUAGAGCAAAAUCUGGAAAUGAAACAAGUGAAUUACAACUCCGAAUCUUCAAACUCUCAAGAGAUGAAUUGGAGUUGUGCAUCCAUGCCUCAGGUAAGGAUUCCAAAGCAUUGCAAUCUUCAAUUUUAACUGUUCUCAACUGGGAAGGCAGAGCAACCUCUGGAAAUGAAACAAGUGAAGUGCAGCGAUAUAUCCGCAUCUCUGUAAGGGAACUAAGGGUGAGCAAUGCUUGUGGGAGCCUUGUAAGGCCUUCACAAUUACGCAAUUCUAAAAAUUGAAGCCUGCACGGCAACUCUGGUUGUUGCUGGUCAUGUUCUUCCUCUAUUACCAAGGAAAUCUUUAGCCGAUUAAGGGAUUGAAUGUCAUGCAGCAACCGAGUUUCACUCUGCCAUAAAUAUGUUAGCUCUUGAACACCAUCAGUCUCUAAAUUUUCCAAUUUAGGUAGCCCUUUGUCACGGGAUGAGUAUUUUGCGCAGCUAACCCGUGCAACACUUAGACAACUUUGCCAAAUAUUGCUAAGUAAGCCUAGAGCUUCUCGAACUAAAGAAGAAAGCAAUGGAGCCAAAUAAGAAACUUGUAUUGCAUAAAGGAGAGAUUACAAUGCUUGAGUGCUCAAUGCUUGUUGUUGUGUUUGUUGGAUGCAAAUGCCUAAUGCCAUCCCAUAUUUAUAGGGGAGGCUUGCCAAGCUCUAGAGAUUCUAGAGAAUUCUACCACUUCCUAGCUAUUUACAUGUGCUGGAAUUGUAAGGAGAAUUCUACAGUAUUUACAAGCUCACAUGUUCUAGAUUUGCCUAGAACUUUCCGGAAUUGGGCCAAGCUAGCACUCUUGGCCUUGUGUUGGAUCUCUAGCCCGAAAUUGUGGGCAAUUGGGCUAGCGAAUUGGGCGGUCCGCAACAUCCUCCCCCACCUAAGCUCGUGGCGUCUUCGUCGCACUUUCGUGCUUGAAGUGUUGAAUGUGCUCGGCAAAUUGCCACAAUCCUCUUCACGUUCCCAAGUGGCUUCGCUCUCGGGGAGCUUUUUCCACUUCACCAAGUACUCGCUAUGUGCUGGCACGCCCCUCCUCGAAACCACGCGGUCCGCAAUGAUGUAAUCCACAUCUUUGUCGAACGCGGUGACAACGGCAGUUGGCGCGCGCCUUGAUUCUCCGUGACUUGGGUCUCCCAUGUCUUCGUGAUAUGGCUUGAGAAGGCUCACAUGGAAGACCGGAUGGAUCUUGAGUCUUGGCAGAAGUUGGAGUUGAUACGAGACGUUGCCCACGCGUCGAACAACUCGGAAGGGUCCCUCGUAGCGCCUCACUAACCCCUUGUGAACUUUCUGCAAAGUCUUGAACUGUUGGGGUAGGAGCUUGAUCAUGACUUGAUCACCUUCCUUGUACUCAACAUGCCGUCUCCUUGUAUCCGCCCAUUUCUUCAUUUUCCUCGCGGCUUUGUCGAGGUAGGCUCGCGUGAUGUCCGCUUCCUCAUGCCAUUCACGGGCGAGCUUGUGUGCCGCGGGGCUUUUCCCUCCGUAAGUCGAGGCUAUGGUGUUGGGGGUCAUAGGCUGGAAUCCCAUAAUGAUCUCGAACGGACUCUUGCCCGUAGCCUCACUUCGCUGCAAGUUAUAAGAAAAUUGGGCGAUGUCGAGUAGUUUCGCCCAAUCCCACUGAUGAGCGCUCACAUAAUGCCUCAAGUACAUUUCGAGGAGGCCAUUAAUGCGCUCGGUCUGCCCAUCCGUUUGUGGGUGGAAGCUUGUCGAGAACUUGAGAUCAGUCCCCAACAUCUUGAAGAGCUCCGUCCAAAAACGCCCAGUGAACCGAGGGUCUCGGUCGCUCACAAUGCUCCUUGGAACUCCCCAAAGCUUCACAAUGUGCUUGACGAAUAGGCGGGCUGCCUCAUCCGCUUUGCAAUCGACUGGUGCGGCAAUGAAUGUGGCAUACUUGCUGUAUCGGUCGACAACAACCAUGAUGCUGUCGCACCCUUCAGACUUGGGCAGCGAUGUGAUGAAGUCCAUGGAGACACUUUCCCAUGGCCUUGUUGCUAGUGGUAGCGGCUCCAACAAUCCCGCUGGGAGUUAAUGAUCCACCUUGUCUUGUUGGCACACAAGACAAGUUCGCACAUAUGACUCGAUGUCGUCCCUCAUGUGCGGCCAAAAAUACGAGGCUUGAACUAGUGCGGUGGUGCGCUCUAUUCCUGGGUGACCAGCCCACUUGGAGUCGUGGCACUCCUUGAUUACUUCCUUCCGCAAGUUUCCCCACCUUGGCACGAACAGCCGAUCUCCCUUAGUGAGGAGGAUGCAUUCCUCUUGCCAAAAUCGCCUUGUCUUGCCUUUGAGCACCUUCUCCAAUAAAUCCUUUGCUAACGGAUCUUGUUGGAGGCCUUCCUUGAUGCGUGAGACAAGGUCGGACUUCGGUUGGCUCAUGCUAAGAGUUGCCAAUUCGGCUUUGCGGCUUAGUGCGUCCGCAACAACAUUGGCUUUCCCCUGUUUGUACUCGAGCCGGUAGUCGAAUUCCGCUAGAAAAUCUUGCCACCGUGCUUGCUUCGGACUCAACUUCUUUUGAGUUUGGAAGUAGCUUGUCGCUACGUUGUCCGUCAUGAUUGUGAAGUGUGAGCCAAGCAAGUAAUGUCGCCACACUCUUAGACAAUGGAUGAUGGCUGUCAUCUCCUUUUCUUGUACCGUGUAGCGGCGUUCCGUAUCAUUUAGCUUUCGACUCUCGAAUGCUAUAGGGUGGCCUUCUUGCAUGAGGACUCCUCCUAUGGCGAAAUCUGAGGCAUCUGUUUGGACUUCGAAGGGUUUAGUGUGGUCCGGAAGAGCGAGGACGGGUUCCUCUGAAAUUGCUCUUUUCAACUCCUCGAAUGCGCGUUGGCACUCUUCGGACCAAUACCACGUUCUGUUUUUCUUGAGCAUAUCCGUUAAGGGUGCCGCCUUGGCCGAAUAGCCCUUGAUGAAGCGGCGGUAGUAAUUCACCAGCCCAAGGAAUGAGCGAAGCUCGGGCACUUUCGAGGGAGGUUCCCAUUCGAGGAUGGCCUUCACUUUGGCAUUCUCCAUCAUGAGCUUCCCACCCGCAAUCUAUGACUAAGUUGAAUUGAAGUAAUUACAGAGAUGAUGCACAUGUUCAAAAAUGAAUCUCAAAGGAACUUCUCUAAAUCCUUCAAAACAUAAUAUUAAUUAGCAGUUAAAAAGGACAUAGGAAAAGAAAAAUAAUACAGGAGAAAGGUCUCACAUGAAAAGCUUUUGUUUUUUUCUAAGAAACAAAAGAUUAUAUAUUAAACAAUAAGAGAUAUGUACAAGGAUCAAUGCAACUACAAAUAAACAAAAACAAGGAUGUGUAAAAUCAACCAUGCUUCCGAAAUUCAUUUUGAAAGUCUUUGUACAAACCAUAAAAUUUAUUUGGGAAGCACAAAAGAUGCUAAGGAAGACAAACCAAGGAAGUUGCAAGCUUAAACUUUUCUAUAGAUAGCAAUUGGUAUAAUGAACCAUGGUAAGAACGUCAAUUUAAAAUGUCAAAGAAAUCUACGUAUAUUCAAGCAGUUCAAGUUAAAUUUUGAGAGUUAAACAGGUCACACUGAGAAUUGAAUCAAAAGCCUACCUCGAUGUAGUGGCUCAAGUAAAAGCUUGCCUAUAAAAAAAGUAAACAAGAACUGUGAAUUAAUUGUUAUGUGGGGUCUGCUUGGAACCCAAUUCAGUCUAGCUUUUAUGAAAUCGAGUUCUUUUCUUAGGUUUCGAAUUAUUGUUAUGCAAUUAGAACUGUGUUUGUUUAUCUACACUUUUUCUUAAUUGAAAAUUAGCCAAAGGAUGGUAAAAUUAGGUGCCACAACCAGAAAAAAUGAUGAGCAUUUGCUCUUCUCUCUGUCAAUGUUCCCAGAACUCUUAACAAGAUUUACAUGCUGAAGAAUGUGCACUAUUCGAAGACCGUGUAAAUUGUAUAAGCAAAGAUAUAACGAAGCUGAUUGGACAGGCUUCCCACCAAACGCAUCAAAAACCCAGACACUGCCUUAGGAAGCCAUUUUUUAAGUUGACAAUUGGAAUCUUAUCUGUGAAUUGCAGAAAUAAUGCUAUUUGAACUUUCUCCCAAUAGCAAAAGUGAGAGUGAAUGAAAUAAGCAACACUACAAGAAAAAUGACCUAUUAUGAUAGGUAAAAACUGUCAUCUUAGGGAGUAGAUGACGGUUAUCCUUACUGUCAUUAUAGCCAGCGUCAAGAAAAGAUGACAGAUAAAAUCGCGUCACAAGUUGUGAUAGAUUUUACCUAUCAUAAUUAUGUCAUACUACUUAGAAGAGGGAAAUUAUUUUUUUAUUUUAUAUUUUCAUUUUUUUAAAAAUUUUUGGAUUGUAUUUUUUUUUUGGGAUAUCAAUUGUGUGUAUGACUAGUAUUUUCUAUCACAUUUUUUUUGAAAAAAUUGAUUAUUUAUUUUAUUUAUUAAUUUAAAAUAAAAAUUAUGAAAUUUAAAAAUUUAAAUUAUUAAAAUUAUAUGAAAGAAAAUAAAUUACUAAAUGCAAUUAAAUCCAAAACCAAUGAACUAAAUUAGUGAACUUUAUUAACCAUAAAAAUAUCCAAAGUACAUUACAUUAGUUAAUCCAUAUUCCAAAGUCAAGCCAAUAGACAACAAAGGCCAAUCCAAAACCAAGCAAAGUACUCCGCAUUCAGCAACAUCCAGCAACAAACCUACACAAAAUGUAGUCUUCCAGCAACAAAAUUGCAAAAUCUAGUCUUCCAGCAGCCCCAAAGCCAAGACAUGAAAAUUCAUCCAGCAUCAGACCUAUGCAAAAUGUAGUACUCUGCUAUUCAAUCCACUAAUGCAAUUCUAUUGAUUGGUGAUAAAAUUGAGCUAAAAGAUGAUGUUUAAGGAUGAUGGUUCUCUUGGAGAAAUUAUGAGCGUCAGAAGAACUUUGUUGAUAAGGCGUGGGCGCGUGCUGUCAACUGCGAACCUGCAGUUUUUAGUUUAACGUGUUUUGUAUUUUUGGCUACUUUUGUAAUUACGAAUUUAAUAUUUCAGAUAUUAGUAUUUUAUUUUAAAUAGAAUUCUAGAGGAGAAGAGAGAGAGAGUAUUUAAGGGAGAAAUCUAUUGUGAAAAAGGGGGAUUUUGAUUGGAGAAAAAGAAAGAAACCCUAGAUCUAAUUUUUCUUUUCUCUCUAUGAAGAACUAAACUUAUUUUUCUGGUUGAAGGUUAAUGAAGCUUUGAUUCAUCACUACUGUGAGAUCUUUCUUAUGCUUUAAUUAUUUUAUUACUUUUUGGGUAUUUGUUUAUUCUCUGAAUUAGUUUCAUGAUUAUGUUUGUUAAUUAGGUAAUUGGCCACUAUUUAAUUAUCAACUUAAUCUAUUGUUAAUUAAAGGAUUCUUCGUAUGAAGAUUUUAAUGUUUGUGACAAAUAACAUAGCAGUGAGUUAUGUUAUGAGAAUAAACAAUAAUUUAAAUGAAUCAUCAUAUGUGUUGAUUAGGAUUUGGGUCUCUCUGGUUUUUCAGGCUGUCAAUUGAUUAAAUCCUAUGAUCGUAUCUAGGGUUGUCUAUUGAUUAGGGAAAUAUCCAAUGGUCGUACCUUGGUUAUCGACUAGUUACGGAGAGAUUGGCUAUUAGAGGGUCUCAAUAGCUAUAACCGGUCUAUUCAUAAGUAAUAAUAAUCUAUAUUUGAAUCAAUGAUUAGUAGUCGAAUCAAGCUGAGUUAAUUCCUUCAACCAGAGCUUUCUCCAAUUUGAAUUACAACUUUAAUUUGCAUUCUUGUUAUUUUAAUUUGAUUUGUAUUAUUGUCAACAAUUCCCCCAUUUUAUGUUUUGCGUUUUAAAAGGAUUUAAAUAAUUACCGAUCUCUGUAGACACGACCUUGCUCAAUCACUACACACAAUUUAUUUAGAGUAGGAAUUUAUUUUUGUUGGCUUCGACAACCAUCAAAUUUUGGCGCCGUUGCCGGGGAUUGGUGUCAUUUAUUUAAUCCUUUUUACGUUUUACUUGGUAUAUGGUUCGUUCUUCUCGUACAGGUACACUUUCGUUUGAUCCUGAAAUUGAGAAGACAGCUCGCCAACUGAGACAGCAGACGAAGCGAGCUAAGCAACGAUCCUCGUCGCCUUUGCUUUCUGAAACAGAUACGGUGCCUGAUUUAGUUGAAUCAUCUAGCGAUUCAGAAGAACAAGUGAUGGAUAGACCUGCACCUAUAGAAAGAACUCUUAGAGAGUUAGCUGAACCAGACUUGAAUCAACAACCACUCUGCAUUCAAUAUGUAGACUUGGAGGUAAAUUUUGAAUUAAAGUCUGGUCUUAUUCAUUUAUUACCCAAGUUUCAUGGUUUUGCAGGUGAAGAUCCUCAUAAACAUCUUAAGGAGUUUCAUGUUGUGUGUUCAAGUAUGAGACCACAAGGCGUGACUGAAGAGCAGAUUAAGCUGCGUGCUUUUCCGUUCUCUGUAGAUGGGCUAGCUAAAGAUUGGUUGUACUACUUGCCUCCUGGAUCGAUUACAACGUGGAAUGGUUUGAAGAAGCAAUUCCUUGAGAAGUACUUUCCUGCUUCAAGAGCUGCCAACAUCAGAAAAGAUAUUUGUGGGAUCAGACAACUUCCUGGAGAGACUUUGUAUGAGUAUUGGGGGCGAUUCAAACAAUUGUGUGCCAGCUGUCCUCAGCAUCAGAUUUCUGAUCAACUUCUUAUUCAAUAUUUUUACUAAGGACUGUCAUUGAUGGAUAUGAGUAUGAUAGAUGCUGCUAGUGGAGGUGUGUUGGUGAACAAGACCCCUACUCAAGCAAGGGAGUUGAUCUCAAAUAUGGCUGCCAAUGCACAACAAUUUGGCAGCAGACAAGAUGCCACUUCAAGAACGGUGAAUGAGGUAAAUAUUUCUUCUGUUGAACAACGUUUAGAUAAACUUACUUCUCUUGUGGAAAAGUUUGUUGUAGGUAAUGUGCAACAAGUGAAGACUUGUGGCAUUUGUUACAAUAUGGGUCAUUCAACUGAUAUGUGUCCUACACUUCAAGAAGAACCCGUUGAACAAGCCAAUGCAGUUGGAGGAUUUCCAGGCAUGCCUCAGAGGAGGUAUGAUCCUUAUGCACAAACAUACAAUCCGGGAUGGAAGGAUCACCCCAACUUCAGCUAUGGAGUUAGGCCGUCAGGAUUCCCACAACAGUAUCCACCAAGACAACCAGCACCUCCACAGUCAAACUCCAAGUCAGGUAUAUCUCUUGAAGAAAUUGUUAAAUCACUUGCGACUAACACUCAACAAUUUCAGCAGGCAACUACAGCAAGCAUUCAGAAUUUGGAGAACCAAAUGAGUCAAUUGGCGACUACAGUGAGCCGUCUGGAGUCUCAAGUAUUAGGCAGAUUGCCUUCACAAUCUGAGGUGAAUCCAAAGCAAAACGUUAGUGCUGUCAUCCUUAAAAGUGGGAAGGAGUUGCAAGAGCCUAGUAAGAAAGUGACAAAGCAUGUAGAAGAUGAGCUUGAAAAGAAUGAAUUGAUGCCUCAAUCUCAUGAUGCGGAACCCACUAAAGCGAAACCCCUACCUAUUGUGAUACCUCCUCCUUUUCCAAGCUGGUUUGCAAAAUCCAAGAAGGAGGAACAAGAGAAAGACAUCCUUGAGACAUUUUGCAAGGUUGAGGUAAAUAUUCCUUUAUUAGAUGCUAUAAAACAAAUACCUCGAUAUGCUAAAGUCCUUAAGGAACUGUGCACCUCUAAGAGAAAAUUAAGAGGAGAUGAAAAAGUUCACAUGGGGGAGAAUGUUUCAGCAGUUCUUCAAAAGAAACUACCUCCUAAGUGCAAGGAUCCAGGUAUGUUUACUAUCCCUUGUAAAAUUGGUAGUGUUAGAAUUGAAAAGGCUUUGUUAGAUCUAGGAGCUUCUAUUAAUGUCAUGCCUCGUUCCAUUUAUUCAUCUUUGAAUGUUGGUCCAUUAAAAGAAACUGGCGUGAUAAUUCAACUAGCUGAUAGGUCUAAUGCAUAUCCUGAUGGGGUAUUAGAAGAUGUCUUAGUACAAGUUAAUGAGUUGGUUUUUCCUGCGGAUUUUUAUGUACUUGAUAUGGAAGAUGAUAACUCCUCUAAUUCUGUCCCAAUUUUGCUAGGAAGACCUUUUCUUAAGACUGCUAGGACUAAAAUGGAUGUACAUAAAGGGACUCUCACUAUGGAGUUUGAUGGAGAGGUUAUAGAAUUCAAUAUGAAUGAUGCCAUGAAAUAUCCUAGUGAGGAACAUUCAGUAUUUUCUGUGGAUGUUAUUAACCCUAUAGUGCAGGAAAUUUUUUACAAGAAAAAGACGAAGACAUUUCAUGAUAGAUGAUUUUGAGAAAUGAGUUCUCUGUUGGUCAAAAAGUUCUUCUUUUUCAUUCUAAGCUUAAACUUUUUCCAGGUAAAUUACGUUCUUGCUGAGUUGGACCUUUUAUUGUUACUAAUGUUUUUCCUCAUGGUGCAGUUGAGAUUCGAAGUCCAACCUCUGACAAAGUUUUUAAGGUUAACGGUUAUCGCUUAAAACCUUUUUAUGAAGGUUUUUCGGUAAAUAUUGUGGAGGAAAUGGCUCUCGAGAGUCCUAUUUAUGGAGAUUGAUGCAUAAAUGUGUCUAGCCAAAGACAUAAAACAAAGGCGCUUUUUGGGAGGCAGCCCAAAUGAUUUGUUUAUUUUGGUUUUUGUUUUAUCUUCUUUUAGUUUUGAUUCAGAUUUUUUUUUUUUAAAUGUGUUUGCUUAUUUUGGCCAGAAGAAAAUUUUUGAUAAGGCGUGCCCACGUUUUAACUAAUAAGUACUUCUGUAAUUUUUAAAGUAAAAUAGUUUUAAGGCGUGCCCACGUACUUAUUAGAAAAGUACUUCUGAAAUUUUUGGAGUCUCAAAGUGAUUCAUCAAAAAAAAAAAAUUUUAAAUUUUUUUUUUAUUUAAUUUAAUUUUUUUAAAAAAAAUGAAAAAAAAAAGAGAUUUUCUUUUGUUCUUCUUUUAUAUGUUUAUUUAUUUAUAAUAAAAAAAUCAUCAUUGUUAAAAAAAAAAAAAAAAAAUUUUUUACUGUUCACAAAAUCCCUAAUUUUCCAGAUCUUGUUUUCUUCUCCAGCCGCUUGCAGCACACCAGCAGCAAACCAGCCCGCCGAAAAAUGCAAGCCCCCGCGCGCACAGCACCAGCAACGAGCACUCCCCGCAACGCAACCCAGAACCAGCUCUCGCGCGCAACACAACGCGAACGCAGCAGUGCAUAGAUCCAGCCCCGCAACACAGCGCGAACCAGCAACGCGAACCACCAGCGCCCAACGAAGUCCCACCAGCGCGCAACGCAGCACAGCACCCGCAAAGCAAGCCUCACCAGCGCGCAACGCAAGCCCGCAACGCAGCAACGCAACACAACCAGCCUACGCCCUGUAUUCCAGCCGGGUAAAUCGAAAUCCGUGAGUGCAAUUAUUGUAACAACGCCGAAGAGGAAAGCAUCCACUUCUAAGUCAUCGAAAAAGACACCCAUCGCAAAGAAAUCUAAGAUUGCCACUCCCACUACGAUUCCAUGGAAUACAAUUUCAGAUUCACGCCAAGCCAUGAGACAAAGAUCGAAACAUGGAAAAGGCAUGAGUAUUUUGCCACUUGCGGAAUCCAAUCUCGGAGGGUGCCUCGCAUUCGCAACUCAACAAGAGAAAGAGAGGUACAAAGAUAUUUCCAUGCGCAAAAUACUUCCAGCUAAGUAUAUUCAUUACCCGACUCUUGAAAAAUUGAAUGUUAAGGAUAAUUUUGAUUCUUUGAUAGAUAAGAUUGGGUUGCGUAAGUUUGUUGAUGUUGAUUGUUUGGGUUAUGUUGAGUUGAUUAGGGAGUUUUAUGCUACUUUUCAAUUUAAUAUGCCGAAUGAUUUUACUUUGCAUACCCCGGAUGUCAUUAAGUUUAGGUUAAUGGGACGAAAUUUUUCACACUCUAUCACGGAUUUUAACCUAGCUUUAGGAUUCAUUGAUGAUGAUUAUUCUACUAGUGAUGAAUAUUUAGGAACAACUUGUGACUUUAGCGAAAAUUUUGAGCCUUAUGGCCUUUGGCGUAAUUUAUCUGUUGAUCACAAUGCCUAUGACCCUAGUAAAUCAAAGAGUUCUUUCUUACGUGAUCAUGUUUUGAAAUGUGUGCAUCGAUUCUUAGCAUAUAAUUUUUUAGGCAAGAAAGAUCACUCAGGAAUUUUCUCUAAAACUGAAUUUUAUUUUAUCUGGUGCAUGUUAAAUGAUGUGAAGCCUAAUUUAGGUUUUUGGUUAGCGGAUCAAUUUCAAAGCGUGCUUAAACGGUAUAGGACUUUAUUUCUUGGUCCAUACAUUACUCUGUUAGCUAUAAACCUAUGUGUGCUUGAUCCCGACAAUAAUGAUUUGCAUCCUGCUUGCAAAAAGGAAUUUUUGGAUAUGUCUGUGUUUGAAAGAACAGGUGUGGUCGAAUUCAAGGAGGGGAGAUUUCAGUUUACUGAACCAGGACCCACUCAACUUCCGAAGAAGCUUUAUGCUAGAAGUGGUGCUACCUCUGAUGACGAGUUUGACGACGACACUGCUGCCCCGCCAACUAUUCCUUCUACAUCCGCACCACCUUUGAGCAUUCAGUUAGAGAAAAUGGAGCACAAGCUGAACAAGAUGGAGCAGAAUUUGGCCGCAUACUUCGAGAGUGUGGGAUUUACCCCACCAUUUCCGCCAAACCCAUAGACGUUAUGUGGAUCAAAGCUCACAAUUCAGGGAAGUUUUUUUGCCUUUAAUCUUUUAUCCUUACGCUUUAAUUUUUAUGUGAGCUUUGAUUAUCUUACAUUGGGGACAAUGUAAGUUCUUGGUGUGGGGGAGGGAUUUUUGCAUUAUUGAUGUCUGGAAUUAUUAUUUUCACUCUACUCAUCUAUUUUCACUCUACUCAUCCUUAAAUGAUUUUGGAGUUAGUAUGCUUCAUAUAUUAUUAAUUUUCUUUUCCUUUCUCUCUCACUACUCUUUUCCCAUCUAUCUCAAAUUAUUUACAUCUAUUUUUUUCUAUCAUACUAUUUCAUCACUCACAUUUUAUCUUUCAUUUUUUUUACUACAUACAUCUUUCUCGCUUAUUAUCCUUUUUACAUUUCCUUUUAUAUCUCACUCAUACCUUCUUCUCAUUCUACACCACUAUUGAUGGUUGAUUCAUUUGAAGAGUGUACAUGAUUUGAUGGCAAAUUUACCAACUUUGUGAGGAUUUGAGCCUAUGAGCAACCACUUUGCUCUAAUUAUUUUUGUUAUGUGAAUAUCAAUCUUAGUUUGUAUAUUUUAGAACUUGCUUUGUUAUGCAUGUUGAAGCCACAUUACGGGAUUUUAUGCAUUAAAAUGAUAAGGGCAAACCAUUUACCAUUUUUCUAUUCUCGCAUUUUCUUUUUCUCUACCCGAAGACUUUUAUUUGCUACCUUUCUUUGAGCCUUAACCAUUACCCAUCUAAUUCUCUCCGUCUACUUAACCAUUUUUCUUCUUUUUUAGGCCUCAAUUUAAGGAGAUUUUUGGACUCAUUGUGUGGAUAUAUUUUGUUGCUUUUUCUACCUUGUAUUAAAGUUUCUCAAUUAGAUCAACAAGCAUUAUGCUUGAAUUAAAUUGUGCAAGGUUCGUUUCUUUUGUUUGAUUCAAAAAAAAAACAACAAAAAAAAGAAAAAAAAAAGAGAAAAAGAAAAAUCGAAAAAAAAAAAGUCGAAAAAAAAAAGUUUACAUUCUUGGUGACUUGAGUAGAAAUAAGCAUUUUGAUAUCAUAAGUUCAUUCAAUGAGUUCAUUCUUCUCAUUUUGAUCUCUUUUUCUUUCAUAGACCUUUCUUUUUCAUUUAACCUAUUUAACCCCAUUACAACCCUUUUAAGACCCUUAGAUUUUUGCAUUUAAUUCAUGUUUUGUGGAUUGAGAUAUGAUAUAUAAGCAAGCUUAUGGUAAUAGCAUUCUUUGAUUUGAUUUGAGUGCAUAAAUGACACCCUAAACACUUUGAGUGCAUGGAGUGAAGUUAUUGAGAGGGCUAUUAAAUCUUGUCGCACUUGAAUUUUGAAUGGAUCUUCUUGGUGGUUGAAUGUUCUUAUUCUAUCUUAUGAAAUUCUAUGCUUUAAAAUCCUUGUCUCUCGAAUAUUGAUCGACUUAAUUUCUUGAGGUAUGCUUGCUUAAAAUUGUUUUUGGAUGAGUUGAGAUGAGAAUUGAGUGGAGAUUUGAGAUUAAUCUUGAGUUAUAUGCUUGAGGACAAGCAUCAUCUUGGUGUGGGGGAAUUUGUUAGAGUGCAAUUCAUGCACUAGUUUUGCAUUGUUUACUUCCCUUAAUAUCGAUGUUUUGCACUUAAUAAUAAUGAUUUACUUGUGUUUUACUUUUGUAGGUGCAAUUCUAUUGAUUGGUGAUAAAAUUGAGCUAAAAGAUGAUGUUUAAGGAUUAUGGUUCUCUUGGAGAAAUUAUGAGCGUCAGAAGAACUUUGUUGAUAAGGCGUGGGCGCGUGCUGUCAACUGCGAACCUGCAGUUUUUAGUUUAACGUGUUUUGUAUUUUUGGCUAUUUUUGUAAGUACGAAUUUAAUAUUUCAGAUAUUAGUAUUUUAUUUUAAAUAGAAUUCUAGAGGAGAAGAGAGAGAGAGAGUAUUUAAGGGAGGAAUCUAUUGUGAAAAAGGGGGAUUUUGAUUGGAGAAAAAGAAAGAAACCCUAGAUCUAAUUUUUAUUUUCUCUCUAUGAAGAACUAACCUUAUUUUUCUGGUUGAAGGUUAAUGAAGCUUUGAUUCAUCACUACUGUGAGAUCUUUCUUAUGCUUUAAUUGUUUUAUUACUUUUUGGGUAUUUGUUUAUUCUCUGAAUUAGUUUCAUGAUUAUGUUUGUUAAUUAGGUAAUUGGCCACUAUUUAAUUAUCAACUUAAUCUAUUGUCAAUUAAAGGAUUCAUCGUAUGAAGAUUUUAAUGUUUGUGACAAAUAACAUAGCACUGAGUUGUGUUAUGAGAAUAAACAAUCUAAUUUAAAUGAAUCAUCAUAUGUGUUGAUUAGGAUUUGGGUCUCUCUGAUUUUUCAGGCUGUCAGUUGAUUAAAUCCUAUGAUCGUAUCUAGGGUUGUCUAUUGAUUAGGGAAAUAUCCAAUGGUCGUACCUUGGUUAUCGACUAGUUACGGAGAGAUUGGCUAUUAGAGGGUCUCAAUAGCUAUAACCGGUCUAUUCAUAAGUAAUAAUAAUCUAUAUUUGAAUCAAUGAUCAGUAGUCGAAUCAAGCUGACUUUGUUGAUAAGCCAGCACAUGCAGCAGGCAGCGCGAGCAGGAGCUUUCCGUGCAGCGCGAGGGAGGUUUUUGGCACGUUUCCGGUGUGACGGCGGCAGCAAACUCGGCGUCGGAGAUGGCUGGAAAUUGUGAACAGUGGCUGCCCUUUGUGGUGAUGGCGGCUGGGGAGAGAAAAAGAUGGAUUUAGGGUUUUAAUGGUUUUUAUCAUUACAAUCCCUAUAGUUCCAUAGAUUUUCUCUUUGGGCUGAUAAGUUUUAAUUUUUUGCAUUUAAGUCCAAAAACUUUUUUGGGCUUAAAGAAUCCUAGUUUUAGGCCCAAUUGAAAUUUGGGCUUAAUGGAUUAUAAUGCAUAGAUAAAUUGAACACAUUAAAUCUAUUUUUGGUCCAAAAGUUUUAUUUUAAUAAAAAAAAAUUUUUAACUAUUUAUUUCUUUUUAAAAUUAAAAAUUGGACCAAUUAUAAAUUUAAAAGCCCAAUUUCCCCUAGUCCAUUAACAAAAACAAGAUUAUGGAAGAUGGACAUUGACAAGAAGCCCAAUGAAGAUUAGGCUUAGAGUUAAUGUAUUUUUCAUUAUUAGGAAAGCCAUGAAUUAAGAUUAUUUAAUUGUUUUUCUAUAUGUUAUGUUUUGGAUGAUAACAUGCCAUGAUAACAUGUCAUAUAGAAUAGGUAGUGCCACUCUAUGCAUAAUGAUACAUGUCAUUCAUUAAUAAUGAAUCUCAUUAUAUUGUUUGAAAUUUGUACAUGCUUAAUAAUAUUUGAUAUCAUCUAGAUAAUAUUAUAGGAAGCAUGCAAUUAACAAUAUGUAUGUUUUAAAAAGGAAAAACCAAUUUUAAAAUAUUGAGUGGGAGAGGGAAAAUUCAAGAUAAUUUUCCCACGGGCUCCAUUGUUAGUUCAAUAAUAAAAUUAUAUAUAUACCUCGACUUCAUGAUACGGUGAUGCUCCCUUCGAAGGGUAUAUAUAUUAGAUAUUUUAUUUGAUGAACUUCUUCAAAGAUAAAAUUGAAAUAUUUUUCAAUCGAUUGUUCACCCCAACGGUGACUAUUGAUAUGAAAAAUACGUAGAUUGAAACAAUGGUUAUACACUCAACUAAAAUUUGUUAUUAACCUUCCCAACGAAGCUCUGUUAACAAAUUUAGGCCCAAAAAGAUAACGAUAAUUAUUUAUCAUGUCUCUACAUGAAAGUAAAUAAUCCAAUGGGUAAUUGGGUCUAGUAAGUAUAGACAUGACUUCCCCACCGGAUAGCUUGUCAAAGCGGAACUAGAUUAUCGUUACAAUAAAUUAAAAUGCAUUUAUGGUUUUAUGCAUUUUUGUCAUUUAUUGUGAAUAUUAUUUCAAAUUAUUUAUGCAUGGAUGUUUUAUUUUUCAGAAAAUGUCUUCCCUGAGCCCACUUACUAUUAUUCUGAGUCAAAACAAACUCACUGGAGAGAACUAUAUAGAUUGGAAAAGAAAUCUAUUCAUUGUCCUGACUGCUGAAAAUUAUAAAUAUGUCUUAACCCAGCCAUGCCCUCCAGUUCCAGCGGAUGAUGCUCAUAGAAAUCAGAGGAGGCUUUAUGAGAAAUGGCAAAAGGCCAAUGAAAUGGCAAAGUGCUACAUUUUAGCCUCGAUUUCUAAUAUUCUGCAGACCAAACAUCAGAACUUGGAGACUGCCACUGAAAUAAUGGAUAGUCUCCAACAGAUGUUCGGGCAGAGUACUCGCUCAGCGAGACAAGCAGUGCUGAAAGGAAUUAUGAACAGUAAAAUGGGGAAGGGCACAAGAGUUCGUGAUCAUGUCCUCAAAAUGAUGGACUAUUUGAAUGAGGCUGAGAUUCAAGGAGCACAAAUCGAUGAUAACUCAAAGAUUGACAUGGUGCUAGAAUCUCUACCAAAAACAUUCAAGGAGUUUAAGGUCAAUUAUAACAUGAACAAAAGAAACAUGACCUUAACUGAAUUGAUGAACGAACUCCAUUCUGCUGAAGAGAUCUAUCGUGCUGAGAAAUCUCUGGGAAGCAUAAAUAUUACUGAAAAAAGUUCAUCUUCUGGGCCUAAACCGAAAGGCAAAGGUAAGAAGAAAGCUGGGAAAAAGAGACCGUCUACCAAGCAAGAUGGCAAGCCGAAAGGCAAAUGCUUCAAGUGUGGACAGAAAGGUCACUGGAAAAAGGAUUGCCCUAAGAUUGUGAAAUCAGGUAUGGGAAAUCUUUUUGUAAUUCAGGCCUGUUUAGUUCAGAAUCCUAUUGACACUUGGGUGUUGGAUUCAGGAGCAACUAAUCAUAUUUGUAAUUCACUUUAUUGGUUUCAGGAAACCAGGAAAAUAAGUGAAGGAAGCGUCAAGCUGCAGUUAGGGACAUGACAGUUCGUGUCAGCAGUAAAGACUGGAUUUGUUUUAUUAUCUUUUAAUAAUGAGACUUUAGUUUUGAAUAAUUGUCUUUAUGUUCCAGACAUUAAGAGGAAUUUAAUUUCAGUAGCUUGUUUGUCAAAGCAAGGGUACACUGUAAAUUUUGGAUCCUCUGUUUCUAUUUUUCAUAAUAAGAGACUUAUUUGUUCUGGUACAUUGGAAGAUAAUUUAUAUCAUUUAAGUCCAAUGAUCCAUUCUAUGCAUGACACAGUAAUAAAUAAUGAUGAGCAUACACAUUUAUCUAAGAAAAGAAAUAUUUCUUCCAACCAAUGUUACCUCUGGCAUUUACGCUUGGGUCAUAUAAACCAAAAUAGGAUACAGAGAAUGAUCAAAGAUGGACUCUUGGGUCCAUUAGAAAAUAAAUCAUUGCCACUCUGUGAAUCCUGUUUAGAAGGGAAAAUGACCAAAAGGCCAUUCUCGGCCAAAGGAGUACGUGCAACAGUACCACUUGAAUUUGUACAUACAGAUGUAUGUGGACCAAUCAAUGUACAAGCUCGAGGAGGUUAUGAGUAUUUCAUCACUUUUACUGAUGAUUACUCAAGAUACGGUUAUGUUUAUCUGAUGCGUCAUAAGUCUGAAGCUCUUGAGAAAUUCAAAGAGUAUAGGGCUGAGACAGAAAAACAAUUAGAUAAGAACAUAAAGAAACUUCGAUCUGAUCGAGGUGGUGAAUUUCUCUCAGGAGAUUUCAAAGAGUAUCUGGUUGAAAAUGGGAUUAUAUCUCAAUUGACUGCCCCGGGAACACCACAACAAAAUGGGGUAGCUGAAAGAAGAAAUAGAACUCUUUUGGAUAUGGUGAGAUCUAUGCUUAGUUAUUCGUCAUUACCAAUCUCUUUUUGGGGACUAGCACUGGAAACUGCAGUUUACCUUUUGAACUUAGUUCCAUCUAAGUCAGUGCCUAAAACCCCAAUAGAAUUAUGGUCAGGUCGCAAACCAAGUUUACGACAUGUCCGUAUUUGGGGAUCACCAGCACAUGUGCUGAAACCAAAGGCAAACAAAAUGGAUUCACGUUCUGAGGUUUGUAUGUUUGUGGGGUAUCCCAAAGGAACAUGGGGAGGUUUAUUUUAUAGUCCUCAAGAUAGGAAAGUGAUCGUGAGCACACAUUUCACUUCCCUUGAGGAAGACUAUAUGAAUAACUUCAAACCUAAGAGUAAGGUAAUACUUGAAGAACUGUCAGGUGAUCAGGUUGAUGCUCAGCUUUCAAUGCCUGUUACAGAACAUGAAGAACAGCAACAACCAGAUGAUCAACACAGGAUUAACCCUGAACAACCAUCACUUUUAGAACCUCGUCGUAGUGGGAGGGUAACUAGGUUACCUGCGAGAUACAUGCUUUUGGGAGAAACCUAUACGGCUAUCUCAGAUGAACAUGUACAAGAUCCCACUAGUUACAACGAAGCUCUAAUAGAUAGAGAUGUUGAAUUUUGGAAAAAGGCCAUGAAUCAAGAAAUGGAAUCUAUGUAUUCCAAUAAAGUCUGGGAACUUGUAGAGGCACCAAAUGGGGUAAAACCUAUAGGAUGCAAGUGGAUCUACAAGAGAAAAAGAGGAGUAGACGGAAGGGUGGAAACAUUUAAAGCAAGAUUAGUAGCCAAAGGGUUUACUCAGAAAGAGGGAAUCGAUUAUGAGGAAACUUUUUCUCCGGUUGCUAUGCUUAAAUCCAUCAGGAUUCUGCUCUCCAUUGCUGCCGUGCUAGAUUAUGAAAUUUGGCAAAUGGAUGUCAAGACUGCCUUUCUCAACGGGCAUCUUGAAGAAAACAUCUACAUGCAGCAACCAGAUGGAUUUAUACAAAAAGGCCAAGAACACAUGGUAUGUAUGUUGCAGAGAUCCAUUUAUGGAUUGAAGCAAGCAUCCCGGUCAUGGAACAUCAGAUUUGAUCAAGCGAUAAAAUCGUUUGGAUUCAUUCAGAACAUUGAUGAACCAUGUGUGUACAAUAAAAUUCAAGAAAAAUCUGUAGCCUUCCUAAUUCUUUAUGUAGACGAUAUUCUCCUAAUUGGAAACGAUAUAGGAGUAUUGACUACAAUAAAGAGUUGGUUAGUAAAACAAUUUGAUAUGAAAGACCUGGGAGAGGCAAGUUAUAUUCUUGGUAUCAAAUUACUACGAGACCGGAAGAAUAAAACUUUAGCCUUGUCUCAAGCGGUCUAUAUCGAUAAGAUAUUGGCUAAAUUUAGCAUGGAAAAUUCCAAGACUGGUUUAUUACCAUUCAGACAUGGAAUUACAUUCUCUAAGGAUCAAUCACCUAAAACAUCUGAAGAGAUAGAGAGAAUGAGACGAGUUCCCUAUGCAGAAGAUGUGGGAAGUCUUAUGUAUGCCAUGCUUUGCACUAGGCCAGACAUCUGUUUUGCGGUAGGGAUGGUUAGUAGAUAUCAAUCUAAUCCUGGACCUGAACACUGGACUGCGGUCAAGCAUAUAAUGAAGUAUCUGAAAAGAACUAAAAAUUAUAUGCUUGUGUAUUCUGGUGAUGAACUCAUUCCAGUGGGUUAUACUGAUUCUGACUUUAUGUCAGAUAAGGAUUCCAGAAAAUCAACUUCCGGCUAUGUGUUUACAUUGGGAAGUGGAGCUAUUAGUUGGAGGAGUGUGAAACAAUCUUGUAUCGCAGACUCCACAACUGAAGCUGAAUAUGUGGCUGCAUCCGAAGCUGCAAAAGAAGCUGUAUGGCUCCGCAAGUUCCUACAAGAUCUUGAGGUGGUACCUGCUGUAACUGCACCCCUGAAACUAUUUUGUGAUAAUGGUGGUGCGGUAGCUCAAUCUAAGGAACCAAGGAACCACAAGAAACAAAACAUACUGACGGGAAGUAUAAUCUUAUAAGGGAAUAGUGUAGAAAGGUUAUAUGACAGUACCCCAAAUGGCAUUAGAUGCUAAAUGGCAGAUCUUAUUACAAUGGCCAUUAGUGGGAAACCUUUAUAACCUGCACUUAGAGCCCUAGAGCAUGUACAAUAUGCUAGAUAUGCUUUGAGAGCUAGUGGGAGAUUGUUGGGAAAAUAUGCUCUUUAAAAGCAUAUGUGUUUAUUUAAUUGUAAUAAAUAAUUUUUCUGAUUAAUAAAAUAAAUGAGGUAUUUUAUUCAAAUAUCUUAAUUGCAUUAAUAUUUGUAUUAAAGUCCAUUUAAUCAUAUUAUAUGUAUUUAUGUGAUCACCAUGUGGAUUCACAGAAGACAUAAAUACAAGUUAUCUUAUGAUUAAAUAAAUUCAGUUCGCAGUUGAUAAAUAAAGUUGGGCACUUUAUUUAGGUAUAGACUGUAAUAAAUUCAUUGAAUGAUUUGUCUUAAUCAUGUAUGAAUUUAUUGAUGUAGUACGACUACAUUGAACAGGAUCACAUAUGAGAUUUAAUUAACUUUGUAAUAACUGUCAGACUUAUUAAAUCUCAUAGGCAUUGAUUUUACUGUAAUCUUAAUCUUGAGUUAAUUAUGAUUUCAUGAUUGUAAUUGUUAUUCCAUUUGAGUUACCAAUGGGCACGACACAUCCUUGUGGUCAAGAUUACCCGGUAUCUUGGUGGGAGCAAUUAUGAGUAUUGGAGUUAUGGAUUAACAAUAAAGAAUUUGUACAACACAUCUCUUGAUGGGUUUUCGGCACUUGAUCAUAGAAUUCUCUGGCCAGAGUGUGUCAACAUAUUUAGUAUGUUGAAAAUGAUCAUUAGAAAAAACCAGUAAGGAUCAAGGAAUAAGAUGUUAUUAAAUUGAUUGGACAGUUGAGAUAUCAAUUUAAUUAACGAUGUGGUACAAAGGAUUGUGCAGUAAAGAAAUCAAUGUGGCUUGGGACGAAUUAUUAUUCGAGCAUACAAUUAUGGAAGUCAGUUCCAAUCUUUUAGUGGAGUAGAUUUGGAAUUAAAUAAUUAGGCUAGUUUAAUUACAGGCCUAAUUGUUAUAGCCACUAUUGUAUGUUCCCAAAUGAUCCCCGGGUUAGCUCAUUUAAUUGACUGCACCACUACUGGACUAAUAAGCAAGAUAACUAGCUUUUUGGGUCAAAAGCCUAAAUAUAUCAUUUAGUGGGAGGCUCCAUUUAAUUAGCUUAUGUGUAAGGGGCCUUAUGUUAUUUUACAUGGUGGGUCCCCUAUUAAAUGAAAAGUAACGUGAGUUUUAUUUUGGACAUUAUUUGGAGCCUAGAGUUUUCACUAAAGGGAGAUAAAUAAGGCUUAUUUUCUCAAAAGAAAAAAGAUAGAAGCCACUUUAUACAGAUCGGAGAAUAAGAUUUUUCUCUCUAUUGUUGAGAGAAAAAUUUUCUCGUGCUAGUUGCUUUGGUAGUGAUAAAGGCGCCCACACGUCAAGUGCAGAUCGAACCUGAGUCAUAACCUGGAAGAUCAUUGGUGACAGUUCGUGAUCUAACAAGCGUGGUGGUGACGGAUCGUGAUCUAAUAGGAGUGGUGGUGGCGGAUCGUGAUCUAGGAGCCUAAAUCACUUCAGCGGAAAAAGCCAACUCGGAUUUUCAAGGUACGAUUUCUGGAUUACGUAUUCCUAUAUAUUAUAUGAGAGCGAUCUUCAAAAGGUUUUAUAAAAAUUUAAAAACCUAAUUUUUCCCAACACCAUUGUUACUCAAACUUAGGUGACAGCACAUGCAAAGUGCAUUCACAGCUAGCUAAGACUAAGUCCUGUGAAAAUUCAAGUUUAAAAACCAUCAUUAAGAUGAAAAAUGAAUUUGAAAUAUUUGAAAAUUAACUAAAUUAUUCUUCUAUUUUCCUAAUACUAAAUAGUGGAAAUGCAUUUUUAUUAUCUUUUUUUUGGGAUAUUCUUUUACCAUUUUUCCUUUAAUAACAAAUACUCUAGAAGACAUUCACGGUUUAAUAUGUUCAUAAAAUAAAAUAAAUGUCUAAUUUAAACCUAAUUUGAAUCGGUUUGAAUGCUACUAUUACAUUCUUUUUACAUUAGUAGAUCUUUUGGCUGAUUUUCAGGUCGGAUUUCCAGUAGUCUAGUGAAUAUAUCAUAUUAUGAAAGCAUAGAAGAAAUCAUAAGUCAAGCUGGUGAAAAAGUAAAUGAGAAAUGUACCGUUUUCAGCGAAAUAAAACUUUGGGAGCUUAAUUAUUUACCAAGGUUUACAAUCUUUUGUUGGAAGAAUCACACUCUUUGAAUGGAAUGAGUUUACAUGACACAUUGCCCGAAUAUGAGAACUUUUUCUCAGUGAGUCUUAUGCACGCCAAAGUUACACAAAAUGCGAGCUAAGUGACUAAAAAAUGUUGGAUUCUUAUUGGAUUUAGCACCAACAUUUGAUUUAUGUGUUUCAAUUAUAGCUUAUUUGAUUAAGGUAAUUAAUUUCAAUUAUAGCUUAUUUGACAAUUUGGAAAUAAAAUGUAGCGAUCAUCAAUCUUGUCCAUCAAAUUAAAUACGCUUUGGAGGACAGUGGAGAUUAGAUAUUUUCAUUUAAUAGUUCAUUUUGGUUGAUUUAUUUUUCAGUUUUCAUAAUGCCUGAUGAGACUACUCUAGAGUCAGAGUCAACAAUAAGAUUGUAGGAUUGGGCUUGAAUUUUGGUAUUUGAACUUGUUCUGUUCCUGCUAUUUAAUUCUUGUCACCUUUGAUGUCCUCCAUGUGCUUGGACAUGUGGAACUUAUAAGUGCCAAGCGUUAUUUGUUUGAAUCAACAGAAAAGCAUAAAUCAAGUUAUUAUUUAUCUUUCUUUUAUUAUGGCACUUUCAGUUUCUCUGUUUUGUGAAAUUCUCUUUUUGUGAUUUUGGUCAUCUGGUUUUUAUAAAAGUAUGUAUUAGUCUCCACCCAUUCAAAUUUUGGUUUAUCUUUAUUAAUUUUAGCCACUUAGCUUUACUAAAUAUCAAUUCUAUGUAUAUGCAUGCUGCAAAAUGAACCCUAAGAUAAGAUCAUGCAGACAUACAAUUGAGAAAAUUUGAAUAUCAGGAUUUUCAAACCAAUAAUACAUAUAAUAAUUUCUCUUUUCCUUCAACAUAUCUCUAGUUUAGUUAUCAAUUGAUUAUCUAUUUACAAUUAGAAUAAUAUUAAGAUCCUAACAUUUGAUUCUCAACCAAUGUGGUAUCUACCCAUUGGAUGGCAGAUAAGUAGCUUUGCUAGUUAUAAAAUUUAUCGUAUACAAGAUGAAUGACACAUAACAUUAAGAUGCAAGUUUAAAUACUUUGUAUUAUUAUUACGAAAUACAUAUUCAUGUGGAGAUAUCAACCGUUAGACGUAAUUGUGAGAGGGAAAAUAUUUUGAGUAGUAGAGACUAUAAAAUUUUCCUUUUUUUUUUUCGGUUGAAAGAUGAAAAAUGAAUAAGACAAAAAAAUCUUCAGAAACUGAACAAGUCUAUUUUGCAAUUGUGAAUUAUUUGCGAUUGUGAUUUGUGAUGAGUAAAGCAAGCAAGAGCGUGUAAUAAUGUGCGGCAGAAAAACAGGCUUUGCCAUCCAAAAUUUAUUCUUUUCACUUUUCUUUAAAUUUUCCAUUUUCCAUUAUUGCGAAAUUGCCAAAACAAAAUUGCAAUAUUUGAAUUUAUUUUGAAAUUGAAAUUACACAUAGAUGGGAGCCCUACAGCAGCACUACUAGUUACAUUAAAAAAAAAAAUCCAAAUGGAGUUUGUCUAUAGAUUCCUAGUAGAUUUCAGAUUACAAUGUAUAUAAACAAUUUAAAUAAAAAAAACUCAAGAGAACAGUUGCAAAAGGAAAAUGAUGGAGAGCUAUAUAAUUUUUAUUUUGUUACAAAGAUAAUAUAUAAUUAAUUUGCAGGUGGCGUGGGGUAUGCACAAAGGCAAUUUAAGAGCACUUUAGGCCGCAGACCAGCAACCAGAAUCUCUCAGAUUCAAAAAUAAUUUCAUAGCUACAAUGACUAUUCUGCUAAUAUAUGAUAUGCAUUUUGUUUAAAUACCUGUGAUAAAAACCUGCAACACCAAGGUUAGCCAUAUAAUGCAGAGUGGAGAUUUUCAUCAUGAGGCCAUUCUAGUCGGAAGCAACAUGGUAAUCAUCCUAAUAAUCUUUCCACAAGUAAGACAAGUAAAUGACAGCUUUGUACAUGUAAAUUGCGAUAAUUGCGAUAGUAAAUUGCGAUCAAACCAAAUCCCUUGAGUUGAUGUGUCUGAAAGUUUCUUCACUGCUAUUUCUCGUCCAUCUAGCAAUAUGCCCUGGAAUAAAAGUACAAUCAACUCAUGUUCAAGGUUUGAACUCAAGACUUUGGAUUUGAUACCAUAUUAUUUAAACAGUCGGAUGAGAUACUAUCACACCGACAGGGCCAUAUCCACCCUCCCCAAGCUUAUUUUUGAACCUUGUUACUAAAUUCAUCAGCAACUGCAGAAUUUGAUACUUUGCUCUUUGUUUCUUUAGCUGAGUCCAAUAACCCUAUUGAUAAUUAAAAAAUAAAAAAAUAAAAGAUACAGAAUCCUGGUCAGUAACUUGUUCCCAGAACAGAAAUAUACAGCAUAGGAAAGUAGAGUAAACCAGCUGCAGUUGUCGGGCAAGUGAUUUCUAAUAAACCCAACUCGUUUUGUUUCUUUUUAUCAUCUUCCUGAGCUGUAAAAUUGAUUACAGUGGUAACCAGAAAUGGCAUAAAGAUGUUGAUGCAAAUCAUUUUCAAUCUAUUACUUUAAUAAAAUAGAUUUUCGUGUUUGAUCUGUCAGAUUCUUGCUCUGAGAUAUUGUAGACCACAACUUUAGCUAUGAAACUGCAAUUUUUUUUUUUUAAUAUAUUCUGAAAAGAGAAAUCAGAAAUUUCGAUGGUUCCAGAUUUUUAAAAUAGCAAGAGGGAAACUUUAAUGAGUUAAAUUAAUAUAACUCUAACUAAAUUUCAUCGUAUGUCCUUUUGUUCUGGCUAAAUAAAAAUCCUGCAAGCAAUUAAAAAAGCAAUAAACUAACAAUUUUGGCAGGCCGUUGAAAAGCAAUAAACUAACAUUAUAAAAUCAUUGAUUAAUUUAACUAGCUGCAUACAAACUCAGAAAUGAACUUGGAUUAAACAGCUUUACUUAAUAAUAGAGGAUGAUAAAACAGAUUACUUAGAAUCAUUAAUUAAAGCUUUGCUUUCUUGCAGCUUGCGAGAGCACCCAAUUAUCGUGAUUGCCACGCAACAUAACCAAGCAGCUCCCUUUCCUUGCCAUGAGAAACCUUGUUAAUGUCUUCGCAAUAUACCUUGUUAAUGUCUUCGCAAUGUAACUCUUGAUGCCUUAUAGAUCAUGUCUCAUGCAUCUGUAAUUGCCGGCACUUUUGAUGGUGCAUCAAUGCUAUAUCCUCAGGAUUCACCAGAAUCCAAGCAUAUAUCUUUAAUAAGGAUCACCAAAACCAGCUCAUCAGCUGCAUGAUCUCCAGUAGAAUCUACGCUCUGAGGCACGUACCUUUGUUCUGGUUGUGGACGACCUCAUGAGAUUCAUAUACUUGAUGAUGAUGAGGAUUUUGGUCCCAAAUUUGGACAAAUACCUCUUGAAGAAUCUAUGCAUUCAAGUGACAGUGACUCCAUGGAAAGUGAUCAUAGUGAAGAUAGUUUUCACUCUGGCCCUUCCUCCUUUGACCCUAGGAUCACCACCAAUGCCGCCAUUGUUCAUGCUGCCAUUACCGACCACCAGCCGCCGCCACAUGCGCCGUCACCAGUGGAGCUCCUCCUAAUACUCUUCGUGAUCUUCCUACUUUUGUUGCAGCCUUUGUUCGCUCUUCUCCUCCAUCUGCCUCUUUUGCUCCUAAUCUUGCCCAUCUUGAGGCCACCAUUUUGAAACAAGGACAAGAUAUUGCUAAUCUUUCUACUCGUUUGGCCAAAUUGCAUGCAAAACUACUUCCCUUUUGUAAUCUUUUAGCAAAAGAGAGGGAGUAAUUUGUUUCAAGUCUUCAAUUGCUCAAUGCAAUGAGUUAGGGGGAGUAGUAUUUUCCAUUCUAGGGAGAGAUUUUAUUCAAGAAUUUUUAAUUUUUGGAUUCUAGUUCUUAGGGAGAGUUUAUAUUUUUAUUGCUCUUAAUUUUCUGCUUAAUGUUGUCUUUCCAUUUAUUGAUCAAUAAAAUUAGCAUUUUGUUUUAAUUCUUGCCUUGGUUUAUUUUCAUGAACUAACAUGCUAAUUGUCAAUUAUUUUGGUUAGUUCCUUGUUGUUUAUACUUGUCCAAGUUCAUAUCUUAGCGCCAAAGCUCAUGGAAGACUUGUGUUGGAUUGCUUUUGCCACAAGAAUGCCAAAAGGGGGAGAUUUUUAAGUCCAUUAUUUAUAGAGUUGGCAUUUUAUGGCAAGUCUAGUUAAAUUGGAAGUUUAUUUAUUGCAUAUCUUGUAAUAGGGAUUAAUUUAUUAAUUCCCUAAUUUAGUGAGAUUCCAAUUUAUUAGGAAUAUUUGUUUCCUAAUUUAAUUAGAUAUCUAUUUUAGCAAUUCAAUUAAUGGUGAGAUUCUAUAAUUGGCGCAUGAGAUCUAUUUAGAGCAAGAAGUUGGUUCAAACAGGAAGUCAUUAAAUGCUCUAGAUAUUUCUUAGGAGACAAGUAAGGCAAGAAGAUCAUAUUUAAUCAUAUUCAGAUUCAUGGGAAUUAUAAGAGAACUCUUAUUUGGAAAAAAUUCAAGUUUUUUAAGACUUGCUAUUUUGGUAAAACCCUAGUGCCUAUAUAAAGAGAGAUAUUUCACAAUUGAAGGGUGAUCGCACAACACAAAGCAUAAAGCAGAGAAGCAAAAUUUGGUCUCCUCCCCAAAGAAUCCGGAUUUGGCGCAUAAUGUUGUGUUCAUUUGUUUUCUUAUCUUCUUUUCAUCUCUGUGGAGAGUCUAUAUGGAUCUUGGAUCACUAGACAUUAAAGAAUUGAAGAAUUGCUAUUGAUCACUUUGCGAAGUGCCUUGAGGAUCGUGGAUCAAGACGGGUAGUAAUUAUUCAAGAGAAGCAGAUUCAUUCUAAGGUAGAGUAAACUGUAUGGUGAUAAAUUGUAAGUGAGAGUUUUAAGUUUGGUAAAUCCAUAGGUUGUAACAUCUCAACUUAGUGAAUUGCUUUUCAUCUGGGCGUGGCCUUGUGGAUGUAGGAUUGAUUAAUCCGAACCACGUAAAAAUCUUCGUGUCAUCUAUUUUCUGCAUUUUAUUGUGUUUUUGGAAAACUAAUAUUUUUUAUGCGGAUGAACAGUAAACGUGAACAUUAAACGUGAACAGUAACUGUGAACAGUUGCAGUGAAAAGUAACAGCGAACAGUAACAAUGAACAGUACUUCUGAAAAAAAUUAAUUAAGUAAUUAAUUUUUUUAUAUUUAAUUGCCUACAUCUAUUUUCGAUAGAUCUAAAUUCCUAUAACAAGUGACCACUGGCCAACACACAUUAAAGUUGGGCAAAUAACAGUGAAAAAAAUGCUUGAAUUUGUUCAAUCCACUAGAUUAAUCCAUAAUAUUUCUCAUUUCAUAAGUCAAUAAGCGGAAAACUUUUGAAUGGGAAAAAAAAUCUGCAACACGAGAUUAGAGAUAAUUUGAAGAUUUGAAUUACUGAAAUACGAAUUCAAGAAAGCAAGCUAUCACAUAAUCAACAUUAUCAUAUUAAAAGAAAGAAAGAAAGAAAGAAUCCUAUCAUGUAACCUUUAAUAAAUAAAUCCAUUUCACAUACUUAAAACCAAAUAAUGAAGGGAAAGAAACAAUUUAAGACGUAGCAUACCAAAUAAUAAAAGACUUUAAAACAAGGGUUAAUUUCGGCCUAUCCCUUUCGUGAAGUGACAAUCUUCAAAUCGCCCCCUUAUUAUUGAAAACAUCAAGUUACCCUAAGACUUGUUAUCUCUUUGUUAUUUUUAACAGGUAAAAGGAUAAAAUAGUAUUUGAACAUUUUCCUAAUAGUCAAUUAACGGAAAAAGGUCAAACCUAGGGAGACUAAUUUUCAUGGGUCCAAAUCUUUCUAGGUUCUUUAAAACACAAACAAAUAUUUAUAAUAUGCUCCCUAAUACUUUAAAAUAUUUCUAUUUUGUGCCUAUAUGACUAAUUUUUUUGAACGGAUUAAACUUUACCUUUUUGUAUUUAAAAAUUUUAUUUUAAAAAAUAAAUAUAGAAAUUAAUUAAAAGCGACAAAUGGAAAAAGAAUAAUAUUUUAUCUUUUUCAUUUUUUUAUUAUUAUCAUUAUUUUUUUUUCAUUUUGUAAAGGUAUUUAAAAAAAUAUACAUAUAAAAAAAAGAAAAAUCAAGGAACAAAAAAAAAAUGCUACUGGAGUUUUACCAAACACCUUCACCACACACAACCUAGAAAUCUUCUAGUUCUUAGCUUAUUCACUAGACUCAAAAUAUUAAUCUUCUAAGAAAAACAAAUCACAUAAAUUAGAAGGACAGCAGACUCCACUUUUUUUUAAUCCAUUCCCACAAACGGCCAAACCAAAACCGAAAGCCGCACACCUUCCAUCAUCCUAAUUCAUAUAGCACUAUUGUUGAUGCAUCAAUUUGGAUAGGAUUUUAACAAAGUUCACUAUGGCUAUUGUUUCUUUAUUUCUCUUUCUUCUUCUUUUCCUAACUUUUUUUUCCCUUCAAAAUUCAUCAUUGCUGAAGGUAGCUUUAAAAACCCACUUGCACAACACACACAACCAUUUAAUUCUACCUUCUUUUGUUAAUUUCAACAAAAUUUAAUACUCACUCUUAUAUUUUAUUUUGCAAAUGACUUUCACCCAGUAUUUUCAAUUUCCCUAAUGGAUGAUUGGUUGUUCUGGGUUUUGGAUUUUAUAGAUUUUGAUUUCUGGGUUUUGGAUUCUAAUAUGUAGAAAUUAAGUUUUAGUUUUGAUUUAAUGUGAGAUUAGAUUUGAAUAAUGGUUGUAUGGUUGUCAUGUACAUGAAAGGAAAAAAAUGAAAAAAAAAAGAUGGAGUAAGGAUGAGAAAAAAGCAAAUGAAAGAAAAAGACGAAGAAAAAUGAAAGAAAUGAAAAAAAAAAGGACGAAAGUGGCAUGGCUUGUAAUUUUGAAAUUUGAUCUUGGUGGCAUUAUUGUGAUUUACAUACGAUGACAUGUCUUAUAAUUUGCUUAACUAAUAUGUCUAAUUUAAGAAAUCUAUCAAUUUAUUUAGGUCCAUUAAGUUAUUUCAACAAUUAUUUUCUAAUUUUUUCUUCACUGUUUAUAUAUUAAUAUUUUAAUAGUUAAUUUUUUCAUUUUUCAAUGACUAGUCAUACAUCAACUAUUUUUUUCCAUUUUUCAAUGAUUAGUCACACAUUAACUAUUUCUUUUAAGCCUUACAAUGCUGUUACAAGAAUAUUCUAUUAGGGUAUGGGGUACUUUCGUACUUUUAUGAGUUAACGGCAGUCAAUAGUUAAAGAUAACGAGUUUUAGGGGGUAAUUUGAUGUUUUCAAUAAUAAGGGGGUGAUUUGAAGAUUGUCACUUCAUGAAAGGGGUAGCCCGAAAUGAACCCUAAAAACAAUACACUUGAAAAGUGUUCACACACGUUUGAUACGGGUGUCAUUUAAGGGUAUAUGACUUAUAAUUUCCCUUGAUGUUUUCAAUAAUAAGGGGUGAUUUGAAGAUUGUCACUUCAUGAAGGGGGUAGCCUGAAAUGAACCCUAAAAACAAUAGCCUCAAGUCCUUAACUAUGUGGAAGACUUUUAAUUUUUAGUAAGAAGAUAAUUAAUACCCAUAAAUAUAAUCGGCACAUAAGAGAAAUGUAAGCUUAAGGUUUUUUUUUUUUGAAAAAAAAAAUUAAAACGUCACUCACCAAAUAAUAGAAGACUUAAAGACAAAAGGCUUAUUUUGUAUAGAAGACUUUAAUUUUUAAUCACAAGACAAUCAACUCAACAGCAGAAAAGUCAAUUACAUAAAGCGCAUCAUGGAAUCCGAAACAUAAUUUUCUUCUUUUAUAAAUAAAGGCAGUUGACACUACAGUUAAAUUACAGGUUAAAAAAAAUACUCAAUCUAGUUUAGUUUAGAAAUUGAAAUCUAGUAUCAACUGGAAUCACUGGAUCAGUCAGUCUACUUCAAAAAUUGAUCUGUGAUUAAUAUCUAACACAAGGUAUAUGGGUAAUCAUGGGCCAAUAUUUUCCUUUAUCCGUUCUGCACCUUUUCUCUAUCAACGGGCACUCAUCGAUAAUUAGUCGCAAAAGUGAUUUAGGCAGGCCCUGUUUUGAAAAGUAUUUUAGCUUCGGACAAUUAUCGAGAUCUAGAAAUUUCAAUGAAGUGAGGUUUUCACCAAUUGAAGACAGGCGUUCCAGACUUGGCAUAUCUGAAAUCUUCAGUUCGGUUAGAGAGGCGGGAAACCGUGGAGAUGACACCAGGUCUGGACAUCCUCCGCUGAUUUUUAAUUUCCUGAGAGAGUUGAAUCUGUUCAAUCCCCACUGGAACAAUGGCUUUGAUAUCUUCAGAUCUUCAAACUCAAGCGAUUGGAGGUUGGUGGGAAACCCAUCCUCUGGGAAAGAUACCAAGCUAGGGCAUCGACCUAUUUCUAAAUGUAGAAGAGAGGUGAGAUUGUGCAUACUGUUGGGUAACGCCUUCAGAUUCUCACAACUCCAGAUCAUGAGCUCAGUCAGUUUCGUAGAAGGCAAUCCUUCUUCGGGAAAUGACACAAGAUUUGGCCAUCCAUCUACCCUAGUCUUUUCAAGAUGGUGGAGAUUAUGCAAACCGACGGGUAAUGAUUUAAGAUUUUCAAGCCAUGAAAUAGUGAUUUCUUCAAGGGAUGUGUUGUCCAACCUUUCUGCUAACGACUCCAGCUUUGAACAGUCUCUGAUCUUGAGGUACUUAAGAGCCUGAGGUAGAUUUCCAUUCCGUGACAAGAAAGCAAGAUUCGAGCAAGAACUGGCCUCAAGGUGCUCCAGCGUGGCAGGUAAAUCGUUUUCUGAAGAAAAGGAUGUGAGGCAGGUGCACCCACUGCUGCUACCGCGGAUGUCCUGUUCCCCUGUCAAAGCCUUAAAUUAUCACAUCUAAAGAUAAUCAGCCGCUUCAAGCUCGGAGGUAGCUGGAUUAUAGCAAUAUAUGUCAAAGAAUCACAACUAUCAAUGGCCAGACUUUCAAGAGAUGUACUGCUAUUUUGCAUCCAUGCCUCAGGUAAGGAUUCCAAAGCAUCGCAUCCUUCUAUUGUAACUGUUCUCAGCCGGGACGGCAGAGCAAAAUCUGGAAAUGAAACAAGUGAAUUACAACUCCGAAUCUUCAAACUCUCAAGAGAUGAAUUGGAGUUGUGCAUCCAUGCCUCAGGUAAGGAUUCCAAAGCAUUGCAAUCUUCAAUUUUAACUGUUCUCAACUGGGAACUAAGGGUGAGCAAUGCUUGUGGUAGCCUUGUAAGGCCUUCACAAUUACACAAUUCCAAAAAUUGAAGCCUGCACGGCAACUCUGGCUGUUGCUGGUCAUGUUCUUCCUCUGUUACCAAGGAAAGCAGUUGGGGACAUCUUGAAAUCUGCAACCGAUUAAGGGACCUAAUGUCUUGCAGCAACCGAGUUUCACUCUGCCAUAAAUAUGUUUGCUCUCGAACAUGUUGAAUCUCUAAACGUUCCAAUUUAGGUAGCCUUUGUUCAAACACUUCUUUUGCCAUAUCCCCUGAAUGCACUAAUUUCAAUGAGCUGAGGUCGAUUGGGCUGCUCAGCACCACGCCUUUACAUCCAUCGAUCUCUAAUUCACGGAGAGCAGGAAGACAUUGAAGUGUCACUAGCAACUGUUCACACCUAAAAAUGUUGAGCUUCUCUAAUAAAAGAAGACGUUCGGGCAAUGUUCCUUGAAGUUUAGAACAACUGCAAACAGAAAGCAUUUGCAGCUUAGGAAACACUUCAUCUACUUCUUGAGCAGAUCCAUGAGGAUUAAUUCCACUCUUCCCAUUCCUGCAUAUCCACAAAAGAAAGAGUCUCCAGUGAUGGAAAGGACACUGAGCAACUGCUUCCAUAAAAUUCCGAACCCACGCUCUUUACUCUACCCAUUCCACUUAUCACAAGAUCCUUUAGAAAUGGUAGUUGCCCUACUGAUGGCAAAGAUGUACACGUGCCACAAUUAUCAAAUUUAAGACGCAUCAAUUUUGAGAAUAAAGAAUCUCCUAACCAAAUUGGAAAUUUAGUACCACCGUAGCCUGUGAUAGUGAGCUCUUCCAGCUUUUGAUGAGGUUUUAGCAUGUCAAUCACUUGUGUUUCAGUUUUAGGCUCCACCGCAUCUCUAAAACUGCAGUGCGAUCCAAAAGUAUAGUACCGAACACCCCAUUGAAGAGAUAAAGCUUUAAGAUUCACCUUGCUGUUUAAUUGGACCUCACUAGCAUCGCCAACACCUUUCACGUUCUCCAACCUCGAAAUUUCAAGUGUACCUUGAAGAUGCACCAAGGACUUCAACUCUCUUAACCCAGAACCACCGUCUUUUCCCACAACAAAACUACCCAACGUCAAGAGAGAAGUUAAUUUACCAAUUCCCUUCGGCAUUUCCUCCAAUGACCCAACAUUAGAAUUGUUCAGAUGAUGCAACUUCGUCAGGUUUCCCAUGUCUUUGCACAACUUCUUAAGCUGGCGACAAUCUUCCAAUAAAAGUGUAUGCAAGUUGUACAGUGGUUAAUUGAUUCAGGCAAAAUUUCAAUUUUAGUUGUAGAUAAGUCAAGAAACCGUAAAUGCUUAAAAUUUUCAAUUGCCUUCGGUAGCUCGAAGAUGUUAUACCCACGCAAAGAAAAGACCCUUAAGCGCGGGAGAUUCAAAAGCCGCUGAAGAACACUCCAAGCCAAAUAACGACGAGGCCGGAAAUCGGAUAAGUUUAUUGGUAAAAAGGUUCGCAAUUGUCGUACGUUGCAGAUGGACUCUAACCUAUUGUCGCCAUCAUAUGCUCCCUGAAUGUAUGAAAAAUGACGGAGCCCUUUAGAAAACUUUUGUCGGUUUUCACCUUCUGGGGUAUCCUCCAUUCUGAAGCAUGUCUCCCCGGCAGCCCACCGAGCAAGGUCAUUAAUGAGGUCGUGCAUCGCAAAUCGGGAUGCAUCAUAGGUUGACUGGUAAAAUAAUGACCUUGAAUGUAACUCCUCAACGAACUCGCGGCCCAAAUCUUCCAUUUUCCUUUUACUGUUUUCUUGGUGCAAGAAACCUUCAGCCGCCCACAAUAAAAUUAUCUGCUCUUCUUGAAAUUCAUAAUCUUUGGGAAAUAAUGAGCAGUAUGCGAAGCACUGUUUCAACUGUGGAGGAAGAAAAUGGUAGCUCACUCUUAGGGCCGUUAUAAUAUCACAUUUGUCAUCUGCGAGAUCCCAUACUUCAGUUUUGAGCACAUUUUCCCAGUCUUUAGGGUCAUCUUUGCCGCGUAAAAGACCACCAAGAGUUUUUGCGGCCAACGGCAAUCCUUUGUAUUUCAUGGCAAUCUUCUGUCCGACUUCCUUCAACGAUUGAUGCAUGUUGAAAUCCCUAGCCCCCAGGGAGUGUUGAGUGAGCACACGCAAACAGUCGUCUUCUGAUAACACUCCCAGUGCAUAUUCUCGAACACUUCCCACCUUUAAUGCGACAUCGUGAUUGCCAGUGGUGACAAUAAUCUUACUUCCUGGCGCGCCAGCUUUAAACGGCCGGUUCAGAAGCUCCCAAUCAUUGUAAUUGUCUUUCCACAAGUCAUCCAAAACAAACAAAAAUUUCUUUUUAAGCAGUUCCUUCUCCAGCUUCUCUUGAAGUGAAUUUAAAUCGUUAUCAUUAACAGUCACGUUAGAAAUGGACAUGUGCAUCGAUUUUGUUACCCUGAAAACAUCAAAAUCCUCAGAGACACAAGUCUACGCUUUGAUCUCAAAACGACGUCGCACUCGAUCAUGUUUAUAGACAAGCUGAGCGAGAGUUGUCUUCCCGACACCGCCCAUUCCAAUUAUAGAAAUAACAGAGAAUCGAUCAUCAGCUCUUAAAUCAUCCCUCAACAACAAUUCAACAAUCUCCUCCUUCUCUUUUUGCCUGCCAUAUACCUCGGCUUCGUUCACCAAAGAUGUUGAGGGUAAUCUUUGUCUGAAAUUUCUAGACUUCCCAUCUGAAAUCACAUUUUUCAGCUUCAGUAGGCCUUUUUGCCUUUCAAUAUCUUGCAACCGAGCAGUGACCUCCUCCAUUUUCGACACCAUCUUGGAUUCGAACUGAACAGAUCGAGGGCUAAAAUUGGUGCAGCAAGUAGGAAUGAACUUACGAAACUUACUCGUGCUAGUACUGGGUUGAUAAGCAGCAGCUGGUUCCUGAUGCAGCAACUCCCUCCGCAGAGUUUCAGUUUCGAACUCAUCCAACAGGUCUUCAACAUCAUAAGCCAAGUUCUGAAGAUCGUCGAGCCACGUCUUCACCGACUUGUCAUUUGUCUGCCUAUCCUCAGCAUCUGCAAGCACUGCCUGAAUCAUCUCCAACAUUCCCUUCCACUUGAUGAAAUCAGCCUUCAACUUCUCAUGCCGUGUAAACAGUUCAAGUCCCUUUGAAGCCAGCUUUUUGAUCAGCAACUCAACUGACACACUAAGCACCGCCUCUCCGAUGAAUGACAUUUUUUUUUUUUUGGGGGGGUUUAAGUAAACAGAGUAAAUUAUGAAAAAUGAGGAAGAAAAAAUGUGCAGAAAUUGAACAAAGUCUAGUUUGUUGUUGUGAUUAGAGUGAGAGCAAGCAAGAGAAUGCAAUGUGUACUGUAUGCCACAUAUGUCAAGAAAAACAAGUCUUUCCCAAUGCUAUCGAAUCUAAUUCUUUUUUUUUUUCAAAAAUUUGGACAUUCUUUACUUAUUAAUCUCUUUAUUCUUUAAUUUCUAAGUGAUUCUUGCUACAGCUAUUAUUAUUAUUAUUAUUUCGUGAUUUGGGGUAUCUGCUUUUAUAAAAACAUAUUGGUCUUCUUUCAUUCAAGUUUUUGCUUUAUCUUUAUUAAUUAGGCAUCUUACAAAGCUUUCACUCUAUCUCUAUCCACUAUACAAGUAAUGUAUUUGCCAAAAUUGUUAAAACAGAAUGACAUUAAUUUCUUCUCCAAAACUUAUCAUUUCUUUCGAAUAUAUGAAAACGUAGUGUUAUUGAUUCUCACACCGGUAAAACAUACACAACCCCAUAAACCGUUGAACUAAAAUGACAGAUUAUCCAAAUUAAUUCAAGGUCAAAGUGGAAAAGCGCUUUAUUAAUUGUUAUUAGAAGUAAUUAGUGUUGGGGAAAAAUCAGGUUUUUAAAUUUUUAUAAAACCUUUUGAAGAUCGCUCUCAUAUAAUAUAUAAGAAUUCGUAUUCUAGAAAUCGUACCUUGUAAAUCUGAGUUUGCUUUUUCCGCUGAAGUGAUUUAGGCUCCUAGAUCACGAUCCGCCACCACCACUCCUGUUAGAUCACGAUCCGUCACCACCACGCUUGUUAGAUCACGAACUGUCUCCAAUGAUCUUCCAGGUUAUGACUCAGGUUCGAUCUGCACUUGACGUGUGGGUGCCUUUAUCACUACCAAAGCAACUAGCACGAGAAAAUUUUUCUCUCAACAAUAGAGAGAAAAAUCUUAUUCUCCAAUUUGUAUAAAGUGGCUUCUCUCUUUUUCUUUUUGAGAAAAUAAGCCUUUUAUAUCACCCUUUAGUGAAAACCCUAGGCUCCAAAUAAUCCAAAAAACAAAACCCACGUUAUUUGCUUUUUCAAUAAGGGACCCACCUUGUAAAAUAACAUAAGGCCCCUUAUACAAAAGCUAAUUAAAUGGAGCCUCCCACUAAAUGAUAUAUUUAGGCUUUUGACCCAAAUAGCUAGUUAUCUUACUUAUUAGUCCAGUAGUGGUGCAGUCAAUUAAAUGAGCUAACCCGGGGAUCAUUUGGGAACAUACAAUAGUGGCUACAAUAAUUAGGCCUGUAAUUAAACUAGCCCAAUUAUUUAAUUCCAAAUCUACUCCACUAAAAGAUUGGAACUGACUUCCAUAAUUGUAUGCUCGAAUAAUAAUUCGUCCCAAGCCACAUUGAUUUCUUUACUGCACAAUCCUUUGUACCACAUCGUUAAUUAAAUUGAUAUCUCAACUGUCCAAUCAAUUUAAUAACAUCUUAUUCCUUGAUCCUUACUGGUUUUCUCUAAUGAUCAUUUUCAACAUACUAAAUAUGUUGACACACUCUGGCCAGAGAAUUCUAUGAUCAAGUACCGAAAACCUAUCAAGAGAUGUGUUGUACAAAUUCUAUAUUGUUAAUCCAUAACUCCAAUACUCAUAAUUGCUCCCACCAAGAUACCGGGUAAUCUUGACCACAAGGAUGUGUCGUGCCCAUUGGUAACUCAAAUGAAAUAACAAUCACAAUCAUGAAAUCAUAAUUAACUCAAGAUUAAGAUUACAGUAAAAUCAACGCCUAUGAGAUUUAAUAAGUCUGACAGUUAUUACAAAGUUAAUUAAAUCUCAUAUGUGAUCCUGUUCAAUGUAGUCGCACUACAUCAAUAAAUUCAUACAUGAUUAAGACAAAUCAUUCAAUGAAUUUAUUACAGUCUAUACCUAAAUAAAGUGUCCAACUUUAUUUAUCAACUGCGAACUAAAUUUAUUUAAUCAUAAGAUAACUUGUAUUUAUGUCUUCUGUGAAUCCACAUGGUGAUCACAUAAAUACAUAUAAUAUGAUUAAAUGGACUUUAAUACAAAUAUUAAUGCAAUUAAGAUAUUUGAAUAAAAUACCUCAUUAAUUUUAUUAAUCAGAAAAAUUGUUUAUUACAAAUAAAUAAACACAUAUGCUUUAAAGAGCAUAUUUUCCCAACAAUCUCCCACUAGCUCUCAAAGCAUAUCUGGCAUAUUGCACAUGCUCUAGGGCUCUAAGUGCAGGUUAUAAAGGUUUCCCACUAAUGGCCAUUGUAAUAAGAUCUGCCAUUUAGCAUCUAAUGCCAUUUGGAGUACUGUCAUAUAACCUUUCUACACUAUUCCCUUAUAAGAUGAUACUUCCUUCCAAUAUGUUUUGUUUCUUGUGGUUCCUUGGUUCCUUAGAUUGAGGUACCGCACCACCAUUAUCACAAAAUAGUUUAAGGGGUGCAGUUACAACAGGUACCACCUCAAGAUUUCGUAGGAACUUGCAGAGCCAUAUAGCUUCUUUUGCAGCUUCAGAUGUAGCCACAUAUUCAGCUUUAGUUGUUGAGUCUGUGAUACAAGAUUGUUUCACACUCAUCCAACUAGUAGCUCCACUUCCCAAUGUAAACACAUAGCCGGAAGUUGAUUUUCUAAAAUCCUUAUCUGACAAAAAAUCAGAAUUAGUAUAACCCACUAGAAUAAGUUCAUCACCAGAAUACACAAGCAUAUAAUUUUAAGUUCUUUUCAGAUACUUCAUUAUAUGCUUGACCGCAGUCUAGUGUUCAGGUCCAGGAUUAGAUUGAUAUCUACUAACCAUCCCUACCGCAAAACAGAUGUCUGGCCUAGUGCAAAGCAUGGCAUUCAUGAGACUUCCCACAGCUUCUGCAUAGGGAACUCGUCUCAUUCUCUCUAUCUCUUCAGAUGUUUUAGGUGAUUGAUCCUUAGAGAAUGUAAUUCCAUGUCUGAAUGGUAAUAAACCAGUCUUGGAAUUUUCCAUACUAAAUCUAGCCAAUAUCUUAUCGAUAUAGACCGCUUGAGACAAGGCUAAAGUUUUAUUCUUCCGGUCUCAUAGUAACUUGAUACCAAGAAUAUAACUUGUCUCUCCCAGGUCUUUCAUAUCAAAUUGUUUUGCUAACCAAAUCUUUAUUAUAGUCAAUACUCCUAUAUCGUUUCCAAUCAGGAGAAUAUUGUCUACACAAAGAACUAGGAAGGCUACAAAUUUUCCCUGAAUUUUCUUGUACACACAUGGUUCAUCAAUGUUCUGAAUGAAUCCAAGUGAUUUAAUCGCUUGAUCAAAUCUGAUGUUCCAUGACUGGGAUGCUUGCUUCAAUCCAUAAAUAGAUCUCUGCAACUUACAUACCAUGUGUUCUUGGCCUUUUUUGUAUAAAUCCAUCUGGUUGCUGUAUGUAGAUGUUUUCUUCAAGAUGCCUGUUAAGAAAGGCAGUCUUGACAUCCAUUUGCCAAAUUUCAUAAUCUAGCACUGCAGCAAUGGAGAGCAGAAUCCUGAUGGAUUUAAGCAUAGCAACCGGAGAAAAGGUUUCCUCAUAAUUGAUUCCUUCUUUCUGAGUAAACCCUUCGGCUACUAAUCUUGCUUUAAAUGUUUCCACCCUUCCGUCUACUCCUCUUUUUCUCUUGUAGAUCCACUUGCACCCUAUAGGUUUUACCCCAUUUGGUGCCUCUACAAGUUCUCAGACUUUAUUGGAAUACAUAGAUUCCAUUUCUUGAUUCAUGGCCUUUUUUAAAAUUCAUCAUCUCUAUCUAUUAGAGCUUCGUUGUAACUAGUGGGAUCUUGUACAUGUUCAUCUGAGAUAGCCUUAUAGGUUUCUCCCAAAAACAUGUAUCUUGCAGGUAACCUAGUUACCCUCCCACUACGACGAGGUUCUAAAAGUGAUGGUUGUUCAAGGAUAAUCCUGUGCUGAUCAGCUGGUUAUUGCUGUUCUUCCUGUUCUAUAACAGGUGUUGAAAGCUGAUCAUCAACCUGAUCUCUUUUAUUUCUCUAGUUUUACCUUACUCUUAGGUUAUAAGUCAUUAUAUAGUCUUCCUCAAAGAAAGUAAAGAAUAUUUCUAUAAAUACAUUCCUAUCUUGAGAACUAUAAUUCAGACUUUCCCUUAUUCCUUUAAGAUACCUAAAACAUGCAAGCUUCUGAACACGAAUCCAUCUUCUCUAUCUCUGAUUCUAGUAAACUCCAAAUACGAAUGUGUCUCAAACCAUGUUUGUGACUUUUUCAUAAUAUCUUGGAGUAGUAGACACCGAGAUAGAUGAAACUAAGUUCAAUAAACUUUGUAGUUUCAAAUACUAGUAUCUGGAAUCAAAAAGGUAAAUGAUAAACCACUUAGUAUAUAUCUUGUCUUAUCCAAAAGAAUCUUGUUUCUCCAUUUAAUUACACUAUUGUAUCAUAGUGUUCAUUGACAACCAAAUAAUGCUUGAAUUCUCCAUAGAGAUAUUCUUUGUUUCGAUCAUAUCGAAGUUCUUUUAUGUUCCUGUCUAAUUGCUUCUGUCUUAUCCACGUACUCUUUUGAAUUUCAAAAGCAAUGGAAUCAUGACGCACUUAGACAAACAUAAAUAAAAUGAAUAUUCAUCAACAAGAUUGAUAGAAUACUCAUAACCUCUUAUAACAUGUAAACUGAUUAGUCCGUAUACAUUUGUAUGCGCUAAAUCAUCAAAUACAAUGUUAUGCUUUUAGCUCAAAAAGAGCAUCCUUGUCAUAUUACUUUUCUAAAUAAGAUUUAUAGAGUUACAAUGAUCAAUCUUAAUAGGCCAACAAGUCUAUCAUUAAUCAUUUUCUUAAAAUCUUAUUAUAGUUUAUAUGACUUAAGCAUAAAUAUCAGAGGUAAUAUUUGGUUAGAAGAAACAUUUCUUUUCUUAGAUAAAUGCAUAUACUUUUAAUCAUUAUAUCUUACUUUGAAUAGAUCAAUGUACUUUUAUGAUAUAAAUUGUCUUUAUAAAUAACCAAAAUAAGUAAUAAACAGAGGAUUCAUAAAUAACAGUGUACUCCUGUUUAUUAAAACAAGCCACCGAAAUUAAAUUCCUCUAAUAUUUGGAAAAAUAAAGACAAAUAUCAAAACUAAAGUCUUGUAAAAUUGAUCUAGUCUUUCAAUUGAUAUAAACUAGCACGUCCUCAACUGCUAUUUAAAGCUUUCUUCACUUAAUCUCUUGGUUUCCUGAAAACCAAAUAAAUGAAUUACAAAUAAGAUUAGUUAUCUCAGAAUUCAUUAUUGUAUGAUUCAAUAGAAAUCUGAACUAAUUAGGAAGCUUAAAGAUUUCCUAUACCUGAUUUUAAUAAUCUUAGGACAAUCUUUCUUCCAGUGACCCUUCUGUCCACAUUUGUAACACUUGCCUAUUGGCUUGCCACUUCUUUUAGUGGACAGUUUGCCGAUCCCAACUCUUGCUUGCUCAUUCUUGUCUUUCGACUUAAGCCUUGAAGAGAAUCCUUUUUCAGGAAGUUUUCUGCUAUGAUAAAAUUCUUCUAUAGCAUGUAGUUCGUGCAUUAAUUCAAUUAAGGUCAUAUCUUUAUUGUUUAAGAUAUAACUGACCUUAAACUCUUUGAAUGUAUCAGGUAAAGAUUCAAUCACCAUGUUAAUCUUUGAUUUAUCAUUGAUUUGAACACCAUGAAUCUCUACCUCAUUCAAAUAGUCCAUCAUUUUGAGGACAUGAUCACGAACUUUUGUGCCCUCUUCCAUCUUAGUAUCCAUAAUACGUUUUAAUGCUGCUUCUCUGGCAAAAUGGGUAUUUUGCCCAAACAUAUGAUGAAGACUAGCUAUUAUUUCAGUGGCUGUUUCCAUGCUCCGAUGUUUCUUAUGCAGUUCCAUAGAAAUCGAAGCCAAUAUAUAGCGCUUAGCCAUUUUGUUAGCUUCGCACCAUUUCUCAUAAGGCUCCCUCUGAUUUCUAUAAUCGUAUAACGAUGGUUCAGGAGGGCAAGGCUGGGUCAACACAUAUUUGCUUCCUUUAGCAGUGAGGAUAUUAAAUAGAUUGCGUUUCCAAUCUAAAUAAUUUUCGCCAGUGAGUUCAUUUUUAACAAGGAUAAAUAAUAAUGGGUUGAUGGAAGACAUUUUCUGAAAAAAAAAUAAAAUACACAUGCAUAAAUACUUUGAAACAAUAUUCACAAUAAAUGACAAAAAUGCAAAAAACCAUAAAUGCAUUUUAAUUUAUUGUAACGAUAAUCUAGUACCGCUUCGACAAGCUAUCCGUUGGGGAAGUCAUGUCUACACUUACUAGACUCAAUUAUCCAUUGGAUUAUUUACUUUCAUGUAGAGACAUGAUAAAUAAUUAUCGUUAUCCCUUUGGACCUAAAUUUGUUAACAGAGCUUCGUUGGGAAGGUUAAUAACAAACUUUAGUUGAGUGUAUAACCAUUGUUUCAAUCUACGUAUUUUUCAUAUCAAUAGUCACCGUUGGGGUGAACAAUCGAUUGAAAAAUAUUUCAAUUUUAUCUUUGAAGAAGUUCAUCAAAUAAAAUAUCUAAUAUAUAUACCCUCCGAAGGGAGCAUCACCGUAUCAUGAAGUCGAGGUAUAUAUAUAAUUUUAUUAUUGAACUAACAAUGGAGCCCGUGGGAAAAUUAUCUUGAAUUUUCCCUCUCCCACUCAAUAUUUUAAAAUUGGUUUUUCCUUUUUAAAACAUACAUAUUGUUAAUUGCAUGCUUCCUAUAAUAUUAUCUAGAUGAUAUCAAAUAUUAUUAAGCAUACGCAAAUUUCAAACAAUAUAAUGAAAUUCAUUAUUAAUGAAUGACAUGUAUCAUUAUGCAUAGAGUGGCACUACCUAUUCUAUAUGACAUGUUAUCAUGGCAUGUUAUCAUCCAAAACAUAACAUAUAGAAAAACAAUUAAAUAAUCUUAAUUCAUGGCUUUCCUAAUAAUGAAAAAUACAUUAACCCUAAGCCUAAUCUUCAUUGGGCUUCUUGUCAAUGUCCAUCUUCCAUAAUCUUGUCUUUGUUAAUGGACUAGGGGAAAUUGGGCUUUUAAAUUUAUAAUUGGUCCAAUUUUAAUUUUGAAAAGAAAUAAAUAAAUAAAUAAUUUUUUAUUUUAUUAAAAUAAAACUUUUGGACCAAAAAUAAAUUUAAUGUAUUUAAUUUUGUCUAUGCAUUUUUUAAUCCAUUAAGCCCAAUUGAAAUUGGGCUUAAAACUAGGAUUCUUUAAGCUCAAAACGGUUUUUGGACUUAAAUGCAAAAACUUAAAAACGUUUCUGCCCAACUGGAAAAUAUGAAGCUAUAGGGACCUCCACGAUAAAAACCAUGGAACCCUAAAAUCAUAUUUUUCUUUUCCUCUUCUUCCCCAGCCGCCACCAGCACAAAAACCUCCACCACUGUUCAGAUGCCAGCCGACCUCCGACGCAUCUCCGACAUCGAACCACCUGCCACCGCGUCGCCGGAAACGCAUCAAACUCGCGCGCGCUGCUGGCCACGCUGGCCGCGCGCGCUGUUUGCUGCGCGAGCAGCCUGUGCCAUCGCGUGCUGCGCGCACAAGCCACGCUUCCCGCGCGCGCUGGCUGCUGCGCGCUGCUGCUGCGUGCACGCUUGCGUUGCAGCGCGCGCUGCUGGCAGCAUGUGCUGCUGGCCGCGCGCUGCUCGCGCAGCAGCGUGUGCUGCUGGCCCCUCGUUGCUGAAAUUUCCGGCCUCGAUUGUUUGCGCUCGUUUUCCAGUGAUGAUGCUUCGGUGAUUUACAAAUUUUCAACGCAAAUUUUGGCUUACAAAAUUUCAAUUACAGUAAAAUAAAUCAAGAGGGAAUUAUGGUGAUAAAAAACCACCCCUCUUGUUACAGAUCCAAAGAAAAAUACAUCGAAAAAUCUAACCAUGAAUUAAGACAAACCAUAACAUGCUUUAUUCAUAUAUUAAACAAAUAAUAUAUAUCUGAAUAAAUUGUGCCACUCUAAUACAUAAAUUUCAAGAAUGAUUUCAUACAAUAUUCUUAUAUAUUAAUAUGAGAUGGCUCUGAUACCAAUUGUUGGGGAAAAAUCAGGUUUUUAAAUUUUUAUAAAACCUUUUGAAGAUCGCUCUCAUAUAAUAUAUAAGAAUUCGUAUUCUAGAAAUCGUACCUUGUAAAUCUGAGUUUGCUUUUUCCGCUGAAGUGAUUUAGGCUCCUAGAUCACGAUCCGCCACCACCACUCCUGUUAGAUCACGAUCCGUCACCACCACGCUUGUUAGAUCACGAACUGUCUCCAAUGAUCUUCCAGGUUAUGACUCAGGUUCGAUCUGCACUUGACGUGUGGGUGCCUUUAUCACUACCAAAGCAACUAGCACGAGAAAAUUUUUCUCUCAACAAUAGAGAGAAAAAUCUUAUUCUCCAAUUUGUAUAAAGUGGCUUCUCUCUUUUUCUUUUUGAGAAAAUAAGCCUUUUAUAUCACCCUUUAGUGAAAACCCUAGGCUCCAAAUAAUCCAAAAAACAAAACCCACGUUAUUUGCUUUUUCAAUAAGGGACCCACCUUGUAAAAUAACAUAAGGCCCCUUAUACAAAAGCUAAUUAAAUGGAGCCUCCCACUAAAUGAUAUAUUUAGGCUUUUGACCCAAAUAGCUAGUUAUCUUACUUAUUAGUCCAGUAGUGGUGCAGUCAAUUAAAUGAGCUAACCCGGGGAUCAUUUGGGAACAUACAAUAGUGGCUACAAUAAUUAGGCCUGUAAUUAAACUAGCCCAAUUAUUUAAUUCCAAAUCUACUCCACUAAAAGAUUGGAACUGACUUCCAUAAUUGUAUGCUCGAAUAAUAAUUCGUCCCAAGCCACAUUGAUUUCUUUACUGCACAAUCCUUUGUACCACAUCGUUAAUUAAAUUGAUAUCUCAACUGUCCAAUCAAUUUAAUAACAUCUUAUUCCUUGAUCCUUACUGGUUUUCUCUAAUGAUCAUUUUCAACAUACUAAAUAUGUUGACACACUCUGGCCAGAGAAUUCUAUGAUCAAGUACCGAAAACCUAUCAAGAGAUGUGUUGUACAAAUUCUAUAUUGUUAAUCCAUAACUCCAAUACUCAUAAUUGCUCCCACCAAGAUACCGGGUAAUCUUGACCACAAGGAUGUGUCGUGCCCAUUGGUAACUCAAAUGAAAUAACAAUCACAAUCAUGAAAUCAUAAUUAACUCAAGAUUAAGAUUACAGUAAAAUCAACGCCUAUGAGAUUUAAUAAGUCUGACAGUUAUUACAAAGUUAAUUAAAUCUCAUAUGUGAUCCUGUUCAAUGUAGUCGCACUACAUCAAUAAAUUCAUACAUGAUUAAGACAAAUCAUUCAAUGAAUUUAUUACAGUCUAUACCUAAAUAAAGUGUCCAACUUUAUUUAUCAACUGCGAACUAAAUUUAUUUAAUCAUAAGAUAACUUGUAUUUAUGUCUUCUGUGAAUCCACAUGGUGAUCACAUAAAUACAUAUAAUAUGAUUAAAUGGACUUUAAUACAAAUAUUAAUGCAAUUAAGAUAUUUGAAUAAAAUACCUCAUUAAUUUUAUUAAUCAGAAAAAUUGUUUAUUACAAAUAAAUAAACACAUAUGCUUUAAAGAGCAUAUUUUCCCAACAAUUAGAACAAUAUUUCCACUAUAAGAGAGUAUCGUUGAGCCAUAGCUCUCUUUGCUCGAAAUCUUAUGUAAAUUAAAUUGCAGUAAAAAAUUAAUAUUAAAUAGUUGAACCACGUAAGAAAUAGAAACCAUAGAAAUUGUUUUGCUUCAACUUGAGUUUUGGAUUGCUCUAAAUUGAGAAGAUUCGUCUCCUUGAGCUCAUUGCAACACAACAUUCUUACAUUGAAAUGUAACAUCAUAUGAUUAAGCACAAAUUCAGUAAAAAAAAAAAACUUAAUAUUAAUUUGUUUGCCGGUUAUUGAGAAUUAAGCACAAAUUCAUGAUCAUUGAAAAUAAAUUUCUACUGAAGCAUGGGUAUAGUGAACAAAUAUCCACAGCAAUCCCAUUUUCAUGGCCUGUAGUAUAUUGUCUUAUAAAAGUAUUGUUUUCUAAUUUUUUAAUGGGGAAAAGCCACCUACACUUCCAAAGUUUGUUUAAAUAGUCACGCAGACUCUCUUAAUUUUAUAAAUGGUCAGUUAACUAUUAUACCCUUUGAUUAUAGCAACCUAAUAAUUGAAUCUAAAUAAACUUUUUUAAUAAAUAUAAAUUAAAAUUAAAAUAUUAUACCAUAUGAAAUAAGAUAAAAUUUAUAAAUUAUUUUAAAUAUUAUAAAAGUUUGUUUAACAUUAUUGAUAUGUCAUAUUCUUUUAAUAAUAAUAAAACCUAUUUGAUAAAUUAAUAAUGUUAAAAUAAUUAUGCCGAAAAUUCACAGUAAUUUACAAAAUUUAUUUUAUUUUAUUUAUAAUAUUUUUUAAUUAUGUCUAUAUUAGUAUAAAUUUUCAAGUCAAUUUUUGGAUUAGUAGAUUUUAGAAUUAAUAAAAUUCAUCGGGAUAGACUAUAAUAGCCUAAUAUUAAAAAUAAUUUUCAUUAUAUACAUUAUUUUAUUAAUUAUACUUAUUGUAAUAGUUUAUUUUGUAUCAUAUAAUAUUUAUUUAUUAUUUUUAUCUUAUUGCUAUAUUUAGUUUUAUUUGGGUUGUUAUAAUCAAAUGGGAUAGUACUAAAAGAAAGGGAUUUGUAUUAAUAUUUAAGCAAAGCUUGAGAGCGUGGGUGACUUUUUCCCUUUUUAAUAUGAAAAGUAUACAUUGAGUAGAACUGGAAAAUAACAUUUUGCUUUAGUUUUUUGAAAAAAAAAAAAGACACAUGUAUUUGAAAUUUGAAAAUUCAAUUUUUUUUUAAUGCUGCGAUGGGAACGAGAAAUCUCAGCCACUAAAUAUCAAUCACUACCCUCUAUUUUUACUUCAAUUAAUGUGACCCGAGUGCAAAGUACAUUCACGAACAGAUGAGUUGCGUCCUAGGGCUGAAUUCAAGUUUAAAAACCAGCAUUAAUAUGAAAAAAGAAUUUGAACUAUUGGACGAUCAACUAAAAUUAUUCUUCUACUUUAUUAAUACUAAAUAGUAAAGCUGCUUUUUCAAUAUCUUUGUUUUUCUAUACAUUUUUUUUUUCCUUUCUUUCUUUAUUGGCAAGUACUCUAGAAGACAUUCACGGUUUUCUCUAUUCAUAAAAAAAAAAAAAAAAAAAAAAAUGUAUGCUUUUAAACCCAUUUUGAUUCUGGCUAAAUACUAUUCUUACAAUUUUUUGCAUCAAAAUAUACCCAGGUGACUGCACGUGAAAAGUGCAUUCACGGUUAGCUAAGCUAUCUCUUGGGACUAAAAAUUCAAGUUUAAAAACCAAUAUUAAGAUGAAAGAUGAAUCUGAAAUAUUUGAAAAUUAACUAAAUUAUUCUUCUAUUUCACUAUCAAAUACUAAAUUGUUCUUUUUCCUUUUUUUCCUUUAAUAACAAGUACUCUUUAAGACAUUCACGAUUUACCAUGUUCAUAAAACAAAAAAUUAUCUGCUUUUAAACCUAAUUUGAAUCCGAUUGAGUGCUACUCUUAAAAUCAUUUUACAUCAAUACAUACUUUGGCUGAUUUUCAGGUUGGACUCCCUAUGGUGAAAAGAUAGAAGAAAUCAUAAGACAAGUUGGUGAAGAAUUAAAGGAGAUUUAUACUGUUUUCAACGAAACAAAACUUUGGAAACUUAACUAUUUACCAAGGUUUACAAUCUUUCCUUAUGAAAAUCACACUCUUGAAUGGAAUGAGUUUAUGUGACACAUUGUCUCAGUACGAUGAUUUUUUCUUAGGGAGUCUUAUGCGCACCAAAACUGUGCAAAAUGCAAGCUAAGUGACUAAAAAAUGUUGGAUUCUUAUUGGAUUUAGCACCAGACUUGAUUUGUGUGUUUCAAUUAUAGCUUAUUUGAUUAAUGUAUUUUCAGUUAUAGCUUAUUAAUUUGAUUAAGGUAAUUUGGGUUACUUCUGCAAAUGAAACUAAUUUGGAAAUUAAAGGUUGAUCAAUGAUCAUUAAUCUUGUCCAUUAAUUAAAUAUGCUUGGAAGGACUGUGGCAAAGCGUAAAUCAAGUCAUUAUUGAUCUUUCUUUUAUGAUGGCACUUUAGUUUCUCAAAAGUCUAUUUUGUAAUUGUGAAUGAUUUGCGAUUGUGAUUUGUGAAGAGUAAAGAAAGCAGGAGAGUGUAAUGUGUAGCAGAAAAUCAAGCUUUGCUAUCUAAAUUUUAUAAUUUUCUCUUUUCUUUUAAUCUUACAUUAUUGCGAAAUUGCCCAAAAAAAUUGCAAUAUUGAAAUUUGUUUAUUAUUUUUUUGAAACUGCAAUAUUUGAAUUUAUUUUGAAAUUGCAAUUACACAUAGACAGAAGCCUCAUAGCGGCACUAUUAGUUAAAAUGAGCACAAUGUUACCAUCACAGGCAGCCCUAAGCACUACACAUAACUUCGCUCUACACAUUAACUUCAUACAUAUAAAAGGCAAUAGCAAUUACAUUACCCUGCAACAGAACAUCUUUGUCAUUGAUCUGUUAAUUAUUUUGCGUGUUUUUUAUUCGAUACAUACGUACGUGAGUGAUGCUGUAUCUAUCUACAGGUUCUGUCAUUCUUAUGAUGCCCAAGCAUCGUUUCAGUAGGUUUCAUUGCUUCUAAAGCUAAAAAGCUUGCUCCGGCACCUAGUUGAAAAUGAGUGAAUUACAAGACAAUUAAGUAGUGUUGUUAUUAUCAGUAGUAUUUUUUUAUUAACUUCUAGAGCAAUGAUUUCAAUUUCAAGGCAAAAAGCCAGUCAAUAGACAAUUAAGUCUCGUUUCAUUUUCUCAAAAUUUAUGCUCCCUCAAUUCUGUUGCACCAGACAAAAAUAAACUUAAACCAUAUCUGAAAAGAGAAUACGGCCUGAGAUCACAAAUGCUGGGAAAUUUAAAAAAUGAAGAAAAAAAAUGGCCAAUACAGAAUAAAGCAGAGCAAAUAUCAGAGUAAAAUAGAAUUUAUUAUUUGCUAACCAUGAAAUAGUGAUUUCUUCGAGGGAUGUAUUGUCCAACCUUUUUGCUAACGACUCCAGCUUUGAACAAAAUCUGACACGAAGGCAUUUAAGAGCCUCAGGUAGAUUCCCAUUCCGUGACAAGAAAUCAAGAUUCAAGCAAUAACUGACCUCAAGGUGCUCCAGCGUGGCUGGUAACUCGAUUUCUGAAGAAGAGGGUGUGAGGGAGGUGCACCCGGUGCUGCUACUGGGGAUGUCCUGUUCCCCCGUCAAAGUCCUUAAAUUAUGACAGUUGUUAAUAAUCAGCCGCUUCAGGCUCGGAGCAAGCUGGCAUGUACUGCUAUUUAAAUAUAUGUCAAAGAAUUACAGUUAUAAAUGUUCAGACUUUCAAGAGAUGUACUGCUAUUUCGCAUCCAUGCCUCAGGUAAGGAUUCCAAAGCAUUGCGUCCUUCGAUAUCAGUUGUUCUCAACCGGGAAGGCAGAGCAGCCUCGGGAAAUGAAAUGAGUGAAGUGCAGUGAGGUAUCCACAUCUCUGUAAGGGAACUAAGGGUGAGCAAUGCUUGUGGUAGCCUUAAAAUUGAAGCCUGCGCGGCAACUCUGGCGGUCGUUGAUCGUAUUCUUCCUCUGUUACCAAGGAAAGAAGCUGGGGACAUCUUAAAAUCUGCAACCGAUUAAGGGAUCUAACGUCUUGUACCAACCGAGCCUCACUCCACCAUAAAUACGUUAGCUCUCGGACAUUUACAAUCAUCAAUUUUUCCAACUUAGGUAGCCCUUGUUCAAAUAGAACCAACUGAUUUGAGCUGGGGACGAUUGGGCUGCUGAACACCACACCUUUACAUCCAUUGAUUUGUGAUCCACUGAGAGCUGGAAGAUAUUUAAUUUUCACUCGCAACAGUCCACAACAUUGAAUGUCGAGCACCUCCAAUAAAGGAAUACAUUCGGGCAAUAUCCUUCCACCGUUUGCUUGAUGUAUGAAUAAUUCAGCUAGCGACGACCAAAACACCACCACGCCAAUCCACGCGUAUCUGCCACUAAAGUCGAGCGAGAGUAAUUGGCUGGGUUGAUUAUUAUACAAAAAAUUUUAAAAUUAUUCGAUAAAUAAUUAUUAAUCAAAUAUUUAAAUAGUUUUAUUUAUUUUAUUCAGCAAACAAUAAUAUAUAUCUCGUAUGUAGUCAUGUAUAAUCUAAAUAAUUUAUAUUUUUUUAUUUUAAUUAUAUAUGAUUACCAAAUACUAAUUUAUUAUAAAUCUAAUUUUUGUAGUAGUUGUCUUUGAAAUUGAUUUUAAUUUUUGUUGAUAGUGGGAGGCUCGGUAAUGAGAUUUGUGUCUAUUGGUGGCUGAGUGAUUAAUGUUAUUCAAUUGAAGAAGAUAAAAUCUACAUAAAUUGAACGAAGUCUAGUUUAUGUGAAUAACAAACUUUACCAGGAAAUUGCACCAUUUAUGUAUGCCACGACAGUGGCUUAAUCCAUACUCUUACUAAUUCCAACACUACGACAAUUCUUUCAAGAAAAAGUCGAAAAUAAUUCAGCAUAGCGACGGCCAAAACAUGACCACGCAAACGUGUUUCCGCCACGUUUAGUUUGAUUAUUAUAUCAAAUAUUUUAUAAAUAAUCAAUCAAAUAUUUAUAUAAUUUUAUUUAUUUUAGUAGAAACAGCUUUAAGCAUAAGUAAAUUAGACAUAUAUUUAAGGGCGAACUAUAUUUUAGAUAGACCCCAUUUUUUAAUUAUUCCUUUAAUAAUAAUCUAAUUAAUAAAUAUUUUUUAAUUAUAUACUAUAGCACAACCUAUUUUUUAAGACUAUCUCUAAUUAAUAAUUAUCCUAUAGCUAAAAUUUGAUUUUAUAAAAAUUUUAUAUUUGAUAAUAUUAAUGUAAAUAACUAUAAAAAAUUUUCAAAAUGUUUAAGUCAUUGAUCAAAAAUAAAAAGUAGUGUUUAAUGAUAUCAAUCCAUCAAAGGUUGCAAUAUAUGAAAUUAUCCACAAUUUGAUUACAUGAAAUCAAUGUCAUAAAAUAUAUGUCAAAUAUUUAAUUAUGAAUAUAUAUAUAUAUACACACACAGUGGCGGUGCCAGAAAGUUAAUUUAGGGGAGGCUAAAUUUAAAUAAUAACAUAAUUUAAAAAUAGUCAACAAGUAAUAAAUACUAAAAUAAAAAUGUAUUUUACUACUGGAGUCAUGACAAUUAGUAAAUUCAAUGUUAAUGUUAUCAAUAAAUAAAUUAAUGAAUACAAUUUAUUUUUUUAGUAUCAAUUAUUUUUUUUGUUAGCCUAUCAAUCUCUUUCAAUUUUUAAAAUUUGUUAUUAGAACCCACCUAUGUAAUGUUAAACAUCAAAUUGAAUUUUAAGUGUCAUAAGAUUCAUUGAAGAAAAAUCAUUUUGAUAAACUCAAUAAGAUAAAAUAAUUUCUGUAUUUUUGUGUGAGGAAACUUAGUGAAUUCCAAAGCUACAAAAUCUCCUUUUUCACUAGGCUAUUUCUAAGAAAACACAUCCUGCCUUCGAUCCUAUUUCCUUCUACAUAAUUUGAGAUGUAGGAAACUUAGUGAAUUCCAAAGCUACAAAAUCUCCUUUUUCACUAGGCUAUUUCUAAGAGAUGAUGCAAAUCAUAUAACUUGGAAAGAAAAAUUUCUUGCUGGAUUACCUACCCUUUUAGGUGAAAAAGUAAGAAAUUCCAUUAAAGCCCUCUAUGAUAACCGUAUUCCUUAUGAUGAACUCACCUACGGUGAACUUGUCAGUUUCGUCAAUAAGGAAGGAUUAAAGAUCUGUCAAGAUUUGAAAUUACAGAAACGGCUCAAAUGGGAGCUAAAGAAGUCUAAACAAGAGUUAGGCGGUUUCUGUAAACAAUUCAAUUAUGACCCCUUUAAAACUCCUACCUCUAAAGAUUGUAAUGGUGAGUGUUCUUCUAAAACUCGCAGGAAACAUUACAAAUCUAAAAGCUAUAAGAAACCUUUUCGUAAUUUUAGAGAACUUUCUUAUAAGAAACCCUCGAGGCCUUAUAAGAAGCCCAAUUUCUCUAAAAGAAAAGAGUUUAGAACCAAACCAAAGACUCCUUUCAAUUACAGAGAAGCUAUAUGUCACAAGUGUGGCAUAAAAGGUCAUACUGCAAAAUACUGCAGAAUGAACAAAAAGCUUCAUGAACUUAACCUUGAUGAGGAGAUCCUUUCUAAAUUGGCCCCUCUUCUUAUCGAGUCUUCUGACUCCGAGUCUUCCAUGUCGGGAGAUAGUGACCCCUACCAAGUUGAUGAGCUAAUUGACUCAGAUGACUCUGCAUCUAGCAGUAGUGAAUCUGAAUCAGAUUCGUUUUUAAAGAAAAUCAAUGUUUUGACUAAAGGCCAAGAGACUUUUCUUGAACUUGUAAAACAUAUUUCUGAUCCAAAUCUUCAAAAAGAGUAUCUUGAUAAACUUUUGAAAACUUUGGAUUUUAAUAAAGCCGAAACUUCUAAAGUCCCCAUUGUUAAAAAGAAUUCUUAUGACCUUACUCAGAUUUUGGAUAAAAAGAAAACAAAGAAGUCAACACCCACAAUCCAAGAUCUUCAAAAAGAAAUCAAAGAAAUUAAACUUGAGAUUAAAGAACUAAAAGAAAAACAAAAACAUGAUUCUGAAACUAUUCAACUUCUCAUACAAAAACAAUUAGAGGAGAAUUCUGAUAAAGAAGAAGUUGAAUCUGAUGGUGAUAAUGAACAGAACGUUGGAAACAUUGAAUCAAUUUGAAUUUGCCAAAAACCAGAUUUCAUGUCGAAUUUUGAAAAAAUAAGAGCAGAACAUAAUUUUUGAAGCAAAUCCUUUUUAUUAGGUAUGGGAUACCUAAUCCAUUUUAAUGCUUUGUUUAAGGGUUUGUAAUUUAUUACAAGUCUUGGUAUGCCUCUUUCAAUCUCAGAAUUUUUAUUAACAUAAAAGGCGGCACAAGACCACGGGGACCUGGACUUUAUAAUGAGUCCUUUUGACUCUAAAUCCUUUAUUUCAUUUUUACAAUGUUGUUCCAAUUCCAUAUUCAUUUGGAUUGGACGAGCUUUAGUGGGUAUUUGUUUUUCAUCGAAGGAACUUUCAUAUGGCAAAUCUACCAAAUGUUGUUUUCGGUUCCAAAAGGCGGAUGGUAAAUCGGCACAAAUUUCUUUUUCAAUAAGGCUUUUGAAAUCGGAGAUUUUUCUUUGUACAAAAUCAUUUUGUAAUUGAUUUUCAAUUCUUUGUAAAGUUAAAUCCUUUUUUAAACAAAACAAGUUAUUUUGUUUGGAUUUAAGUAUGGCAUUAAUUUGGUUCUGGUAAACAGAACAAGCUUUGACAAUAUUUAAAUUCCUUGUUUUUGGUUUUUCAAUAAAAGGGAAAACAAGUUUUUGGUCUUUUGCUUUGAAAGAUAUACUAUUAUAAUUAACAGUAUAUGGGGUAAUAAGGUUAAUGAAGGGAGUUCCCAAUAUAACAGUGUGAUGGAUAUCAUUUGUUAAAAGAAAGGAAGUCCUGAAUUCAAAACCAUUAUUAUGAAUUGAAGCAUCGACUUUUGAUUUGAUUUUUAAUUUCGAAUUAUUGGCGGCAGAUAAUCUUUCUUUUGUCUUCUCAUGAAAUUUUUUAGGGACAAUAUCUUCUUUAAUACAGUUUAGGUCGGCACCAGUGUCAAAAAGAGCAAUGGUGUCAAUUUUAAAAUCUUUAGAAAAAAUCAAAGUGGUUUUAAUUAAAUAUUUUCUGGUGGUGAUUUGUUUUAGGGCAAACAGAAAAUCUUCAGGUAUAGAUUCAUGUGUUGUACCAGGCUUGUUGAUAAUCCCAGUAGGAGAAAGUCAAACAAUGUGGUAAACGCAUUUGGAAAUUGGAGGGAAAUCUUUUUUGAUUAUGGAGUAGGUCACCCCAUUGUUUUGGGCUCAAAACCUUUAAAAUUGUAGCAGUUGAAUAGGCCGGCUCAGAAUGGGAGUCAAUGAGGAAAAAAUGUUUGAAUUUAACUGAUUCAGUGGCUUCCAAAAUACUUUGAUAAUAAGGCUGGGGUUUUGUCAAAUCGCAUGGUUUAAAAAACCAGCCUUUAGGGAAGAACUUUGUAAGGGUUUGAAAUGGAUCAGAAUGUUAAAACCCAUCUUCUAUAGUUAAAAUAUUUUGGGAAUGAGCUUUAUCAAACCAAACCGAAGUCUUUUGUGUUGGUUGUGAAAGAACGAUCUGUGAUGAUGAGCUUUCACCAGAAACAACUACAUUUUGUGAAAGAGAUUUUGUAAUUUCUUUUGGGCUUUCUUUUUCAAAAAUGUCUUUUGAAGGUGUUUGGCUUUGAGAAAAGGAGCUUUGUAGGGCGAGCAUGAGCUCAGGUGAUUUGGAAAUGGAUUUCAUCCAUUGGUUUACUUGCUCUUGGGUAGAGAGGGCUUUAGAUUUUGCUUCUUCAUCUUCGAUCAUGUCAAUCCAAGAUCUGAUUGGCAUGGCAGAUGAUAGUAAUUUUUCUUUAGGAGAAGAGGAUUGGGAGUCUUUAGGAGUGGCUUUAGGUUCAGGGUCAUUGGCUAUGCCUUUUCCUUUGUCUCUCCUUGUUUUCGGCGGCAUUAUCUGUUUUGAAGAAAUUCCCGAGUUAGAAAAUCAGGAAUAGAAUUUGUAUCACCUUUAAUAUAUUCAAUAUCAAAAUAAAAAACACUUAAAAUAGCUUGCCAUCGUGCAAAAAUCUGUUUUGAUGCAAUAUUUUGAACAUCUUUUUCUAAAACAUGUUUUGCAGCUUUGCAGUCUAUCCUGAGCAAAAAUUUUUUAUUUAAUAAGUCACUUUGGAAUUUAGAUAUGCACAAAACAAUUGAAAGAAUUUCUUUUUUUAUGGUUGAAUAAUUCUUUUGACAUUCAUUCCAAUGAGCAUAAACAUAUUGAACUAUUUGUUCUUUAUCAUUUUCUUUUUGCUUUAAUAUGCCUCCAUAGCCUAAAUCAGAUGCAUCUGUUUCAACAAUUUUAGGCAAUGCAGGGUUUGCAAGAAAUAAACAUGGAAUUUUUUUUACAGAAUGCUUUAUUAAUCUAACAACUUUUGUAUGUUCAUCUGUCCAUGGAGCAGGAUUCUUUUUUAACCUAUCAUGCAAAGGUUUAGACAUCCUAUUAAUGUUAGGACAGAAAUCAAGAACAUAAUUCAAACUUCCAAGAAAUCUUUGUAAUUGGGUUUUGUCAAGAAUUUUAUCAGGAAAUUUAUCAGCAAACAAAAGAGAUCGCUCAAUCGGAGUAAUUGUUCCUUUAGAAAUAUGAUGACCAAAGAAUCUGACUUUUGUCUGAAAUAAAGAAACUUUAGAACGAGAAAUUGCCAAUCCAGCCUUUCUGGUGGCAAAAUAAAAAGUCUUUAAAUGUUUGAAGUGUUGAUCGAUUGAGUUUGAAAAUAUCAACACAUCAUCAAUAUAGACAAUGCAAAAAUCAGAAUAAGGAUUAUAAAUAUCAUUCAUAAUUCUUUCUCCAAUAAAGCAUUAAAAUUUUGUACUUAAAAAAAAAAAAAAUUUCACAUUUUGUAUACACGGGUGGUCCUUUGGACACAAGUGAGAGCGCACAUAUCUCUUCACCCAUAUUGUAUAUUGUAUAAAGUAUAUAUAUAUAUAUAUAUAUAUAUAUAUAUAUAUAUGGUUUGACACUUUGAGCUGGAUCUCCCACAAAUCUAAAUUAAAGUUGUAUCCAUUUUAAAUUGAGUAAUGCUAUGCUUAUCAGUUCUAGAAGUUUAAGGGUUGAAUUUUGAAAUUGUAAGAAUUUUAAAUUUUUUUAUUAAUUUAAUUAAUAUUUAGUAGAUUAAUUCAUUUUUAAUUUAUUAGAUUGGUAAAAACACAAUGAAUUUUUAAUUGAUUAAAAUUUAUGUUUAUUGAAUUGUAUAUACACUUUAUAAAUUGAUAAAUUAUUAAUAUUGCUUAAUUAAUACUUCUUUUAAAUUAAUAAAUUUUAUAUGAUAGAAAAUUAUUAAUUUAUAAAAAUUUAACUGUACUUUAAAUUCUUUUUCACCAAACUAAACUAUUAACCUUUAGAUAGAAAAAACCAUUUUUACUACAACAGUAUGCAAGGAAGUGAAGCAUCUGCGUCAGCACAGCGUUUUGGGCGCUGUUGAUUUUACAUAAUAAAACGAAGUCAGCUUUCAUAAUCCACCGUCCAAACCCACAUCAACUUCAAUCACUUCCCCUAAUUGAUCAUUCUUCUUCAUGUUAUUUCUUAGUUCCUAUAAUUAUCAAAAACCUUAAACACUUGAAGUAGCUGAAUAGAGAAACGGAGGAUGUCAGUGUCGUCUUCACCAUUCCCGGUUAGCUUUUUAUACAUGGGAUUGUCUAUUUAUUUCUUUAUUUUUGUUUUUGAUUGAAAAAAGUUUUGUAUGUUUGAUGAAUUGUGUUGAAAUGGUAUAUGGGUUGUUUGGUUUCCUGCAAAUGAUAAUAGGGAACUAUAAUUUGUAGAGGAUCUUAAAGAACUGUACUACCCGAAAUUAAUAGUGUACUUGAUCUUCAACCUCGUAUGAUUCUUAUAUGCUUUACUAAUUUGUUGGAUAACAGUUGUUGCAUCUUUGGCGUGAUAGAGGCUUACAAAUGGGGAGUACAACCAGUUUUGCUAAGUUUCUAGUAUAAUAGAGUCAUACGUUAGUUAUGUGUAUGUACAAUUUUCUUGUUUUUGUUGUAUACAGAUGGCAGCAAAAAAUGUUCACACAGUAACUGGUGAUCGUUUUGUGAUAUAUGGAGGUUCUGCCACUGUAUGCUGAAGGUUUUGAGGCUUAAAGCUAUGGUUACUUGAGAGAUUGAUCCUUAGGCAUUGCAAUAAAAAGCAUGGACUACUGACUGAGUCUAAGAUUUUAAAGAAUCAAGACAAGGAUCAGUUUGAUAUUCAUCUAGAAACUAGUUUAUCAAAUGAUUCACGAGAGUCUGAAGGAGUUUCGACAUUAUCUAAACCUAAUGGUCAGUAAAGACUAUUUUAAGUUAACCUCUUUAUUAUAAUAAGUUGUUAUGUCUAUCAAUGUGAAUUUAUAUUGGCAUAUUUAUUUUCUCAUAUUUUGCAAUUGAAAACUUAAAAUCUCUAGAUUGUUGAACUGAGAGUUCUGUUGGAGAAACAAAAAGAGACAUGCAAGCAUAAAUUUGCUUAAUGUUUUGUGUGUAAUGCGCAAGCAAGAUCAUAACUGAUUCUAGCCUUGCGUACGGUUGAUUGGGUAUACUUUGGUAUGGCACAAAUAGUCCUCUUUUUUUUUUCUUCUUCUUCUUCUCCUAAUGAUAGCUGGUCCACUAUCUGAUUUUAAUCUUCUUUACCAAUACAUUUUUGAGUUUCUUACCCAAAAAAAAGAAAUGUGAAAGCAAGAUUAGAAAGCAGUGGUAAUCAAUUUCUAAUACGGCAGUGAAGUUGAGGAAUAUACUUGUUAAAAUUGCUAACCUUUUGCGAAUCUCCCUAACUUCGUGUGUCUUAUUGAAUCUGCAGAAAGCUAGAAAGGCAUCAAUUUUAACAAGUUGUAGCUUUAUCAACUAUUUUGCAGGUUAUGUGAAUGUGAUUGUAAUAACAAAAGAUGAGUUUUGAAAAUCCUUAGGAAGAAUAUAUUUAUUUCUUAUGAGGUAAAUCUCAAAUUCUUCUAUCCUUGUCAGCACCAUUUUGAUAGAACUCCACAGUUUUUUGACCAAAAAGGUUGUGGGGCAGCAUGCGAAUGAUUUUGCUUUUGCAGAGGCUAUUUUGUAUUGCCUAAUUCUUAUGAAAGUUCUGUAGAAGGUUUUAUAUUUGUUUUGCAAGGAAGGACAUCUAGUCCACCUUUCUCUGUAAAGCCUUUUAUACUAAUAAAUAUUCUGUUUCUAACCCCUGCCUUCGCAAAAGUAAAAACUGAAGACAACAAAAUUUGAUUGCAUGCGGUCAUGUCGAUAAGAAGCUCACUCAUUUCAGGUCAAAGUCUGGAGGUGAAUUUGCAGAUUGGAACCAAGCAAUGUCAUUCUUGGCCAAUAUAAAGCUACCUCUGGAGACAAGGUUGAUGUUAAAUUGAACAGUCUGCCCCCUCUGUAUUUUGAUGUUGUAUUACACAUUGACAAUGCAAGUUGGGAUGGUGUGCCUUUUCUCAUAAAAGCUGGCACGGGACUAAUCAGACACAGGUAAUAGCUAUUUCAGUUCUGAUGUUUAUUUUCAUCAAAGAUAGAUAUUGUCGUUGUUUGUACAUUACUAGAUUAUGGUAGGAACCUAGAACACACACUUAUAAAUCCGGGUUGUAAGGGAAGGGUAACCAUUAGUUUAUAUUCCCAUUUAGAUUUACGGCUUACAAAAUUUCUAAAAUCAUAAAUUUAAGAAACAAAUUAUUAUCAUUGAUGUAGUCUACUUCAAUUUUUUCACGACAUUCCAGUUCAAUAUCUAUGUGUGUGUUAUCUCCUAUCUCAUAAUUCACAUAGUCUAGUUCAAUGCUUCAUAACUUCUGUAAUUGUUGUCUUCACUUCACUGAUCAAGAUAAUGCACUAACUAUGGAAGUAGAAAGGCUGUAGUCUUGUAUAAUGAAAUGCCCAUUUCAUUAAUGACUGAACAAUCUUUUAUUUCUCAAACACUUGUGAUUCAGAGAUUUUUGUAUAAAGAGCUAAAACUAAUGAUUACCAUCUCUAAGAGUAAAGACAGAGUUGGCUUAAACCAACAUUUCUUUUGCAAUACAAGAUGUGCUCACCAACGUUAGCCAUAUAAUUAUAGAGUGAAGAUACGUAUACAGUUUCUUCAUGUUCUAGGGAACAUCUAUAAUGAACGAUUUGGGCAUAACAUCGAUCUUGCCACAAAUGAACUAAUAUUACGCGAUGUGCCUGAUGACGCCAUUCUAGUUAGAGUCAACAAUAAAGUUCCAGGAUUAGGCUUGCAAUUGGAUGCUUCGGAGCUUAAUUUGCUCUAUAAGGAUAAGUAAGCACUUUAGUUUAUGGAACUUCUUCUGUUUCUGCUAUUGACUUGUCGUCACCUUUGAUGUCCUUCAUGUGCUUGUCUUUUGUGUUGGUACUGUAGGUAUAAUGUGGAGGUGCCUGAUUCAUACGAGCAUCUUCUUCUUGAUGUUAUCAACGGCAACAACCAUCUCUUCAUGAGAAGUGAUGAGCUUACUGCUGCAUGGAAUAUUUUAAACCCCGUUUUAUAGGAAAUAGACAAGAACAAUAUUGCACCAGAACUAUACGAGCUGGGUGGUAGAGGUCCCGUUGGAGUGUAUUGUCUUUGGCUGAAACAUGGGGUUCAUUAGACUGAAGAUUAGAAGCAACACUUGUUAUAGGGUAAUGUUGCCAAUCUUUCCACAACUAAGACAAAUACAUGGUAGCUUUGUACAUGUAAAUUGUGUGAAAUUAGGCUUGAGAAAUGCCAAUCCGGAUUCAGAGGGUAAUUGUCAAUAGCAUAAACCCUUUAUUGAAAUUGGAUUUUUCUUGUAGGUGAUUUGGGUCAUGCUAAAAAACGAUGAGCUGAGACUUAGUUUGAGAUAACGGGUAGCAUGCAUCUGAGUCUUAACCAUAUGAAAGACUUUCAAUUUUUAAUCACAAGAUAAUUAAUAGCAUCACAUAAUUGACUCAUAAGAGAAAUGAAAGCUUAAGAUUUAAAAAAAGAAAAACAAUUUAAAGGGUAACUCACCAAACAAUAUAAACACAAUUAACUCAAUAGCAAAAAGGUCACUUGCAAUAAAAUUUAAAGCGUAACUCACCAAACAAUAGGAGAAGACUUAAGAACAAAAGCCUUAAUCUAUUUUAUAGAGGACUUUAAUUUUUAAUCUCAAGACGAGUAAUUCAACGGAAGAAAAGUCAGUUACAAUAAAGCGCAUCAUGGAAUCCCUGAUAGAAACUUAAGUGUUUAUGUUUGGCAGUCGAGAAAGCUAAAGAAAAUGAAAGAAAAUCUCUUUCUGGAAACUUAUAGAAUAUUCACAUUAAUAUCAUGAGUACAGCUUACACACAUAUAUAUAUAUAGAAGCUCAGCUGAGCUUGUUACAGUUCGUUAGCUAAUUUGUUACACACACGUGAGAGCUAACCCAAAUAACUAAACACACACGUGAGAGCUAACCCAAAUAACUAACUAAUCCACGUCAGCUUAAGUGAGCUGAUUAGCUGCUGUCAAGAGCACAAUAAGAGCAUGUACACGAUUUCUCUGUUCCUUCUCAUUUAAUCAGUUUCACUAACAUCCCUCCUUGAACUGGAGUUUCUUCUUCUCUUAUUACUUCUUUCCUCUCCUCUUCUUACUUUAUCAACUUCACUGACAAUCCCAAACAUAAUUUUAUUCUUUUAUUGAUAAAGUCAGUUCAUAUUACAAUUAAAUUACAGGUUGGAAAAAAAAAACAGAAAUUAUGAUUACACAAUCUAAUUGAUGGGUCUUCAUUCAAAAAGCGAUCUGAAAUUAAUUUCGACACAAGGUAUAUGGGAAAUCAUGGGCCAAUAUUUUCCUUCAUCCUUUCUGCACCUUUCUUCUAUCAGCGGGCAAUCAACGAUAUGUAGUUGCAAAAGUGAUUUAGGCAGGCCCUGCUCUGGAAAGUAUGUGAGCUUCGGACAAAAACGAAGAUCCAGAUAUUUCAAUGAAGUUAGGUUUUCACCAAUUGAGGAUAGGCAUUCCAGAUCUGGCAUAUCUGAAAUCCACAGUUCCGUUAGAGAGGCAGGAAACGGCGGAGGUGACACCAGGUCUGGGCAUCCUCCUCUAAUUUGUAAUUCCCUGAGAGAGGUGAAUCUGUUCGAUCCCCACUCGAGCAAUUGCUUUGAUAUCUUCAGAUCAUGAACCUCAAGAGAUUGGAGGUUGGUGGGAAAACCAUCCUCUGGGAAUGAUACCACGCUAGCGCACCGUCGUAUUUCUAAAUUUAGAAGAGAGGCGAGAUUGUGCAUGCAGUUGGGUAAGGCCUUCAGAUUCUCACAACCGCAUAUCGUGAGCUCAGUCAGUUUCGUAGAAGGCAAUCCUUCUUCGGGAAAUGACUCAAGAUUUGGGCAUCCAACUAUCGAAAUCUUUUGAAGAUGGUGGAGAUUAUGCAAACCGGCAGGUAAUGAUUUAAGAUUUUCAAGGUUGUAAAUACGAAUUUCUUCAAGGGAUGUGUUGUCCAACCUUUCUGCUAACGACUCCAGCUUUGAACAGUCUCUGAUGUGGAGGUACUUAAGAGCCUGAGGUAGAUUUCCAUUCCGUGACAAGAAAGCAAGAUUCGAGCAAGAACUGACCUCAAGGUGCUCCAGCGUGGCAGGUAACUCGUUUUCUGAAGAAAAGGAUGUGAGGCAGGUGCACCCACUGCUGCUACCGCGGAUGUCCUGUUCCCCUGUCAAAGUCCUUAAAUUAUCACAUCUAAAGAUAAUCAGCCGCUUCAAGCUCGGAGGUAGCUGGAUUCUGGCAAUAUAUCUCAAAGAAUCACAGUUAUGAAUUUUCAGACUUUCGAUAGAUGUACUGCUAUUUUGCAUCCAUGCCUCAGGGAAGGAUUCCAAAGCAUCGCAUCUUGCUAUUGUAAUUGUUCUCAACUGGGAAGGCAAAGCAACCUCUGGAAAUGAAACAAGUGACUUACAACCCCGAAUCUCCAAACUCUGAAGAGAUGAAUUGGAGUUGUGCAUCCAUGCCUCAGGUAAGGAUUCCAAAGCAUCGCAAUCUUCAAUUACAACUGAUCUCAACUGGGAAGGCAGAGCAACCUCUGGAAAUGAAACAAGUGAAUUGCAACUCCGAAUCACCAAACUCUCAAGAGAUGAAUUGGAGUUGUGCAUCCAUGCCUCAGGUAAGGAUUCCAAAGCAUUGCAAUCUUCAAUUUUAACUGUUCUCAACCGGGAAGGCAGAGCAGCCUGAGGAAAGGAAACAAGGGAAGCGCAGCCAUGUAUCCGCAUCUCAGUAAGGGAACUAAGGGUGAGCAAUGCUUGUGGUAGCCUUGUAAGGCCUCCACAAUUCCUCAAUUCCAAAAAACGAAGUCUGCACGGCAACUCUGGCUGUUGUCGGUCAUGUUCUUCCUCUGUGACCAAGGAAAGCAGUCGAGGACAACUUGAAAUCUGCAACCGAUUAAGGGAUCUAACGUCUUGCAGCAACCGAGUUUCACUCCGCCAUAAAUAUGUUUGCUCUUGAACAUCAUCAAUCUCUAAACUUUCCAAUUUAGGUAGCCCUUGUUCAAAUAGACCUGGUAAAACCACUUCAACUGCAAUUUGCACUAAAUGUGGGCUGCUGAACACCACCCUUUUACAUCCAUAGAUUCGUAAUUCACGGAGAGCUGGUAGACAUUGAAUUGUCACUAGCAACUGAUGACAACUUCGGAUGACGAGCGUCUCCAAUAAAGGAAGUCGUUUGGGCAAUGUUCCUUGAAGUUUAGAACAAUCGAUAAGAGAAAGCUUUCGCAGCUUAGGAAACACUUCAUCAACUUCUUGACCAGCUCCGCAAGGAAUCCACUCUUCCCAUUCUCUCAUGUAGAAAAAGGAAAGAGUCACAAGUGAUGGAAAGGGCACUGAGCAACUGCUUCCAUAAAACUCCAACCCCACGCUCUUUACUCCGUCCAUUCCACUUAUAUCAAGUUCCUUUAGAAGCGGUAGUUGUCCAACUGAUGGCAAAGAUGUACACGUGCACAUAAAUAAUUCUAGACGCGCCAAUUUUGAGAAAGAGGAAUCUCCUAGCCAAAUUGGAAAUGUUGUACCACCGUAGCCUGUGAUGGUGAGCUCUUGUACAUCUCGAUGUGGUUUUAGCAUGCGAAGAACAUCUGCCUCAAAUUUACACCGGUCAAGAUUCCGAACGUCCCGUGCACUCCAUUCGAGAAAUAAAGCUUUAAGAUUCUCCUUGUUGUUUAACUGAGCCUCACUGGCAUCGCCAACAUCUUUCACAUUCUCCAACUUCGAAAUUUUCAGUCUCCCCUGAAGAUGCGCCAAAGACUUUAACUGUCGUAGCCGAGAACCACUGUCUUUUCCCACAACAAAUCUACCCAGCGUCAAGAGACAAGUCAAUUUACCGAAUCCCUUCGGCAUUUCCUCCAAUUCAUAGGCAUCAGAAUUUCUUAGAUGACGCAGUUUCGUCAGGUUUCCCAUGUCUUUACACAACUUCUUGAGCUUCCGACAGUCUUCCAACAAAAUUGUAUGCAAGUUGUACAAUGAAUUAAUUGACUCGGGCAAAAUUUGAAUACUCGUUCUGGAUAAGUUGAGACAGCGUAAAUGCUUCAAGUUUCCAAUUUCAUUUGGUAGGUUGAAGAUGUUACAAUACCCGCGCAGAGAAAAGACCCUUAAGCGUGGGAGAUGAUUCAGCAACAUCUGAAGAACACUCCAAGCCAAAUAAUUGUCCCUGUAAUCUGACAAAUUUACUGGCAAAAAGGUUCGCAAAUGCUCCACAUCAGAGACGGACUUCAACCUCUUUUCGCCAUCAUAUUGUCCACGAAUGUACGAAAAAUGACGAAGACUUUGACAAAACUUUUGUCCGUUUUCUCCCUCUAAGGUAUCGUCCAUUCUGAAGCACAUCUCCCCUGCAGCCCACCAAGCAAGGUCAUUGAUUAGGUCAUGCAUCACAAAUCGGGACGCACCUUUACUUGACUGUUGAAAUAACGACCUUGAAUGUAACUCCCGAAAGAACGCACGGCCCAAAUCUUCCAUUUUCCUUCCAUUGUAUUGUUGAUCCAAGAAACCUUCAGCCGUCCACAAUAAAAUUAUCUCAUCUUCUUCAAAUUCAUAAUCUUUGGGAAACAAUGAGCAGUAUGCGAAGCACCGUUUCAACUGUGGAGGAAGAAAAUGGUAGCUCACUCUUAGGGCUGGUACAAUAUCACAUUUGUCCUCUCGAAAAUCCCAUAUGUUAGUAUUGAGCACAAAUUCCCAGUCAUUCAAGUCAUCUUUGCCGCUUAAAAGGCCGCCAAGAGUUUUCGCAGCCAAAGGCAAUCCUUUGCACUUCUUCGCUAUCUUCUCUGCAACUUCCUUCAAGGAUUGAUUCAUGCUGAAAUCCCUAGCCCCUAAGGAGUGUUGGAUGAGCACACGCAAACAAUCAUUGUCCGACAACUCUUUCAAUCCAUAUUUUGGAUAAGCCCUCGUCAGUUUUGCAACGUCUAGAUUGCGAGUUGUGACAACAAUCUUACUUCCGGGUGCGCCAGCUCCAAAGGGACAGCUGAGGGUGCACCAAGAAUUGUAAUUCUCGUUCCACAAGUCGUCCAAAACGAGCAAAAAUUUCUUUCCAGACAAUCGCUCCUUCAGUUUCACUUGAAGCAAAUUUAAAUCAUCUUUGUCCUUACACUGAUCACUAGCAAUGGAAUUUAGGAUAGAUUUUGAAACCCUAAAAACAUCAAAAUCCUCAGAGACACAAGUCCACGCUUUGAUCUGAAAAUGACGUUGCACUCGAUCAUCGUUAUAGACAAGCUGAGCAAGAGUCGUCUUCCCGACGCCGCCCAUUCCAUUUAUAGAAAUAACAGAGAAUCCAUCAUCAGCUCUUAAAUCAUCAUUCAACAACAAUUCAAUAAUCUCCUCCAUCUCUUUUCCCCUGCCAUAAACUUUGGCUUCAGUCACCAAAGAAGUUGUGGGUGGUAUUUGUCUGACAUUUCUAGACUUCUCAUUUUUCAGAUUCAGCAGGUCUUUUCUCCUUUCAAUAUCUUGCAACCGAGCAGUGACCUCCUCUAUUUGCGACACCAUCUUGGAUUCAAACUGAAUAGAUCGAGGACUAAAGUUGGUGCAACAAGUGGGAAUGAGCUUCCGAAACUGACUUGUGUUUGCACUCGAACUGGGUUGAUCAGCAGCAGCUGGUUCUUGAAGCAGCAACUCCCUCCGCAGAGCUUCAGUUUCGAACUCAUCCAACACGUCUUGAACAUCAUAAGCCAAGUUCUGAAGAUCGUCGAGCCACAUCUUCACCGACUCCUCCUUUGUCUGCCUAUCCUCAGCAUCUGCAAGCACUGCCUUAAUCAUCUUCAACAUUCCCUUCCACUUGAUGAAAUCAGCCUUCAACUUCUUAUGCCGUGUAAACAGUUCAAGUCCCUUUGAAGCCAGCUUUUCGAUCAGAAACUCAACGGCCGCACUGAGCACCGCCUCUCCGAUGAAUGACAUUUUUUUUUUCUUUUUUUGGUUAAGGGAAACAGAGUAAGUUAUGAAAAAUGAAGAACAAAAAAAGAUGCAGAAAUUGAACAAAGUCUAGUUUGUGGUUGUGGUUUGUGAAUGAAGAGCAAGAGCAAGCAAGAGAAUGCAAUGUGAAAUGGAGCACACAAAAAACGAAGCUUUGUUUUUUAUCAGCACCAAUAAUUCAGCUAGCGACGACCAAAACACUGCCACGCCGAUCCACGCGUUUCUGCCACCAAAGUCAAGCGUUAGUAAUCAGUUGGGUUAUUUAUUUUUUAUCAGUUGAAUUAUUAUAUAAAAUAUUUUAAAAUUGUUUGAUGAUUAAUUAUUAAUUAAAUAUUUAAAUAGUUUUAUUAUACACAAUAAAAAAAUCUCAUAUGUAAUAUUAUAUAAUUUCAAUAAUUUAUAUUUGUUUAUUGUAACUUGACUAUUUAAUACUAAUUUAUUAUAUAUAUAAAUCAACCUUUUUAUUAACUAUCAUUAAAUUAAUUUUAAUUUUUACUGAUAGUAAGAGGUAAACGCAUUUAAUAUUAACAUGAACGCGCAAAUAUAUUUUUGCCAUUAGAGAAGCACGGGUAGUUUGAUUUGUUUAUUUAUCAUAGACGUCAUUUAUCAUUUGAUUAUUAUAUAAAAUAUUUUAUAAAUAAUUAGAUGAAUUUAAGUAUAGAUAAAUUAAUCGGUCGUUUUAGGCCCAUAUUUUAAAUAGACCUUAAUUAAUAUUAUUUGAGAUAAGGCCUAAUUCUUUUUAUUUAUUUAUUAAAAUAAAUUAUAAAAGAUUAUCAUCUUUAUCGUAUUUUUAUAAAAGCAAGAGUAAAUUAUGAAAAAUGAAGAAAAAAAUGUGCAGAAAUUGAACAAAGCCUAGUUUGUGGUCGUCAAUCCACGCGUUUCUAACUCUAAAGUCAAGCAUGAGUAAUUGGUUGAGUUAUUUAUCUUUUACCAUUUGAUUAUUAUAUAAAAUAUUUUAAAAUCAUUUGAUAAAUAAUCAUCAAUCAAAUAUUUAAAUAGGUUUAUUUAUUUUAUUUAAUACACAAUAAUAUAUCUGAUACGUACUAAUGUAUAAUUUAAAUAAUCUAUGUUUAUUUGUAGUGAUUAUGACUAGCUAAUAGUAACUUACCACUAGAUGUCUUUUAAAUUAAUUUUAGUUUUAUUGAUUGUGAGUGGUGAGAUUUCUCUCUGAAUCGGAAUCAUUAAAGUUAUCCAAUUAAUUUUGGGUGUAAAUAAUUUUUUGGGAAGUAUUUCAUAAGUUCCAAUUAUUUAAUUUUAGCCAAAUAAAAUUAAAUAAUUCUCCUGAAAUACCCAGAGAUGGUUAAGUACUAUUAUUAUUACUAUUAUUAUUAUUAUUUUGAUAAAGUUAAAUACUAUUAUUUAAUUAUAAUUGGAAAAGAUAAAAUCUACGUAGAUUGAACGAAGUCCGGUUUGUGACUGGAGCAAAAGCAAGCAAGAGAAUCCAAUGUGAAUUUGGUCGACAAUAACUAGCUCUACUUGACCCACCAUGCACCAAUAAUAAUUCAGCUCUGCUACUGCGAGGAAAUUGCAGCAUUUAUGCCACGCAAGUGGCGUAAGCCGUGCUCUACGAAUUCCAAUAAUACGACAAUUCUCUAAAUAAAAGUCAGUCUAGCGACGACCAAAAUACGACUACGCGGACGCAUCUCCACCGCUAGAAAGGCAUGAGCAAUUUGGUUUUGAUAUAAUCUAUUUAUUUUACUAAGAUCAGUUUUAAGCAUAGGCAAAUUAAGCUGUCGGCUGAACUCCAUUUUAGUUAUUUUUUAAUAAUAUCUAAUUAAUUUAAAAUACGAUAUAAUUUCUUAAAAUAUAAAAUCUAUUGUUAUAUCUUAUCAAUAAUUCAUUAUCUCAACCAUCUAAGUGCUAUUAUUCUAAAUAUUUUAUUUAAAUUUUAUAUUGUUCUUAUUUAUUUAAUUUAUAAAAGUUCUGCUCGAAAUAAAAAAGAUAUCUUCUUGAUUACUUUUUUAAGGAUUUUUUUAAAAUUAUUUAGGAUGUUAUUGAUUAUUAUUGAAAUUCAAGAUAUAAUUAAAUAUUGAUGAAUUUUGAUAUCUUUUCUAUUUCAUUUAAGUGUUAAAGGUUUUAAAGAUAAGGAGGUCUCUCGAAAAAAAAUUUGCCUAAAACCUUGCAAACUCUAGUUAGAGCCAAUCUUGAUUUUAUUUAGUAGGCAAUAAUGUAUCUCACACGCACUAUCUCGCAUGUAAUAAUGUAUAAUUAAAAUAUUUUAUUUUUAUUUAUGGUAAUUAUGAAUUAAUACCUAAUAACUAAUUUAUUAUAUAUUUAAUUUUUUUUAUUAGUUGUCUUCUUUACUAGAAAUCUUGUCAUAAUUUUUAAGCCGUUGAUCAAAAUAAAAGUAACAUUUAGUCAUGUUAAAUCAUCAAAAGUUAGAUUACAUGAAAUCAUCUGCAUUUGGAUUUGGGAAGGCUGAAGAGUAAAAGCAAGCAAGAGCGGGUAAUGUGAAAUGGUGUACACAAAAACACAGCUUUACUGACCAAAACACUACCACGUCAAUCCACGCGUUUCUGCCACUAAAGUCAAGCAUGAGUAAUUGGUUGGGUUAUUUAUCUUUUGCCAUUUGAUUAUUCUAUAAAAUAUUUUAAAAUCAUUCCACAAAUAAUCAUUAAUCAAAUAUUUAAAUAGUUUUUUAUUUUAUUUUAUUUAAUACACAAUAAUCUAUCUGGUAUGUAAUAAUGUAUAAUUUAAAUAAUUUACAUUUAUUUAUAGUGAUUAUGACUAGUCAAUACUAAUUUAUCAUUAGCUGUCUUUUAAAUUAAUUUUAAAUUUUAUUGAUAGGGAGAGGUUUGCCGGUGAAAUUUGUGUCUGAGUCGGAAUCUAUCAAAGUUAUCCAAUUAAUUUUGGGCAUACAUAAUGUUUUUGUAGUAUUCAUAGGCUUCAAUUAGAGUUAAUAAUGAGACAAGAUAAGAUGAGAUUUACCAAUCUUAAUCCCAUUUCGUAUAUAUAAGUGGGAUAAAAAAAUGUCUAACUCUCAUCUUUAUUUUUUUUAAAAUAAAAAUAUGUCUCAAUUCUAUCCCAAAAAAAUAAAAUUUUGUGAGAUCUCCGCUCAAUUGAAAAAAUUCAUGUCACUAGUUGGUAAUAAAACAGAAAUAAGAUAAAAAAAAAAAUCCCACUCUCAUUCCUAUAUUUUUUUGUGAGGUAAAAAUAUAUUUUAAUUCAUCCCAAAAAUCUUAUCCCAUAAAAAAAAAUUGGCAUCUCUAGUUCCCAUUAUACCAAAGUCCAAAUUUUCGAGUUUGUCAUGAGAUGUUGAAAUUUUGCUUUUGAUGCAGCAACAAAUUAUUAAUUAAGCUUGUUCUUAGCUGUUCGAGGCCCCAUCCAAAUUGCACGUUUUCUUUUGAACUAUUCUUCUAAUAUAUUAUUGCUCUUUCAUUCAAAUAAAAUUAAAUAAUUCUUCUGAAACACCCAUGGAUAUUUAAGUACUACCACUAUUAUUAUUAUUAUUAUUAUUAUUAUUAUUAUUAUUAUUAUUAUUAUUAUUAUAUCAAGUUAAGUACUACUAUUUAAUGAUAAUUGAAAAAGAUAAAAUCUACAUAAAUUGAACGAAGUCUGGCUGGUGAAUGAAGAGCAAAAGCAAGCAGGAGAAUCCAAUGUGAAUUUGGUCAACAAUAACAAGCUCUGCUUGACCCAUCAUGCAAUGAUAAUAGUUCAGCUCCCCGCUACCGUGAGGAAAUUGCAGCAUUUAUGCCUCGCAAGUGGCGUAAGCCGUGCUCUACUAAUUCCAAUGAUACGACUACGCGGACGCAUUUCCACCACUAAAAAAGCAUGAGUAAUUCGGUAUUGCCUAUUGAUCAUAUAAAUAUUAUUUAUCAUGUGAUUAUUAUAUAAAAUAUUUUAUAAAUAAUUAAUUAAAUAUUUAUUACUUUCAUCAAAUUACUCGUUCAUUUAAGUGUUGUGAUUCUAGUUAAUUGUAGGAGAUCCACAACAAUUGCGGUCAAUUCCAGAAAUUCUAGAGUGCAUCAACAAUUGCAGUUAAUUUACUUGUUUAGCUAUAUAACAAAUAAAGAAUAUUAUAUUGUGUGUUUAUUUAUUUUGAACAAUCAACAUGCAAUUAGUAGUUGCGUUAAAUUUAACUACAUAUAUCAUACAUUCAGUUGUUAAUUAUAUUAUAUCUAAUAUACCAUAUACUUUCUCCAAUUAUAAGUUAGGCUUAAGUGAAUUAAUUUGUCUUUAUGUAAUCUUUCCCCAGAAAUAAGUUCUCUAGCUAAUUAUGAUUUGCUUUUUAUUAAUGAUUUUGAGAGAUACUAUUCAUUCUUUUAGUUAACUUGAUUCUUUCAUUAUGUUAAUUAAUUUGUGAUCUUAGUUUAAUAGGCACGGUUUAAUUACAUUCUAAAAUAUAUAUAGACACAAGAUAUUACAAAUGAAUCAUUUUCUUUUUGAUAAAUGCUCAUCCUCUUGAAUUUAUUACAUCAUAAUACAAUUUGCUAAUUGUUACAUGAUCAUAUAUCUGCCAAAAUUCUAUAUGUAUAUUUCUAAUAUGAUGAUGCAACUAUAAUUUUUAGAUUUAGAAUAAAAUGAAUAGCAAAAUGAAGAUAUUGAGACUAGAUCUAAAAUGGGCCAAACUGGCUUUCAAGUUUGAAAGAAAGAUUUUCACCGCUCUUUUUUCCUUUUACAGUAAUUUUUCAAUGCUGCUUUGUAGGAUUUUUUUUCUCUAAAAUUAAUAAGAGUUGGACUAUUUUGCACCCCUCUAUUAUUCUCUUAACACAGUUUAUUAACAAAUUUAAAGUAUCAUAUAAUUGCUACUAAACAAAUUCCAUUUAAAAUCUCUUUCUUAACUUCUUUAAGUAAAUUUUCACAUAUCUUUCUUCUUAAAGCUAUUUAAACAAUACUUUCUUCGUUUUUCUCUUAUUGGUAAUUGUAUCAUAUAAAUAAUAUAGUAGCUAAAACCUUUUUUAUUGAUUAUUUUUAGGACUCCGCUUUGAUGCCUAUUUUUUUUAUUGCAUCAAUAAUAUUUUAAUUGUAUACCAUUAUAUUUAAUUAAUGGUACACAAUAUUUGUAUUAAAAAAAUAUAAAUAAUUUAAAAAUAAUUAUAACAGGUUUGUUAAGGAUUUAAGGAAGUAGAGAAUUUUUGUAAAAUAACUGUAUCACCUUUAUAGUUUGAAACAAUUUCACUUAAAUAGUAUGUUUUAUUUAAAAAUCACUUUUCAACCCUCCUUUAAAUUUGUAAUUUGAUAACUUUUUUUAACAUAAAUGUUUCAAAAUCUAUUACUAUUAAGUAUAAAAUAUAAUAUCUAAUAAAUUAUCUAACACAAAUCAAAUAAACAAGUUGCAGUUAUAAAAUUUAUAUAUGGUAUAACACAAUAAAUGAUAGAACUAAGUACAUAUGUUUAAGUGAAUAUCAUAAAUUGUAUCAAUAAACUCAUAAGCGAAAUUGUUUGUAACCUAAAAAAAUACUUGACCACUCAUGUUUUAAUUAAAUCUAAUGCGAUAUAUUAAAAUAACUAUUAUUUUAUAUACAAUUAAGGAACAUUAUAUAAUUGAUCAUAAAGUAUGUAUUAUUUUUAACACCGAUUUAGUAUACUUAUUCCAUGAAAUUAUGGCUUAUGUUACAAUUAACAUUCUUACAUGGUAGAAAAUUAUCCAAGCCCUAUAAAAUUUAAGUUUCACAAACCUAUAUAUUUUCAUUUUAUUUUCAAAUUUCACUUUGUUAAUUUCAUUAAAGUUAAAUUUUACACAUAUUCCUAAUUACCUUUAUUUUAUGAAUCGCAAAAGAUUAUUUUAUUUAUAGUCCUUUGAUUGUAAUUAUAGAAUCUUAUGUUACUAAGAAUCAUUACUCUUAUUAUGAUAAUUAAUGGUAACAAUACAUAAAAAUAUUAACUCCAAUAAUAUUAACAUAGGAAAAAAUGAGAAAAAUUCUUUAUAUGAUUUUAUAUUUUCAUUAUAAAAACCCAGUUUAGGAUAUUUUAACGUAAAAUUUUGAUAUAAAGUUUGAGCUAUAUAUUAAUCUCUCACAAUCUAAUAGUUGAUAUUGAAAGUCAAAGCAACAUUUUAAAAUGUUAUAUUAUCCACUAUUGAAUUGCAUGAAACUAAUAGUUUACAUUUUGUGCUGAAAAUUUAAGUUAAAAUAACCUAACUCUAAAAGUAUAUAUCUUAACUCUAAAGGUACGUAUCCAAGCCAUCAUGUAGUUAUAUACACAUAUUUUUUAAUUAUAGUUGUUGAAUAAAAUAUUUCUCAUUUGUUGUGACUCAUAUAGUAUCAUUAAUAAAACAUAGAUCAAAUAAUUUAUGACAAUGCCUUCAAUGAUCAUUAAUGUUUAUUUAAUGGUUUUAUAAUUAAAUUAAUACAAUAAAUUAUUAUUAAGACCUUAUGAAAUAUCUUUAUAUAAAGUAUAAUUAAAAUAACAUUACCUAUAAAAUUGUAAAGUUAUAGAUAGUAUACAAUAAUUUUAAUUUCAAAAUGAUCUGUAUUUUUAUUUUUUUGGUGAUUUAAAAAUAUUUAUGAAUUGAUUAGAUUAAAAAUAAUUUACAGUGUGAAGAAAUGCUACAACUUAUAAAUUACUAGUUACAUAAUUACUUAUCUAUUAAAAUUAAAAUAAAGUUGAAGAUUCUAAUAUUUAAAUCCAAUGAUCCCAUUUUUUAUUGUGGGAUUUUUAUUCCAACAUAAUAGAAUUUUCAGUUGUUAAUUAAUUAAAAAAAAAUCUACAUUCACUAACCACCUGAAGUUUACAUGUUAUUCUUUAAUUGCGUUGAGUUUGGAUGCGGGUGUGGACCGUGGAGAGGAGAUGUUUGGUUAGGGGUAAAAUUGUAAACAAGAUUAAGCAGGUUUUAAAGAGGAUGUUGGAGGUGUGCGAAUAGCACCACUUAAUUAAUUGUUGCCUCUUGAGCCCAAAUUCUCUAACCUACAUCCAAGUCCAGCCAUUAGCAGUGUCAAAGAGCUUUGUUCCUUUUUAAUUUUUUUUUUUUGGGGACAAGCAUUAUCACUAUUAUUACGUCAGCUUGAGUGAAUUUAUCUUUUAGUUUAUUUAUGCGAGAAUAGUCUAACAUCAAGUAUAUGAUGUGACGGUGUCUCGUGGACCGAGUGAUUAUCAAACAGUUAUUUAACUUAUUAUCUCAAUUUAAAUUUUUGGGAAAAUAGAAAUUUAGAUAUUACCUCUUAAAAGUUAAUGACUAUUAAAAAUGGUGGGACUAUUUGAAUCCACUAAUUUUCUUUCUAAACCUUUUUUUUAAUUACGUCUUUUAUUAAAAAAAUAUUUAAUUAAUCUUUCUUCUCUUUCUCUUCUCAAUUUCACAAAUUCUCAUCAAUUUAUUUACAUAUAUUCUUUUAGUUGCAAUAACAAUAUCACUAAGAGGAACUAAACCACCAUUUAAAAAUAAAUAUCAGCAAAUUUUUAUAGGCCUUGUAAGUUAUUGAAUAUCAAGAAAUUAAUUUUUACCAAACACAAAAGGUAAUGAAUAUCAAGAACAAAAAACUCUUAGAUAGAAAAGAACAAAAAAUAUAGAUCAUGAUAUAUUAUGAAAGGCCAAAAGAAGGAAUUCAAGAAAUAGUAAAAUUAAGUGUUUACUUUGCAGAAUGUGAGAGUAGAGAGAAAAUAUGAAAUUGUAAGAUAAAGAAAAAAAAUUAUUAGUGAAGGGUAAUUUUUAGAUUUUUAAAUUUUAAUAAUAAAUUUAUUUUUUUAAAAUGGGUCUAUAGAGAAAUUUAAUGGGUUUGAAUAGUUAGCCUCGCGUUAUAAAAAAAAAAAUGUGGUGCACUGCUAGUUAUCAACUUUUUUUUUUGUCUUUUUCUAGAUCAAUUAAUUGCACUGUAAUCCUUGUUGUUUCCUAUGAAAAAAAAAAAUCAAGGGAAAUUUACACCAAUAGCCAUAAAAAUUUUGGCUUUUUCCAUCUUAACCCCCCAAACAAACCUCUAUCAACAUUAGCCAUAAAAAAACCUUUGAGACCAAAAUAUCCCUCUUUCUCAUCUCUCCCCCAACAAUCUCUCUUUCUCCCAUCUCUCCCAAACCGAAGAACCUCCCAUCGUCGGCGGCUAGCAUGAAGCAACCCAUCUUAAGGGAAGGAACUUGGCAUAAUCUGUUCGAAACUGCAAAUAUGUUCCUCAACAGAGCCAAAUAUAUACCCUAUUUGUGCACUCUCUUAGUCUUUUUCUUCUCUCUCACUCAAAAUACACUGCCCCUGCCCCUGCCCGUUCCCAUAAUGCUUCCAAUCAAACUCCUCCAGCUGCAUAAGUUAUGUAAUAUUUUAUAUAGGUGCACAAUAAUUUUAUUUUUUAUUUUAUUGGGGUGAGAAAGGGUAUAACUUCAAUUAACUUAAACAUGUGGAACCAGCAGUUUCCAUAUUUAUUUUACUUCCAUGCGCUCGAUGAAUGAAGGUUGCGUUGAUAAAGAAGAAAAUUUUGAAUCUUUUGUUUUGUUUCUUUGCAUGUAAAAGAAGCAAUAUUUUGACCCUCAUUGAGUUAAAAGUAUGAAUAGUUGUAAAAUGGCUCAUUCCAUCGGACGCCAAGACUUCUGUAAUAACUUGGGGGUGUCAUAAGAUAACAUUAGACUUCAAUUUCAUCUGUUUCUUUUUGUCCUUUGGCAACCAAUAGGAGAUAUAUUGAACGACGAAGAUCUGGGAAUUGGGGCGUCAAUAAUUGGUUACUGGAGUAAGCGGAUGUCUCUGGUCGCAGUUCAUUGGCAGGCGGGAAGGCAGAGGAGGAUGAUAAGGUCAUAAGGAUGACUAGGAGACUGCACUGAGAGAGGCAAAGGAGAAAAUAAGGGCAAAACUCAUUUGUUAAGUUACUGAUGCAGGAUCUGAUUAUGGGUAUGAUGAGCUUGUUUGGUCCUCGUUUGACACCAUUAAGGAACCUUGGUGCGACAGGUUGCCUGUCGCAACCUGUCGCACCAAGGCUUAGUGCGACAGGCAGCCUGUCGCCAGAUUCACCCCGACUCGCAGUUCACUGAAACUCUUGAGCAAGUUGAGAAAAUAAAUCAUACCACUAUGUGAUGCCGAUUAGUGUUGGAUCCGGAUAGAUUAUUAUCGGAUUUCACUUUUAUCGUUGUCUUUUGCUGUCGUCGUUGGUUGAUGAUUUAAGAGUGGAAAACUGCUUUUGGUUUAACGAAAGGGGAGAAAGGAAGUUGCUUUUGGUUUGUAAAGAAGGGUAAUUUGGGGAGAGAAGCGUGUGUUUGGCUAAUGUUGAUAGAAAAAAGUUGAGAGGGUUAAUUGUGAAAAUAGCAAAAGUUUUAUGGUUAUUUUCAUAAAUUUCCCAAAAAUCAAAGGUUUCAAAAUUUUUAUACAUGAAUCCUUCUUUUUCUCAAUCUACUUCUUUAUAUCAACACAAAAAUAUCUUUCAAUAUAAAACAGUAAGGCAAUGUUUAGAUGUUGAAGAAAAGGUAGAAUUAAACUAAUUUGUAAAAUAAAAAUAUUAGCCCAAUCCAGAAUCAUGUUCGUUGUUAGGAUUAAUAAACUUGUCCAAAUUUUAUCCCAAUAUUCAUAGGAUUAUCAAUCUCCAUCACAUGAAUUUAGAUAGGAUUAGAUAUCUUAUAAUCUAAAUUUGUUACUAAUAUUAAAUUUUUAUUUAAUAAUUCACCUUAAACUUUUUCUAAAUUUAAGAUUAAAUUGAAAAUUUAUUUCAAUAAUUUAUUUUAACUCGUUUAUAAUUCACUAAAGAUAAAAAAAUUAUUCAAUUAUUCAAUUACAAUAAUAUCAAAAAGUUUAAGUAUUAAAUUUAACAACUAAUAAUAUGCUUUAAAAAUAAUAAAUUAUUUAAAUAGUUGUUUUAUCUUCCCUAAAUUAAAUCUAACACAGUCCUGUCCAAAAUUAUAUUAAACAAAAGAUAAUACUAUAUAAUUUAAUAUAAUCCAAAUUAAUUCCUUCUAAGAAGGGUAAAAAUUAUUUCAAUCCAAUCCAAUCUUUCAAUAGUACCUAAUAAAAUUUAAAAAGUGCAAAUUAUUAUUUAUAAAAUGUCACAUCAGAUAUCUUUUGAAUUGACAAUAAAAAACAAAGUUCCUAAUCUCAAUCUCAAUUCUUAACGAUCCCAAUUGGAAUCCAAAAUGUCCAAUUCUUCAAGAAAUAAAUAGCAACGAAUUUGAAGCUUUUUUUUUUUUUUUUUGCAAUGGAUGGCUAUCAUUUUUAUUAAAUAAAACAAAGACCAGAAAGAAAAUUAAAAAUUAAAAAAAAAGUAGACUUGAUGGGCCAAAAUGAUUCCAACGAAUGUAUAAAGACACAAAGCAAAAUGUCACAAUGCAUGGCGUCACAUUUAUUUCGUGUAAAACAUUACGUUAUGGGCAUGAUGCGAAUAAUUAUUCUUGGUCACCUAACCUAACCGCUUCCCACUUUUUUUUCCCCAAUAAGUACGUAGCCUUCUUUUGAAUUACCAUUUAACCCUUCUCUCCCUCUCACUCUUAUUUUUAUUUUUGCAUUUAUAUUUUCAACCCCUUAAUAUUAUUCUAUUGAUAAAUCGAAAAAUCAAGAUUUUCUCAAUAUUUGAUCUUUUCUUUAUUAAUUACAAGGUGAUUUAUUCUAAUAUAAGAGAAAAUAUAAAGCGGUUUAAUCUUAAUUAAAUAUAUUUAUUAAUUCAUACUAAACACAAAAUAUUUAAAAGAAGGGUAAUUUUUAAAAAUUUUUGCUGAAGUUUGGGGUAUUCUUCAUUUGAUAGAAUGUAUUGGCAUAUUUUCAUAAACCUUCCCUCGUGAGUAUUUUAUUUUCUAUAAGUUAAGCUGACGAGGGUAAGUUCAUAAUUGAAUAAGUUAAUAACAAAAAAGUUCAAACAAAUUUAAUAUUUUCACCUUGGGCUUUGAAAUUGGUUUGAACUUUGUUAAUAUCCAUAGAGAAAUAGACUGAAACAUGCUUUUACACUCUGUACAAUGAAACGUGCUUUUGCUCAACAGAUAUUUAAUACAAAAUAAAAAAUUCUCAUCUCUUUCCUCUACCAAAUCCGAAGCAACCAAGCUCAAACUCCAUUUCAUUUCUCUCUUAUACUUUCAUCAAGUAUUUUGCCCAUAAAUUGAGGACCGUGAUGGUGGAGCUUAUGACUCCAAUACGGGUGAUGAACGAUUCAAGGCUGCGAGGUGAGAGAGUACCGACCAAUGAGUUUCUUUGGUUAUCGGUUAAUAUCCUGCUUCUUCCGAGCCACGAAUGAGGUAUGUAUGAAAGAACUUUCAGUGCAUGUUAUUUUUUGCUUGCUUUGUUGAUGAGUUGAGUAAAAAUAUGAAAAUGGCUCUUCAAAAAAUGAUUGAAAAUGUGGCUGAUAGUUCUUAUUUUUUUCAUCAAUUAAUGUUAGUUGUAGUGAAUAGAGUAACCCAAAUGCAUGUUGACCGGUUCACUAGUUCCGCCGACUAGACUCUUAGAGUGAUUCAAUCGAUACCGAGGUGCACUUGAAGUUUGUAAUCAGUAUUCUAUAAAAGAAAAUGCUUGAAUCCUUCCGUGGAUAGCUUUCUUGUGUUUGACAUGCCUUGAUUGAAUUUAUGAGCACUAGGAAUAAAUGUAAUAUUUAAGGGCAUUAGAUUUUUUGUAUUGUUGAGAUUUUGUAAUUUUAGGAAAUCCAAGAUUCUGUUCAUGUUUGUUGUGAUUUUCCUUAAAAGUUUUAAGAUUGUACAUGUAUGUUAUGCUACAGCAUGUUAAUACAAAAUUCAUUUGAAAAAUUAUCUUCAUCAAUUGUGUUCUAUAGUUUUACACGGUUGCCAACCAUUUUGUGUCGGGUCAAUGUGUUUAAUCUUUAAGAUUCACAUAAAUGCUUUAUUUCAGAUGCUUAUCAAUUUUAAUUUCAUCAAUAGAAAGUGUCAAUAAUGAAGCUAUAUGAUAGGGCUUGAUAUUAGCAAACAUUGAAAUGAUAAAGUAAUGAUUCCAUAAUGUUAAAACAAGAAAAAAAAGACAGAAAUUUUGUGAUAGAUCAACUACAAUGAUUUGGCGAUUGGCAAUAACUUGUUAUUUUUGUUAUAAACAAAAUCUUAGAUUUGUUAUACAUAGUCUCUUUGCAUUAAAUGUCUACAAAAUGUUGUUAGAUUGAGCAGAAAUAUAAGUUGCCACUGCUGUUGACAUAAAGUAUAUAGUAGUAUGUUUUGCAGCAUGGCAGUGUUUGACAAUUAGAACCAUAAUUGUUUGAAUCUACUUAUGUUUGUGUUUACAUUAUCUUCGUGACUUAUAUAUUCACUAUAAGUUGUAUUCUAAUAUGAUAUUUUUAUUAAUAAAGGAAAAUUAAUCCAAGCCUAAAGAGAUAGUCGAUAGUGAAUCCGGUAGCAGCAGCUUUGGUAGCAAGAGUGUUCAUUAAGUAGUAGCACCAGAGUCCAAACUAAUCCCUUACGACAUAUUUUGAAAUGAUCAGAUGAUACCUCACAUUUCUUAUGUAAGCCCUAAAUUGUAGAGAUGUUGUAUCAUCUUUUACUUGGUUGUAUACAUACGUUUGAGGUUUUUGUAUAUUAUACUUAGAAACUCACUCCAGUGACAAGGCUAGUCUUGCCUUUGUUAGUAUUUAUCUUAGUAAACUGUUAUUAGUUGCUCACAUGUAAAUAUGGACUAAUGUUGAGUUGUAAGGCU
rnacentral:lncRNA from 1 species